AUCAGAAUAUAGGAGCUUUGUCUGUAAAACUGUCAGCAGAGGAAAUGGCGGAACUUGAAUCUUUUGCUUCUGCGGGAGUCAAGGGUGAUAGGUAUGGGCCUGGCCUUGGUACUUGGCAAACUUCUGAAACUCCACCUUUGUCAACCUGGAAGAGAACAUGAAGACAUACUUUGUUAUUGCAAUAAUUCCUUCUAGCUAUGUGCCUGAUGGUGGAUUCCACUAUAUUAAGAGUUGAGUGAUAUGUAUUUGUUCCAAUAAAGUUUGACAUACUAUUGUCUCUAGGGUUAAGGCAAGUAAAGUUAUAAGAAGAAUGGAGUUUCUUCAGAGGUUGUAAUGAAUAAAUAUCUGGUCAUGUAAAAGCAGAAUAUAAUUUUCCUUGCAGUUGAAUGCAUUAAAGGUUAUAUAUUGUACUUUUGAAUGCUAUAGUGGUCCAUUUUUUAUGUGCUACUGCUACGAGAGUUAUAGAUUGUCGAACAGCAUUCAAUUCAGGACUUAUUAAACAUAAGCAUAUAAACAUUUUAUGCUCGGAAUAUUUACAUCAAAAGAAACUCCAAGGUCACAUCAUUGUAAAGUGUAAACUACAUCAUAUUAAUAAAAAGCAAAAAAAAAGGUCUAAAUGAGGAAAAAAAUGUACUAUAGAAGAAGUCAACAAUGUCAUGUAAUCAUUUUAUCCUAAAAUUGAGAUUCAAAUUUAGUUGAUUUGUAUUUUGAGUUUCCUCUUUGAUGGGAAAUGUAUCUCAGAACUUUAACUCCAACAGUUGAUGUUUCCUACUUGGAGUACUCAGUCCACCUUGAUGCAUUGAUCUUUCCCCUGAACUUGUGCCCGUCAAACAAUAUUUCUGAUCAUCUUGAAGUAAUUAGUACCAUCUGUUCAUUACUCCCUUUUGAUUUCUUGCAUUAUAGUUUCCUCUUUAAUGGGAAAUGUAUGUCAAGAUCUACCUUCUACAAUUGAGAUUUCUUAGAGUACUCAGUCCACCUUACUAGAUUGUUCUUUUCCGUGAACUUUGUUCACUUCAAACAUUACUAUGAUCAUCUUGAAGUUAUUCGUAUUGUUGUCUUUUGUAGACGACACAUGCUUUACUAAUUACUGCACUUUGAAUUUCUGCAUUGCAGUUGCUUAAAUUUUGAAAUUCAUACAAUUUAGAAUAUGCCAAGGUUUCAAGUAGAGAAUUUGGAGCACAACAAGAAGUUGUAUGAGCGGGGUCAAUGCCAUUGCUUCAAGGAAGAGUUGUACUCCAUCACAGCAAGCGUUGGCCUGGGUCCAUACCAAGGCAAUGAUGUUUGUCCCAUAACUAGCACUACCAAGAUUGGAAACCUCAAUCAGAAUAUAGGAGCUUUGUCUGUAAAACUGUCAGCAGAAGAUAUGGCUGAACUUGAAUCUAUUGCAUCAGCUAGAGUCAAGGGUGAUAGAUAUGAUCCUGGCCGUAUCAAGGGCAGAGGUUAUGGGAUCUGAUUAUGGGCAACUGAUUAUGGAAUCUAUUCUAUCAUAAUUGCAAAGAUUAUGACUGAAAUUAUGGGAUCUGCUCUAUCAUGUAUAUUAGCUGUAUAUUAGCAUAUGUGUCAUUAAUAUAUCAGAUAGGUAGAUAUAUUCUUACAUAGAAUAGAAUGUACAGAGUUUCUAUUUAAUGGAAAAGAUGCACAAAAGACAGCAUUCAGUCUUUGAUCUAGAAAAUUGUCAUGGUAUCAGAGCUGGUUAUUUGAAUUUCUGUGUCUUUCAAAAUUUGCUGAGUUGUUAUUCUUCUUGGGUUGAUUAUUUUGAUCAAUCAUUUGGUUUCAAGAUAUCAUUUUGGGUCAAUCAUAUUGUGGUUGGCAGCCUUUCUUGUAAUUCAGAUCUUUGUUUUUUUGAAAGUAUGUCUGUGGCAAACUCUUUGGGAAAAACACAUACGGAAUCUUUGUCUAUCAAGUUCAUUGGGAAAAAUUAUGCAGCAUGGGAUUUAGAAUGUUUCUAAAGGCAAAGAGCUUUGGAGUCAUAUUGAUGGGUCUUCUACAGAACCUAGAGAUGGAAAAGAAUUUAGUCAAUGGGAGGCAAAGGAUGCUAGAAUUAUUUCUUGGAUUCUAGCAUCUAUUGAAGCUCAUAUGGUGAAUAAUUUACACUCCUUUAAUACAGCAAAGGAGAUGUAGGAUCAUUUGAAGCGUGUAUAUCAUCAAGAUAAUACAGCAAGAAGAUUUCAACUUGAAUUGGAAAUUAGUAACUACGGCCAAGAUAACCUCUCUAUUAAGCAGUAUUAUUCUGGAUUUUUUAAUUUAUGGAGCGAAUACUCUGGUAUAAUCUAUUCUAAGGUACCAAGCGAAGCCUUAGCUGGUAUUCAAGCAGUUCAUGAAGUUAGUAAGCGUGACCAGUUUCUAAUGAAACUAAAGCUUGAAUUUGAAGCGGUCAGAGCUGGAUUGUUAAAUAGAAAUCCAAUUCCUUCUUUAGAUGUAUGUCUUGGUGACUUGUUGCAAGAAGAACUGAGAAUGGCUACACAAACUAUCAUAGGUGCAUCGAAGGAGAUAUCCGAAGUUGUCAAUAUUGCCUAUGCUGCUCAAGGGAGGAAUCGCGAAAAGGGACAAGUACAGUGCUUAAAAGCAGUCUGUUUGCCAGACACAUGGUGAGCCACAUUUAAAAAUUGGUUUCUAUCAUAAAGCCUAUCAUGUCCGGACAGAAGAUGGACUGUUUUUUAAAUUUUUUAUGAAAGCAAGUGAAAAGUGUUGCAACUCAGGACUUGGAUGGUAAUUCUAAAAUUUAUUAGUGCACCUACCUUUUAACUUUUGGUGUGCUUUUAAGGUAUCAAAUGGGGGAAAAAAAACCAACACCAUAUAACUUCAAAUGCAAGAUGGUACGAAAUUUGUAUCCAUUGACAUGUAAAAAGUGCACCGUUCAUCACAAAGAUAUUUAUCCUAAUAUUAGAUUCAUUUUUUCAAAAAUUCAACUUUGCAUGCAAACAUGUAAUCAAUAUGCAUAAAUAGAUAGCAUUAGAUGAAUUUAAACAAGUAGCCUUCAAAUUUAAAAAUAUUUGAUUUCAUAAAGGUGCAUUCGCAAUUUAGAAAAAGGACUUUUCAAAUGGCAAAUCUAGAGAGCAAUAAAUACUCCUACUUUAUUUUGAUUUCAAAUCUUAUUUUGACUUGUCAAAAAAGUGAAACACGAAACCAAUAAUGGGUCAGAUACAAGGCUAAUUACUCAGAAUAUCGAUGUAAAAAAUAUUGGACAUAUAUGAUUUUGACAAUGGGCAUGUAUAAAACUAUUGCUGUAAGGUUGUGUCAGCCCGGCAGCAAAAGAGGGUUUUUUUUUAAAGCCUGCCAUUGCCACCGAGCUGACACGGCUCGGCAGCAAUAGUUUAAUUUUUUUUAAACGCUGCCGGGCCUUGUCAGCCAGAUAGAACAAAAAAAAAAAAUUUUUUUUUAAACACAGCCCGGCAGCGGGCAACAUUUGCAAAAAACUUUAAAAAGCUGGCUGCCGGGCUACGACAGUUCAAAAGAUUUUGCUAUCCGCCUACAACACCAGGUGAUAAAGAUAAGGGCAAAGGCGUACCGGGCAUUGAUAUGAUCAUUUCCGGUGCAUGUUUUAAAAUUUCAAAUAUUUGAAUAUGGGGAUUUAGCGUUAUUUUAAUCUUUUAUUAUUAUAAUGCUUGUCGUUAUUUUUAAAUUUCACAAUUUCAGCAUGUCAUGUUGUGCAUUUUUCCUUCUUUUUUUUUUUGCCUAUUUUGUUUUUAUAUUGCACAAUAACUUUAUAUUUAUAAAAUUAUAUUGUACAUUAAAAAUUACAUAAUAAUUUUAACAAACAAUUUUCCGGUACAAUUUGAAAACUGCAUCUUAUUGUAAAAUGAAAGAGAUUUUUUGUUUAAAAAACCUUUUUUUAGUUUUUUUACCUAUCGGAGUAAUUAUUAAUUUUACAAAUCUGUUUUCAUCUUUUUCUUACGUUCCAACUUUGAAACGUAAUUUAAUUAACUUAAAAGACUGUCGGGUUUAGUAUGUCAGGUAUCACACUUGUUGUAAUUAAAAAAAAAUUUUCUUCUUAUUUUUCAUUUUUUGUUUUUAUAUUGCAAAAUAAAUUUAUACAUUUUUUCGAUUUUUCUAUACAAUUUAUAACAAAAAAAAUAAUAUCAAAUAUUAUACAUUGUAAUUUUAACAAUUAUUUUGCAACGGUUUAAAAAACCUUUUUUUAGUUUAACAUCCUAUAUAUUUUACGAAAAUGAUUUGAAUAUUUUUUAAUCAUUUAAAGAAAAGAUAGAUUUCUACAAUUACUAUUUUUUAAAUUUUAAUCCUUAAGAUAAAGAUUUUUGCGGGAAAGAUGAAGAUUUAAAGAAACAAUAAAGAGGCAAAGAAAAUAAAAGAGAAAAAUAGGAGAGGUAAUUUUGUCCAAUGGAGGAUAUAAUGAGACAGAAAAAUUCCGAUGAGGGAUAAAGUAAAAAAAGAGAUAUAUUUUAAGGACAUUAAUUGUGAUUAACCCUAUUUCUUAUGCUCAAUUUGUAACUGGUCCAAAGCAUCAAAAGUAGCGUCCGCCUCCCAGGUGAUGAAUUCAUGGUCUUGAAUGUCCAAUAACCUAAGAAGAGUAAAAAGAUCACUUUAAAGUUGCUCCACACCCUACAAAUGCUUCUGAUACUAACUUUCUCGUCAUAUUAACAAAUGCUCCGCACCUUAAUGCUUCAGCACCCGUAAAAAACGUGUUUUUGCAACUGGUCCAAGAGUUGAACCCUUCGCUCAGAGUUACUUCUGGAUGUUGAAAAAAACAUUUCGAUCACUUGAAUCUAACCUCCCGCGUCUAAUCAAGCCAGAAGGCCAGCUUUUUUUUCACUGACCCUUCAACGUGAACCUUCUGAGAACUUAUCUCAAGGGAAACUUUUAGUGGUUCAGUAGAAUUUUUUUUAAUCCUCUUACAUGUUUCAUUCGUAUCUCCUACUUCAUGUCCGUGCAUUGUUGAAUUCUGAAGUGCAGGUCUUCUUUCGCCCGUAUUGUUAACCUUCUUUUUCAUGUUCAUUGAAGCACAGCAUUCUUUUUUCAGGUUUGAAAUUUUUUUUUUAAAUUGGACUAGCUGCUGGACUGAGCUUUUUAAAGUUUUUUGCAGAUGUGCGUCAGCCCGGCAGCCAGCGAAUUAAGAAAAAAAAAAAUUUUUUUGAGGCCCGGCAGCGUUUAAAAAAAAAAAACUAUUGCUACCGGGCAAGCUUUAAAAAAAAAAAAAAAAAAACCCUAACAGCAAUAUUUUUAUACAUGCCCAUUGUCAGAACCAUAUAUGUCCAAUUUUUUUUUCAUCGAUAUUCUGAGUAAUUAGCUGAGAUAGAGAGGAGUAUUAGAAAUUUGUUUUCUAGAUUCUUUGGUCUCCCAAUUUUUUCAACGGGUCAACUCCGAUCAUUAUUAUCACAGUCAUGUGAUUGUAGGUCUACCACGCUUCAUAGUCCACAACGUGGAUUGGCACCACAAAGGAUGGUUUCAAAACACCAUUUUAGUCUAGUAAGGAUUGUGUAUAUAACACAAGUCUUUUUAGGUUUUCCCUCCCCUGUAAUCUAAAAUAAAAUAAAAUAGGUUAUACAAUUGUUAUAGUCUUCAGAAAAAAAGGAUAGGUCCCACCCUAUUAUUAUUAUUUUUCUUUUAUAAAUCAACAACGCCUAUUCUACACCUAUUUCAACUUCUAUUCUAGGGGAACGGGAGGUUCAACUGAAAAAUUAAUGGUGAUUGAACCACGAACGGACCAAAAACUUUCAAGAUAAAAUUUGAUCUAAAAAAUAAAUAAUAAUAUAUUAACUUAUUAUUUAAUGCGAUACAUAUUCAAAUAUAUUAAAUUUAAUAAUUUAAUAAAUUUUAAAUUUUACAUUUUAAAUUUUAAUUUUCAACCUUCAAUGUUGCCGUACUUACAACAACAACUUCUAGAUGGUCAACACUUAGAGUCGUAGCCCUUGCUUUUGGCAUACCCUAGUCCCUAUUUCUGUUGUUAUCAAUGAGGAAGCAAAUGUCUGCUAUUAAUUACACGAGACAUCAGUAGGUUUGUUUGGAUUGGAGGUUAUUUGAAAUAUUUUUUUGAGAUAAUUAAUGUAGUACUUUUUGUGAUGUAAUGUAUAUAAGAUAAAAUUGUGAUUGGAAAUUGUGUGGAUGCAAAACAAAAUUUUGAAAUUUUUUUUUGAAAACCUUAAUAUUAUUGGCUGCACUACAAAUCAGUCAAAACUCAAGAGAUGAUAUUAAUUGAAACAAGUGGGCAAAUUGAACGAGGAUGCGUAAUUGACAUGGAAGUCUUGGUAGACUUGGAGGUAGGCUUGUCAACGGAUUGGGUCUGGGUCGGAAUUCAUUAUUCUGGACCCGGAUCCGACAUACUAUAUUGGACUCGGAUUCGACCCAUUUAUUCGACGGGCCUUCUACUCUAUAUUCUGAAUCCGGAUCCGACGGGUCUCGGAUUCGGGUCGAGUCUACCCGAAAAAAUCUAUCAAAACUUACAAAUUCUAAUAAAAAUGAGAAAAAAAUAUAUUUGUAAACCAAUUUUUAACUAAUAAAAAAAAUCAAAUAAGAAAAAAAAUCAAAUUGACUUUACUCAAAUACAUCACCCUAAUCAAAUUAUAUUGAUAAAUAUAUAUAUAUUUAAAUUGUUAAUCCAUUUAUAUCCGAAUCCGGGUCUAAUACGGGUCGAAAUAUUAUAUUCCGUAUUCGACCCGUUUUUUGUUUGAUAAAACGGAUCCGGAUCCGGGGUCCGAGUAAUGGAAUUAAAUCCCUACUCGUACCCACAAUAAUUUGACGGAUUCGAUCCGGAUCCGGAUCUAGACUCGAACUGUUGACAGGCCUACUUGGAGGGAUCAACAUUUGAAUCUGACUUGGAUGAGGUAAGCACAAAGGUAAGCAUUUUCCAUUUUUAUUUUGGUUUUCAUUUCUUGUAUACUUUAAAACGUUUUUCAUUCUACCUCACUCACAUAUAAUAUAUAAUGAAAUGUAAAUUUUUUAUGAAAACAUAUAAAAUAUAUAAAAUGAAAAAUAAAUUUUUUAUAAAAACAUAUGUUUAUAUUUUUCUUUGUAUAAUGAAAAUUUAUAAUUCAUUCUACCAAUAUAUACGCAUAUAUAUAUAUAUAUAUAUAUGUAUAAUGAAAAAUAAAUUUCUUCUUCAUCUUUAGGGCUGCACCUACAAACAACAAAACUCAGCUCCACUCAACUCUUUCCUUCAUGUUUUUUUAUAAAAAACAUAUAUAUAUAUAUAUAUAUAUAUAUAUAUAUAUAUAUAUAUAUUAAGUUACACUAAUUGUUUUAUCUCUUAAUAAUUUUUAUUUUUUUUACUAAUAUUACCUCAUGAGAGGCAAAAAGGGUAUAAAUGGAACAAAAUUAUUAUCUCAUUUUCCAAAAGAAUUUUUUAAUGGUACUUUUUCUAACAUGGGUUGAAGCUACUAUCAAAAUCUAGUUUAGGGAAAGUUAGUGCUAUUUUUUAAAUUUUAGGGUAGAUGAGUACAACUGUUAGAAACCUCAAAAAGGGAUGGUUUCUGCAAUUAUCCCUAAAAGCAUAGACCAAGACUACACUAAACACUAAAAAUUUGACACCUAUUUCUUAUAACUAUACUAGAUAAUCUCAUAAUUAUAUAGAAAAAUAAAUCAAAAUUCAUUACACAAAAGCAUUUUUGGAUAUUUAUUUAAGAAUUUGAUCAAAUUAAUAUUAUUUUAAAGUUUUAUUACAAAAACUAUCAAAUUAAAGGAGGUAGGGGUAAUGUUUCAAACCUCACAGUGAAAUUGUUAGAAACCUCAAAGAGGUUCUUGAUAUUAUCCCUAAUUUUUUUGGGUACAAAAACCUCCAAAAAAGUGGCAGUUCAAACGGGGCCAACAUUCUCCUAUCAUCACAAGUCCUCCCGCUGACCCACUAGCCGCCGGCGGCCCUGGGUCAUCUAUUAAAGGCUUAAAGCAUAGACCAAGACUGCAGUAAUCCCUCAUAUACACAUGUUAACUAGAGGGGUCAAUCACAACCCAAUUAUAUUGAUCUGUUCAAACCCGUUCACUAAUAAUCCUUUCAAAUUCGCCCAUUAAAAUUUAAAUGGGUCUAAGUGAGUACCUAAUUAAACCCAUUUAAUUGAUGGAUAGUUGAUUGAUUCAACUCACCCAUUUAUACCCAUUUAAAAAUAAAUAUAUGACAGGGUGUCGAGCCUGUGCAAUAAUAAUUAUCUACUCAAGAAAAACACAAAUUCUGUAUAUAGCAGUGAGUAGAGUCGAAUCCACACGGACUGUAGAUAAUUCGUUUCUUUUAGAGUCCAAAGUAUGGGGGGUUUUGGAGAAUAUAAAAUAACUAAUUAACUAACUAAUAAAACAACUAAUAGAAAUAAAUAGAAAUUAAUCAAUAACCAAUAUGACUCUAGCCAAAGGUGCAACUUUUCAGACACGGUCCAUUCAACUGAUCAUCGAUGCAAAGAUAAUUCAAUUACUCAUUACUAGAUUGGUUAUAAUUGUCAUACACGCGAUGAACAACCAGCCUUUUCUUAAUUUCUCGAUAGUUAAAGUACGACCGUUAACUAUUUCUCUAACCAAGUAAUAACCCUAGGUACGACCAUAGGAUUUAAUUACUCGAUUACAUUAAUAAUUAGAAAAACCCAACCCUAACCAACAAACACGCUACGAGGGUUUGUUUAAAUUAGAUCAUACGUUUCCCUAACAUGAAACCAAUCACGCUAGUCGCCACUGGUAUUAAUCAAUUGAACAAUUACGGAUUCAAUCAAUUAAUUUAGCAUUAGAUCAUUAAGUUAAUUUGAAUAUCGGGCCCUUGACAUUCAAAUAACAUAACAAACAUAAGCAAUUAAAUCAGGAAACGUAAAAAUACCAAUGAAUAAAAGAAAUAAAUAAAAUUAAUUCGAUCUCACAGAUAUUUGGAACCGCGCCUUCAAAUUGGCCUUCGACUAGAUGAAAGGUUUAGUUCAUCUACAUGGAGGAAACCCCAUGUGAAAUUGCAGAAGUAAUUAUUCUAAAACAAAGCUAUGUUUUCGUCCUCCAUUGAAGAAAACGGCAAAGCUAUAUAUAAAGUAAUGAAUACGAAGGAACUACCUAGAAGCAAAAACAAAACGAAGCUCUCCUAUUCUAAAACAAAAACUACUUGUCUAGUGGUCCCCGCCGAAUUUAGAUAAAAGGGUGCAAUCCGUCAGAUCAAGCUUUGCCGACUUUUUCUCCUCUUUGUUGCCUAUUGCUAGGCAAAGACUUCAGUGCCCAGACCAUUCCUAAUCAGUGAAAAGAAAAUGCACUCCCUCUGCCGCACUCUGUGGGCCAGGUUGUUGAAGCUCUUUGGAGUCUCCUAUGUGUGGAGCUGUUUUAUCCUUCAGAUGGUCUCGCUCUUUUUUUUCUUUUUAUUUUCUUUUGUGUACUUUUCUGCUCCAUUCCUGAAAUGAGAUCCAAAUACCAAAUAUAAAUAUAUAUUAACAAUUAAACAAUAUUUAGUAAGGACAGAGGGGAAAUUAAUAAUAAAAUAAUCAAUAAUUAACACCCUAUCAAUUCCCCCCACACCUAAAUCAUACUUGCCCUCAAGCAUGGGGACGACAAAUAACACCAAAAUUUGAAAAUGGGUAUUGCCCCAUCUACCCUAUUGUCAAGAUACCAAGGAAAACAUCUAUCAAGCAUCAGUGAUCAGGGUUCAAGAAACAUCACCCCAAUUAGCUUCUAAACCACAAACUCCUCCAAUUUAAGACAAACUAAUCUAAGAAAAAGGAAUGGUUGCUCACAUUUAUCAACAAAUGGUCCAACUAUUAACUAAAAUCUCGAUAUUAAGAUCACAAACCGGCAAGCUGACUUAUUCACAUACUAACACAAUCUUUACUUUACUUCUUUUUUUUUUUUUUUUGAAUAACAAAAGACUUAGUCUAUAGCCCUUAGAGCCUUUUGACGCGAACUCCAACAUUUGCCAGAUGGAGAAGCCCGGUUUCUCAGCUCCAAUCGCUACGGGACCACGCACUCAUAGUAACUACUACCUUUUGAGGCGAAAAUCGACACUUUAGGUCAAGAUCCCCGAUCACUCAGUAGUAACCACUAGCGGAGUACAGUCAACUCUUAUUUACAACCAUAUAGCACGAUAACUAAAAAUAACAGCAGGCAGCCUCAAAUUUCCAAACAUGGAGAACUAAAAUUAAUAACUGGACCAAUUCACAUGAAAAAUGCCAACAAUCAUUCCCUAUGCCUAGAAAAGUUAACCAAAAAUUAGAAAAGUCAAGCAAUUACUGAUAUUCACAUGAAAAGUCAAGCAGAAGUAAGCAAAAGAGCAACUGUACUUCCCUGAAAUCACGGGGGGCAUGGCGGGGCCACAGCAGUGGGUGAGGCCGGAAAUGGUUGAUUUGGGUUGGGGUAGGCUAAGGUCGAGAGGUUCCGGACCUAGAAGAGGACUUUGAUCUCACCAUCGUCGCUAACAGGUAACCCAAUCAACAGAAACAAAAUUGCCAACAGAUAGAGGAACAAGUAAAUCUAGAUCAAUAGAAAUCAAUAUCCUCAAGUGAAGUCAACAAUCAACCCAAUAAGCACAGGUAUCUUCCAAUUUAAAAGGGUAGUGCACAAUAAAUGGCCCACCAAAUUUGCAAUGUAAAGCCCUGAGCAAUUCAAUCAAUACCAGAAAAUCGCCCCAAACAAUGUAACAGUUAAACUCCAUGGGCCAUGGACGUCCAACCAAUUUCACUCGAACAAACUAUGAGCAGUGCGAGUGACGAAACAAAGCAACAAAUUUCAGCAAUUAGACACAAUUCCACUCAAAAUCUCAACAAAUAUCUCCAAUGGACAGUCUUACACAACUUAACCAACUGGAAUUAGCAAAUAUCCCCAAGAAACUGACAAAACAAGCAAUAGUAGUUCAAAAUUUGGACUACAACUAAAUCAAAAUGUUGUUUCAGUUUUCAAUCAGGUAGCCAACCAAGUAGAAUCAAUAAAUGUAGACAAAAUACCCCAACCAGUACCACUGGUGUAUUCCACAGAAAAGAAUUAAUUCAAAUGCCAAUCCAAACGACUGAGAAACCCUAACCAAGACCAAACCGUACCAGAAAUUAGAAGAAAUGAAAAUGGGAAUCAAUUGGCAAGCAACUCCCAAAUCAACCCCAAAGAACUCCCAAAUAAAUGAAUUAUCAGAGGUGCCUUCAAAAACCAAAUACCAAAAAUGCAUAAAAACUCCCAACCAAUUCAACGGGAAAAACAAAAUUAAGCAAAUCACCUCCUGUGUUUAUCCAUCAAGGAACCCAAAAGCACAAAUUCCAGUAACUGAGGAUUCAGGAAAAAUGCCAAAACAAGGGUAGAAAGUUAAUACCUCCACCUGUCAAUUUUGACAGGUAGUGAUGCGCGGCAAGGAGGUGGCGCACGAGGUGGUGGCCGCGAGCUUUGGAAGAUGAGUUGGCGAUAGAGGCUGUCAGCUACGCGUGCGACUGUGCGCACAAUGGGAGGAGAGAGGCGCGGCGAGCUGGUGGACAGCAGCAGCGGCACGGGCUGGUGGCAGUGGCUGUGGAGCGUGGGCAGGCGGCGGUGCGCAGCUGGUCAACGAAGGAGGAGAUGGGCGGCGCUCGGGCUAAGGAGAGAGUGAUUUGGGGGCUGUGGCGGCGUGGGGUGGAGUUGCGGCGGCGGUCAAAGGCACUGGUGAGUGGAGGUGGCGGGGAUGGAGCUUGGAACGGAGGAGCUCAGCGAGCUGUGGGUGGACGGCCGUGGGCAGGGGAGCAGCGGCGGCCUUUGGAGCUGCUGAAGGUGGUCCGUGAGGUGGAGCUUGGAGCUCGGAGGCGGCGGCGAUGGAAGCUAGUCAGCGGCGUGCGGCAAUGGAUGAGAAAGGGAGACUGGUGGCGUCGGGCUAAGGAGAGAGUAAGGGAGAUGAUGGCGGAUGAGCGAAAGAAAAGAAGGAAAGGGAUACAGGGCAGCGAGGAAGAAGAGGAAGAAAAGGGAAAGAAAGGAAAGAAAAAAGAGAAGAAAAAGGAAAAAGAAAAGAGAGAAAGAAAAAAAGAAAAUAAAAUGGUUUUGGGGUUUUUUUUUCAAUAUUUUUUUUUCAAUUUUUUCCCUAAUUUAAAUUUUCAAAAUUUGAAUUUUUGAAGAAAAAGAAAGAAAGAAAAAUGCUCUUUGAAUUUUUGAAUUUUCUCAAUGUGAAAUUUUAAAUUUUUUUUUGGUUUUGGAUCGUCAAACACCGCGUGAGCACGCCAAGAUUACACUUCCUGGUCACAGUAGAGGAAAAUAUUAAGACCGACUACCACCCAAAUGAGAAAUGACAAAAUGAAAGUAAUGAACAAUGAAAAACGAUAAAACUAAUAUUUGGGUUGCCUCCCAAAAAGCGCCUUUCUUUUAUGUCUUUGGCCAGACAUUGCCAUAUUUGUUUAGGGAGGAUAAAAUCUUGUACCUCGGUUUAAUGUUUCAUCCUCUAUAUAGUCCUGAUAACCCUCGUAAAUAGAGUAAUUCUUGAACACAUGAGCUACGGUCUUCCCUGGACUAGUAAAUGGUGCCAAACAAGUCAACAAUAAGUUGAAUUUUCCAUUCACUCCUCCAUCACUUGCAUUUAUUGGUUUAAGAUAUCUUGCCAUCGCCACUCUUAAUUUAUUUCUGUCAUGAAAUUCGAAAUUUUCUGAUAUAAUAAAAUCAAUUUCAUUAACAGGAAUUGAAGAAUAAGAGUUAGAAGAAUAUUGAUGAAGGAAUGGAUGCGAUGUCACCGCAUUUGAAGAUUGUUCACUGGUUUCAUUCACUUGAACGAGUUGAUACUGGGGCAUUAUUUCUUGCACUUCACCUUUUUUUUCAACUGCAUCUUUAGAUCCGUUUUCUUGAAACUCUUGCAGUUCCAUGUCAUUUGACGGGAUAACUGCACUCUCAUCCUCUUCAAGGUUGAUAUUGGUUUGUGAGGGCAAUUCUUCAAGGUGAGAAGCUAAUCGCUCUAUCCUGGAUGUCAAUUGAUUCAUUUGAUCCGCCGGAUCCCUAAUGCUCGCUUGUGUCUCCUGAUGAAAUCGAUAUGUAUUAGUAGCAAAUAAUUCAAUCAAUUCCUGAAGAGACAUACCUGACAUGGAUGAUGGCUGUUGAGAUUCUUGCUGUUGAAAAUCCAUUGGCCCGGUCGCAUAAUUAAAAUUGGAAUCAUCCCACCAUCCUUGAUCAUACCCGUUUGAAUAAGGAUCGUACCACGUUUGAAAUCGAGGUGAAAAAUCUCCAAAAGUAUCAAUUGGAGCACUUAGAUUAUCUUGAAAUGCGGGGCAUGUGUCGGUUGAGUAACCUGAGUCAAAAUAAGUUCCACAAUUUGCAACAGUCCAUUGACCAUUAGGAAAAACUCGAGUCUCAUAACCUCAUUCGGGAAUAAAGUCCAGUCUAUCAUCAAAAUAUGGAAUGUUAGCUACCAUAAACUAUAUAUAACAAAAAAGAGAAAAAAAAAAAACAAGAUGAACUAAAAAAAAACAAAUUAAUUAGGCACCAGUCCCCGGCAAUGGCGCCAAAAAUUGACAGGGUGUCGAGCCUGUGCAAUAAUAAUUACCUACUCAAGAAAAACAUAAAUUCUGUAUAUAGCGGUGAGCAGGGUCGAAUCCACAGGGAUUGGAGAUAAUUCGUUUCUUUUAGAGUCCAAAGUAUGGGGGGGGAGUUUUUUGGAGAAUAUAAAAUAACUAAUUAACUAACUAAUAAAACAACUAAUAGAAAUAAAUAGAAAUUAAUCAAUUACCAAUAUGACUCUAGUCAAAAGUGCAACUUUUCAGAUACGGUCCAUUCAACUGAUCAUCGAUGCAAAGAUAAUUCAAUUACUCAUUACUAGAUUGGUUAUAGUUGUCAUACACGUGAUGAACAACCAGCCUUUUCUUAAUUUCUCGAUAGUUAAGGUACGACCGUUAACUAUUUUUCUAACCAAGUAAUAACCCUAGGUACGACCAUAGGAUUUAAUUACUCGAUUGCGUUAAUAAUUAGAAAAGCCCAACUCUAACCAACAAACACGCUACGAGGGUUUGUUUAAGUUAGAUCAUACGUUUCCCUAACAUGAAACCAAUCACGCUAGUCGCCACUGGUAUUAAUCAAUUGAACAAUUACGGAUUCAAUCAAUUAAUUUAGAAUUAGAUCAUUAAGUUAAUUCGAAUAUCGGGCCCUUGACAUUCAAAUAACAUAACAAACAUAAGCAAUUAAAUCAGGAAACGUACAAAUACCAAUGAAUAAAAGAAAUAAAUAAAAUUAAUUCGAUCUCACAGAUAUUUGGAACCGCGUCUUCAAAUUGACUUUCGACUAGAUAAAAGGCUUAGUUCAUCUACAUGGAGGAAACUCCAUGCGAAAUUGUAUAAGUAAUUAUUCUAAACAAAGCUAUGUUUUCGUCCUCCAUAGAAGAAAACGGCAAAGCUAUAUAUAAAGUAAUGAAUACGAAGGAACUACCUAGAAGCAAAAACAAAACGAAGCUCUCCUAUUCUAAAACAAAAACUACUUGUCUAGUGGUCCCCGCCGAAUUUAGAUAAAAAGGUGCAAUCUGUCAGAUCAAGCUCUGCCGACUUUUUCUCCUCUUAGUUGCCUAUUGCUAGGCAAAGACUUCAGUGCCCAGACCAUUCCUAAUCAGUGGAAAGAAAAUGCACUCCCUCUGCUGCACUCUGUGGGCUAGGUUGUUGAAGCUCUUUGGAGUCUCCCAUGUGUGGAGCUGUUUUAUCCUUCAGAUGGUCUCCCUCUUUUUUUUCUUUUUAUUUUCUUUUGUAUACUUUUCUGCUCCAUUCCUGAAAUGAGAUUCAAAUACUAAAUAUAAAUAUAUAUUAACAAUUAAACAAUAUUUAGUAAGGAUAGAGAGAAAAUUAAUAAUAAAAUAAUCAAUAAUUAACACCCUAUCAAUAUACAUUUAAGCUCAAUUUUUACUAAGUGUUAAGAUGAUAAAUUUGAAUUUCCUAUGACUCUAAUAACAAUAAAAUAUCAUUUUUCUUGUCAAACAACAUGCAAAAAACAAAAAAAGGUAGAAUUUCAAAUUAAUCAUAAAUGGGUAAUUGAGUAUUCUCAUGUCUAUUUGUUAAAUUGAUAUAAAUGAAUUGAUUCAAUUAUAACUAUUACUCAACUAGAAUCCGCUCAAACCCGUUUAAGUUAAUCAUUUUGACACCCCUAAUGUUAAUAUAUAUUGACAAGUGAAAAGUGCAGCAUUUAUCACGAAGAUAUACUUAUUUAUUUUAAUAUUAAAGUCAUUUUUUCAUUACAAAAAUAUUGAUAAUUUCAUAAUUUCAUGGAAGUAUGUAACCAGUGACAUAACAUAGUCGCCAGUGGCGAAUCUUGUCACGAGCCUUCUUUUCAACGCUUUGAUUAUGGCAUACACCUUUAACAAUAUGCCCCCACGUUGUCUUUCGAUCACUUUUUUUUUUUUUUUUAACCUCACAUUCGUUCGUUAUGUAUGUAUAAUUUCUUUACAAAAAAGUGAAAAACUCCAAAAACGUGGCAGCUCAAACGGGGCCAACAAUCUACUAUGUUCGCCUGUUCUCCCGCCGGACCCACCAGCCGCCGGCGGCCAUGGGUCAUCUAUAAAAGCAUAGAUCAAGACUACACUAAUCCCUCAUCAGUCCAAUCCAUCCAUACUUCUUCUUCAGGCCUCAGCUACUAAACAAUAAACUCUGCUCCACUCAAUUCUUUCCUCUGUUUCUUGUGGUUUUUGUCUGAAAAUGGCGGCAUCAGAAGAAGUGAAAGUGCCAAGAAUCAAGCUGGGGUCGCAAGGUUUUGAAGUUUCAGCUCAAGGGCUGGGCUGCAUGGGCAUGUCAGCCUUCUACGGGCCGCCAAAGCCCGAGCCUGAUAUGAUCAAACUCAUUCACCAUGCUAUUAGCAGAGGCAUCACCCAUCUUGACACCUCCGAUAUGUAUGGACCUCACACCAACGAAAUACUCAUUGGCAAGGUACCGUAUUUGCAAAUUUUCUGCUGUUGUGUGCUAUGCAUAAACUCUUGUACUUCUAAUUUCUAAAAGAGCAUAUUUGUAAGUAUUUUAUUUGGGUAUAUUAUAUUUAACCCCCUGCACUUGAAAUCUUGUCUCCCUUUGUGCCCCCUUAAUUUUGUUUGUCAGCACUUAAACUCCAUCUGUUUAAAUUAUAAGUAUUAUUAGUCAAAUAAGACAAUAAUAUUCUUCAUUUCUUCUUCUUCUUCUUCUUCUUCUUCAUUUUUUCAGAUGUUUGUCCUCAAUUGUAAGAGAAGGUCGUAGGUCUAGCACAUACGUUGAGUAGCUGUAUCCGAUUAGAAGGAUUUAGAUCAUAAUGGAGUUGGUAAAAUAGUACUAUUUUCGUCUUUGAAGUUAAAAUUGUCAUCAAUUUAUGGAAAGUUUACUAUUUCUCUGAUAAGAGAUGGUAAAAUUUACUUUUUACGAGUACUAAAGUUUUAAAGAUUAUGAAAAGAGAAUUGUACGAAUGAAUAUAAGGGAAAAGAAAGGUAAGAACAUAAAUAGAUUGUGUUUGGAUUGAUUUUGGGAGGGGCAAGGAGAGGAAAGGGAAAGAAAAGGAAAUGGAUGGAUUGUGUUUUGCUCAGACAUCAUUUCCAUACAAAAGUAGACGGAAACAGAGGGAAAGAAAAUCUAGUUGAUGAUUUUCUUAUAAAAUGCCUCAAGCACCCAAAUUUUACAUAAACUUGAGUAACCAUGUGUUUCAUAUCUGUAGAACUUGCCAUUUGUGAAACCUGCUUUAGAUAUGAAUUGUGGGAUGCAACAGCAGGCUAGGAAUGUUUGACUAAGCAACUUAUGUAAAUAUUUUAUCGUUAAGUGAAGUUCCUCUUUUGCUGUUUAAAAAAAAAAAAAAAAAAGAGAGAGAAAAACCAUUCCUUUAAUGUCUGUCAUUCUACCAAACAGCAGAUUUAGGAUUUCUUUUUUUCCCAUCCAUAUCUAAUCCAAAUAAGGCAAAUGAGAACUAUUUUCCACUACUCUCCUUUCCUUUCUUUUUCACUAGGAUGUUUUAUUUAUUCUUUCCUUUGAUCCUAAUGGUUCCUAAAAGGGCACUAAUUAUUCUACAUUGAUCGUUCCCCAUAUUUGUAUUAAUGUGCAUGUUCACGAUUCUGUGUACGUUCAUGUUGUGCAUCAAAUCUUGUGAAUGUCAAAGCUAAGAUUGUAAAUUUAAGUUGAAGAAACAUAAAAGAAAAAAGAAAAUGGAUUGGCUCCUUUAAGAGUAUCAGACUUCUAAACCCCAAGGAUUACAUAAUUUUCAUAUCCUUUGCUAUACAAAGAAGUGGCAUAGCCUUAACAAUGAAGUGCUGGAAAAACUCCAGAAGGACUGUGCCAUCCAUGAAAUCACAAUUCCGCUUGCUAUACCAUGCAUUAAUGUGUAUGCCCUUGAUGAUUAAUAUAAUGAAAUCAUGGUUCUAGGCCUUGAAGGAAGGAAUAAGAGCGAAAGUGGAGCUAGCAACAAAAUUUGCAAUCAGUUAUCAGGAUGGGAAAUUUGAUGUACGUGGUGAUCCAGCCUAUGUGAGGGCUUGUUGUGAAGCGAGUUUGAAGCGGCUUGAUGUGGACUGCAUUGAUCUCUAUUAUCAACAUCGCAUUGAUACACGUGUGCCCAUUGAAGUCACGGUUUGCUCGUCUUGCCUUUCUUGUAUUUUAGCUCCACCUCAUUCUUGAUGAAACAAAAGUUUGAUCAACUCCAAAUUUCGAAUAAUUCAGUUUCAUGUGCGUUUCAAUUCUUCAAAAAUUGCACAGAAAAGUUAGUCAACCUUAUGGUCUAGGCUAAUCUGCAGUAUGCUAAAUCUUAUUUAGCACCAGGCACCCUGAAAAGUGAAAACAAUGAAAAUGUCUUAUAUUAGCUUGGCAGUCCUGCUGAGGGAUAUACAGGUGGAUAUCAUGCUAUACAUUGUACAGCUUUCCUUUAGAAGCAAGAGACCUGAGCAUUCUCUUUCAUUUGAGAUAGGCUAUCCAGUUGAGUAAUGAUAUGCUAUUUACUUACCUUGUCAUUCGUUUUCAGUCGGUGCCAAAAGCACUGCAGAUAGAAGUUUUUUAGUCAAUAUCUAAAAAACGUGGUACUCAUUUUGUUCAGAGUAUAGCUUUUUGUCUAAUUGUGAAAGCCAGCUGCGACUACCCCGUUGACCUCUCUAAGCAAUUCAAAGAUUGCAGCUGCUUGCUUACAUUCAGCUUUUAUGAAAACAAUUUCUGUCUUCUUUUUCUAAUAUAGUCAGCAAAGAAUUGUCUUGUUUUUCCUGAGUAUUAGGAAGAAACUUUCUUGCAGUUUAAUCACUCAAAAUACAGGCAAGUAUAAAGGAAAUCAAGGAAAUCGACAACUGAUAAUUGAUAUGUGCAGCCAUUAUUAUAUCUAGACGAAGUCAACAAUGUCGUGUAAUCAUAUUGGAGGAGCAUUAUGUUGGCAUGGUCCAAUAGAGCUAAGUCAUCCGGUGGGCUGUACAUAGAGAAGUAUCACUGGAUGCUUAUUGCCAUUUUUGUCAAUUAUUGAUUUCAGUUUGACGUAUAAUUUGUCCACGACUUCAUUGAACUAGUCCAACUUUUACUUUUUUGCACGUAAUAUUUCGAUUAUCUGCCUAAGUAUUGAAUGUAAUAAAUCAGCUUUGCAUUUUCUUGUCCAUUGAAAUUCUCUAGAUAGGAGAGCUCAAGAAACUGGUUGAAGAGGGUAAAAUAAAGUAUAUAGGUCUGUCUGAGGCCUCAGCUUCAACAAUUCGAAGAGCACAUGCUGUUCAUCCAAUAACAGCGGUACAGUUGGAGUGGUCAUUGUGGGCCAGAGAUGUCGAGGAAGAGAUUAUUCCCACUUGCAGGUAGUGCAUAUAUUCUGCUGCAUUUUCUACGUGGUCUAGAAGAAAUAUGAAGUUCUUAAUUCAGUUUUUGGUAUAAUCUUUCAGAGAGCUUGGAAUAGGGAUUGUUGCAUACAGUCCACUUGGAAGAGGAUUCUUCUCUUCAGGUCCAAAGCUGGUCGAGAAUUUGGCUGAAGGUGACUGCCGAAAGGUUUGUGCAUAUCCAAAACUAUGAAGUUUUUGAGUAUAGAUUGUUUAUAGUUCGAAUAAGUUUCUCACUCAUCUACUUUUACCACUUCAGUGACAAUCUUGCUUGAUAUCCCUAUUCUUGUCUAUCUGUCAUAUGUUGCUGCACUUUUUGAUGUCCAAUAAUUUGAUUAAGCCUUAUAAUAUGAUCACAUUUAAUCAAAUUUCUAUUAAGCAGAGCAAAUCAACAGGCUUUUUUUUUUCCUGUCGAACAAGUCUUGAGGUCUUUAGUUGAUUAAAUGAAUGCAGAUUUUGGUGUCCUCUGUAUUUAGUUCAAAUUAAAAGAUAUAGCGCUAGCUUUGUCAAAUUUUAGAUCUUAUAUUAAUUGAAGGUUGUUAUUGCAUGCUGGAGAUUUAUAUAGUGGACAACAAUCACAAGCAAUCGAUAGUAUCGAAUUUUAAAGUGCAAAGAUGUCGCAAGACAUCAAAACAGGAAGAAACUAUGUCACUUUUUAUGUAAAAGUCUCUUUUCAGUUUUGAGGGGAAAUGGACCUUGGACUUCAAUUUCAUCAUUUAGUCUCAGGCACAGAAUUUCAUCAUUUUGUCCUGUGAAACUAUCAUUUUUCCUUUACCAUUAAUCCUAAAACUGAGUUUCAUUGGUCAGAAGUGUACUUCUUAGUACAAACAUUAGUUGAUAUGCAUUUUAAGGUUCCCCUUUGAUGGGAAAUGUAUCUCAGAACUUAACUCCAACAGUUGAUGUUUCCUACUUGGAUUAUUCAGUCCACCUUGAUGCAUUGUUCUUUGCCCUGAACUUGUGUCCUUCAAACAAUAUUGCUGAUCAUCUUGAAGUAAUGUACCGUUUGUUCAUUUCUCCCUUCUGAUUUCUUGCAUUAUAGUUUCCUCUUUAAUGGGAAAUGUAUCUCAUGAUCUACCUUCUACAAUUAAUGUUUCUUAAGAGUACUCAGUCCACCUUACUGGAUUGUUCCUUCCCCUGAACUUUUUACACCUUAAACAAUACUAUCAAUCAUCUUGAAGUUAUUCAUAUUGUCUUCAUACCUAUCACCCUUUACAGUUGCUUGAAUUUUUGAAAUUCAUACAAUGUAGGAUAUGCCAAGGUUUCAAGCAGAGAAUUUGGAGCACAACAAGAAGUUGUAUGAGCGGGCCAAUGCCAUUGCUUCAAGGAAGGGUUGUACUCCAUCACAGCUAGCAUUGGCCUGGGUCCAUCACCAAGGCAAUGAUGUUUGCCCCAUACCUGGCACUACCAAGAUUGAGAACCUCAAUCAGAAUAUAGGAGCUUUGUCUGUAAAACUGUCAGCCGAGGAAAUGGCGGAACUUGAAUCUAUUGCUUCUGCGGGAGUCAAGGGUGAUAGGUAUGCGCCUGGCCUUGGUACUUGGCAAACUUCUGAAACUCCGCCUUUGUCAACCUGGAAGCGGACAUGAAGACAUACCUUUGUUAUGGCAAUAAUUCCUUCUAGCUAUGUGCCUGAUGGUGGAUUUCACUAUAUUGAGAGUUGAGUGAUAUGUAAUUGUUCCAAUAAAUUUUGACAUACUAUUGUCUCUAGGGCUAUGGCACGUAAAGUUAUAAGUAGAAUGGAUGGAGUUUCUUCAGAGAGGUUGUAAUAAAUAAAGAUCUGGUCAUGUAAAAGCUGAAUAUAAUUUUCCUUGCAGUUGAAUGCAUUAAGAGUUAUAUAUUGUACUUUUGAAUGCUAAAGUGGUCCAUUUUUUAUGUGCUACUGCUACGAGAGUUAUAGAUUGUUGAACAGCAUUCAAUUCUGGACUUAUUAAACAUAAGCAUAUAAACAUUUUAUUCUCGGAAUAUUUACAUCAAAAGAAACUCCAAGGUCACAUCAUUGUAAAGUGUAAACUAUAUCAUAUUAAUAAAAAGCAAAAAAAAUGUCUAAAUGAGGAAAAAAAAUGUACUAUAGAAGAAGUCAACAAUGUCAUGUAAUCAUUUUAUCCUAAAAUUGAGAUUCAAAUUUAGUUGAUUUGUAUUUUGAGUUUCCUCUUUGAUGGGAAAUGUAUCUCAGAACUUUAACUCCAACAGUUGAUGUUUCCUACUUGGAGUACUCAGUCCACCUUGAUGCAUUGAUCUUUCCCCUGAACUUGUGCCCGUCAAACAAUAUUUCUGAUCAUCUUGAAGUAAUUAGUACCAUCUGUUCAUUACUCCCUUCUGAUUUCUUGCAUUAUAGUUUCCUCUUUAAUGGGAAAUGUAUAUCAAGAUCUACCUUCUACAAUUGAGAUUUCUUAGAGUACUCAGUCCACCUUACCAGAUUGUUCUUUUUCCUGAACUUUGUUCACUUCAAACAAUACUAUGAUCAUCUUGAAGUUAUUCGUAUUGUUGUCUUUUGUGGACGACACAUGCUUUACUGCCUUUUUGAAUUUCUGCAUUGCAGUUGCUUAAAUUUUGAAAUUCAUACAAUUUAGAAUAUGCCAAGGUUUCAAGUAGAGAAUUUGGAGCACAACAAGAAGUUGUAUGAGCGGGUCAAUGCCAUUGCUUCAAGGAAGAGUUGUACUCCAUCACAGCAAGCGUUGGCCUGGGUCCAUGCCAAGGCAAUGAUGUUUGUCCCAUAACUAGCACUACCAAGAUUGGAAACCUCAAUCAGAAUAUAGGAGCUUUGUCUGUAAAACUGUCAGCAGAAGAUAUGGCUGAACUUGAAUCUAUUGUAUCAGCUGGAGUCAAGGGUGAUAGAUAUGAUCCUGGCCGUGGUACUUGGCGAACUCCUGAAACUCAACCUUUGUCAACUUAGAAGACUACAUGAAAACAUACCUUUGUUGAGGUAUUAAUUCCUUCUAGCAUUCUACCUGUUGGUGAUUUCACUGUAUUGAGAGUUGAGCGAGUUGUAUUUGAUCCAAAAACUUUGUCAUACUAUUGUCUCGAGGGUUAAGACAUGUAAAGUUUUAAGAAGAAUGGUGUUUCUUUAGAGUGCUUGUAAUGAAUAAAGAUCUGGUCAUGUAAAAGUAGAACACAACAUACCAACAAUGUCAUUGUAAACUACAUCAUACCAACAAAAAAGUAGAAAAUGGUCUAAAGUGAAUCAGAAAUCAACAAAAACUAUGUAAGCACCAAUGGAAAGCAGAAAAGUUCUUGAUACCAUAGUAAACACCAAUGGAAAGCUAAAAAGUUCUCGACGCCAUAGAAAUUAGGGAUUCGUUGGGCAAAAAAGUUCUUAACACCAUACUCUAUAGACGUAGGGGAUCCAGGUUUGGGCAUCUAGCUAAGUGGAACAGGUAAAGGAAAGCUGCAUCACAGAUGUAGCAAGUAGUUCCAAUGCCCUUGCCAAUGGUAUAGGCUUUCUUGCUUCCAACAUGGUCUUGAAAGUGCAGAUUAGAGAAGGAUAUCAAAGCCGGCCAGCUGCGAAUCCUGUGGGGUGAAAACCAUACAUUUGAGAACAUAAACAAAACAGAGCUGCCUGGUCCUCAAUUUAAGCAUUAUACUUGAGAAGGACAAUACAAGCAUUCAGGGAUAUUUGCAGCCCCAUCCUCAAUGUGUGAGAAAAUAAACUUUACAUGCAGAAAGGAAAUAAAUGGUUGAAAUUACACAAUGGAUGGAUGUUGAAAAGAAUCACUAACAAAUAUGUCUAGAAGAUCGAUCUGUUAAGCAUGGGAAGUUCAAAGAGUAGCAUUUUUUUUGAAUCUCAGAAAAAUGAAGAGUAAGGUACAGUCCAACAAUUUAGGGAAUUCAAACUCUAUUUGUGAAUAAACUGCUUGUAUUUUUCCUUUUUCUAGUGUAAGAUUUAAGGAAAAGUUAAAAUCACUUGACCCCUGAUCAGUUCUUUACCAAUACAUUGAUUUUGACUUCAAUCAUGAACAAAUAAUUCAGAUUAAGACUGAAUAGUUAAUAAAUUGAAAAAAAAGGGAAAGACAUCAGAACUUAGAUGUAACACACUAAUCCAUAACAUCCAGUCCUUCUUACUUUUCGUGCCUUUGGCCCAGUGUUGCAAAAGGCCUUGCCUGAGGUAAGGCAUUUGUCUCUACUGCAGCAGCACGAAAGCCUUGGAGCAUGGGUUGUAAUUCUCAUGAAUUUUAAAAUUUUUGAAUAUUUUAAAAAUAUUGUAAUAUUUAUGCAAAAUAUUAUUAAAACACAUAUAACUAUAAUAAAAUAUGUAAAAUUUUAAAAUUAUAGAAAAAUAUAUUAUCAUGAUAUGCGGUAGUAAUGACAGUAUAGAAAAAAAAAAAUAUGACAAAAAUUCAACGAAUACUAGUCGUGGGCAUCUGAAAAUGGUUAUAGAUGACAAGGGACGAUGAUUUUACUUGGAAACUUGGGUUUUUACAUUCUUGUGGUAUGUAUUACUAUACAAAAAUGGUAAAAUUAAAAUAUAACCAAGUUUUGGGGUUAAAUAAGAAAUUUGAGAUAACAGGUUAGCUAAAUUUUUAAAGUGAGCCAAAGCACAAGGACUUAAUACUACAUGUUUUACUAAAAUGGGACCCACAUCUCUAAAUUCAGGCCCGUCAGGUUCAUCGAGGUGCUUCGUUCGCAAGCCCAUUUGUCAGCCCAAAUCAUCAAACGCUUCCUUCCUCCCCUUUUUAUUUAAUAAACCCGAUACGACUUCCUGAUUAUUCCAGGAUCCAACAAUUAAAACUUUACUGGCUCUAAAAAAAAAAAAAACAAUUAAAACUUUACAUACAAAUAAAUGGUCAAAUUCACUUAAAAAUUGUGGGGUCAUCUUCCACAUUAAACUUUUGUACUAUCCAAGUUUGUUUUAAUUCCUUUGGGAAAAUCAAACAUCGAAUGCAUUCCCCAAAAAAAACAAAAAAGGGAAAAGGAAAUGGCUUACCUUUGCCCUUACGUAUCCAAUCCCAAUUUGAACAUUACAUCAUCCAUCCAAUUGAAACAAACUCCUAUGGAGAUUUUUUUUUUGCUCUAUUUUGUUGUUAGAUCUGAAAGUUUUUUCAAAAUUUGAAUCUAUUUGAACAUAUCUCAUUAUCAUUAUUGAAACUUAAAACCAUUUAUUGACAAAUCUGGCAAUUGCCAUAUGCACAAAAGGGAGACGCUUUAAAAUUCUUUAUAUUUUAUUAGAUGUGUUUGUAAUUUUCAAAUCUAUUGUAUUAGUUAAAUUAUAAUCUGUAAUUUUUAAUGCAUGCGUGACCUGCCAUUAGAGGAGUUAUGUAAAUCAAAUCAUGUUGGACGAUUUUCAAAAAAAAAAAAAAAAAACUUAACCGUCAAUUACUCUUUCCCAUUUUAUUUGUCCACUUUUCAAUUGUCAAUAACUCUUUUAAAAUAUUUUGCAAUACAAAAAUCAACUGAAACCAGUAGACAUUGUAAUUAAUAGCAGUAUUCAAUUCUUGUUUUUGUAUAUUACUCGUACAUCUAAUUAGUCCAAUUUGGAGGGAAAAAAAGGUGAAAACAAAAAAAUAUAAUAGUCACAAAAAACACAGAUCUAGCUCAAAAUAUGGCAGUGACCAAUUGUUCUGCAAAAUUAGUAGGAUAAGCAGUUGACAAAUUCUAUAAUCCCUUUUGGUCAAAUAUUAUUUUUAAUAUUUAGGUCGUUACAAUUUCAAUAAUUUAAAUUACCAGUUACUAUCAUCAUUGGAAGAAGCACAUUGAAGGAAUGAUACUCUAAGAUGACUGAUAGAGCGAUUUUUGAGCACAUUUUGUACUAUUAUUCUGUCCUAAUUUUGGCUACUCAUGGUGCUAAGAAUUAAGAUUUUGCUCAUAUUUGAUAUUUGUAUGAAUUAUAGGUGGUUGGCGUUAAAAAUGAUCUUGCGAGGCGAAUUUCUAGAAGACCCUUCAGGUCAAGACGUGCCCAUGCCAGAAGUAGUGGAAGGUUACCCAUAAAGUCGGACCCGCGGGCUUGGUAGCAAAAUAAGUCAACUAGGGAACCAGGUCCACGUGGAUCAAAGGCGGGGGAUUAGAACCCUUAGGCAAAGCUUGUUCCUUUUUUUGGAUUACUACUGGCGGCGCACAUGAAAAAUAUAAGAGACGAAGCCAGGUUCACGUGAAAGGAAGGAGAUAGCUUAGUUUUCUUUUCCCAAAUUUGUCAGACGUUUGUCUUGCUUUUCUCGGUAGAAAACAGAAGACAAGCCAGAAUCACGUGGGCUUAGUAGAUUAGUUUUCGUUUUCUUCACUGGCAACAAUUUCUUUCUCUGUUUUGACUUUUGAUAAAUUUCAUGAGAUUGCUCCAGUACGGACACGAAAUAAGAAAAGGAAUUAAGAGACUUUCUCUUCAUUAUUCCUCCGUUAGUUCACUUUUCUCAAUUCUUCGGCAAUUAAUUGAAUGUUUUCAAUUAAAUCACACGGGAUUGACAGGAUGAGGAGAGGCUAGUUCUCUCCUCUACCCAGAGGUCGACGCGAGGGCGCGGUCCAUAAUAUCAGUAAGAUCUGAUCAAACUUUCAUUAUUUCUUCCAAUUUGUUACUAUUCGUGCGUUUCUUGGAUUAAUUAUUCAUGGGUAUUUUAUUAAUUGAAUAUCAACGGCCGGGUAUUUAAUUUAAUUUAAUAGCCUACUGUCACAUUAACUAAAUUCAAUCCGUAAUUGUUUGUUUAGUUGAUAACUAGUGACAACCAGCAUAAUUAGCUUUAUGUUGGAGGAAUGCAAGAUCUAAUUUAAAUAAACUCUCUUAGCGUGUUUAUUGAUUAGGGUUGAGUUCUUCUAGUUGUAAUGCAGUUGGAUAAUUAAAUUCCUAUAGUUGUACAUAGAGUUGUUAACUGGUUAGAGAAGCAGUCAACGGUCGUACCUUGGCUGUCGAAAAGGUAAGGAAGAAUUGGUUAUCAGAACUUGUUGUUAGCUAUAACCAAUCAAGUAAUGAAUGAGUGAAAUAUCUUUGCAUCGAUGAUCGUUUAAUUGGACCAUGCCUGAAAAGUUGAUCCUUUGGGUAAAAUUUUAUUAAUUGCUAUUUUUACUAAAUUGCACUUGUUGAGUUAGCUCUUGAGUUUUACUUAUUUUAUUUUUACUUUCACCCCAUUAAUUAUCCCUCUCUUUUAUUCUAUUGACUUAGAAAGAAAUCACUUCCUAUCCGUUCCCUGUGGAAUCGACCCUACUUGCCAUUGUACGCAAAUUUAAUAUUUUUAUAGACAAAUCUGGUAUAUCGGAUCAAACAAAUUUUUUGAAAAUAGGGUGAAUCAAGUAACCCAUUGCACACCUAGAGUCCCUGCUCCAGUACUUGGAUUUGUUCUAUAAUGAAUUGUGGUGGUAAUUAGGACUUUUUAGUAAUUAUUAUUGCACAGGUUCGGCACCUGUCAAUUUUUGGCGCCGUUGCCGGGGAGCGGUGUUUUGGUUAAAUUUGUUUCUUUCUAAGUUAUUCUCUUUGAAUCUGUCUAGCAUUUUUCUAGUUUAUGCCUCGCUCUUCUCGUACAGGCGAAUUGAUUUUCGAUUCAGAAGUAGAGAAGGCUGCGCGCCAAACUAGGAAACAGACCAGACAACUCAGGGAGGAGCAAUCCAGUAUUGCAUCUCAGGGACUGGAUCUUGAGGUUGAAUCAACAGAUUCAAGUAGUGAAAAUUUAAAUGAUCCAGGCCAAGAGGGCAUCCUUAUGGCAAAUGCAAGAAUACUAUAGGAGUUGGCUGCUCCAGAAUUACCCCAGCAGCCUUUGUGCAUUACAUUCCUAACGUUGGCUAAAAAUAUCUCAUUUGAAUUGAAGUCAGAAUUAAUCCACCUCCUACCUACGUUCCAUGGCCUCUCAGGUAAGGAACCCUACAAACACAUCCAAGAGUUUGAUGUGGUAUGCUCCAGUAUGAAGUCUCCAGGAAUUACUGAGGAGCAGAUUAAACUCAGAGCCUUCCCCUUCUCCCUCAAGGAUGCAGCAAAUGAUUGGUUGUACUACCUACCUGCAGGUAGUAUCAUCAAAUGAGCCCAACUUAAGAAGAAAUUUUUGGAAAAAUUCUUCCCUGCGUCCCGGGCUGCAAGUCUGAGAAAAGAGAUAUGCAGCAUUAAGCAAUAUCCUGGAGAAUUCUUAUAAGACUAUUGGGAGAGAUUCAAUAAGUUGUGCACUAGAUGCCCACAGUAUCAAAUUAGUAAAUAACUGUUGAUCCAAUAUUUCUAUGAGGGACUCCAGUCGUCUGAUAGAAGCAUCAUCGAUGCUGCGAGUGGGGGAGCCCUGGCGAACAAGACACCACGAGAAGCAUGGAUAUUCAUUGAAUCAAUGGCGAAAAAUUCUCAACAGUUUGGUUUCCUAAAAAGUAACCCUACCCGGAGGGCUAACGAGGUAGAGACGUCAUCCAUUCAGCAGCAGAUAUCAGAGCUAACAUUUUUUGUUACAAUUAGCUGUGGGAAACAUGCAUCAAGCUAAGGCCUGUGGAAUCUGCACAAAUGUGGGUCACUCCACUGACUCAUACCCUAUGUUGCAAGAGGAUGGGGGUGAACAAGUGAACAUAGUCGGAGGCGUGCCCGUGCCUCAUAGACAGUACGAUCCAUACUCCAACACAUACAAUCUGGGUUGGCAAGACCACCCCAAAUUCAGUUAUGGUAAUAAGCCACAGAAUUCAUUUCCCAAUCGCCUACAAGGAUUCCAACAACCGUAGCAACAAAAGUCUCAACCCUCGUCCUCCAGCUCAGGAAGUCAUUUGGAGAAAAUUGUCAAGAGUUCAGCUACGACUAUAACUCAGCUCCAGCAAGAGACUAGGUUCUUGGUCGCGAGCAUUACUCAGUUCCAACAGGACACCAAAGCAGGCAUGAAAGACAUGGAAAUUCGAAUGAGUUAAAUGACAACUGCCAUUAAUCGCCUAGAGUCCCAUGUUUAUGAAAAAUUGUCAUUUCAAUCCGAGCCAAAUCCCAGAAAUGUAAGUGCCAUAACAUUAAGGAGUGGCAAAAAGGUGGAGGGACCUAAGUUGGUAAAUUCGAAAAGCAAAAGUGAGGAAGAGAUAAAAAAGGAGAUUGAAGAAGAAGGACGCAUUCGUAAAGACCCUAAGGUAAAAUUUACUCUUUCAGCUCCUAUUAAAUCUAACUUACCUCAUUUUCCUUGCAGGUUAGAAAAAACAAAGAAGCAAAAUAAGGAAAAGGAGAUUUUAGAGGUGUUUCGAAAGGUGGCAAUCAAUAUCCCUUUGUUGGACGCGAUCAAACAAGUGCCAAAAUACGCUCAAUUCUUGAAAAACUUGUGCGUUAACAAGAAGAAGUUGAGGGGGGAUGAACAAAUUGUGGUAGGUGAGAACGUUUCAGCGAUUUUGCAAAGGAAACUACCACCUAAAUGCGGAGAUUCAGGUAUGUUUAUUAUCCCUUGUAAGAUUGGAUGUUCUAAUAUCAAAAAUGCCAUGCUAGAUUUAGGGGCCUCUAUUAAUGUGAUGCCUAAAUUAAUUUAUGAUUCCCUAAAUUUAAAACCUUUAAAAGAAAUAGGGAUAAUAAUUCAAUUGGCUGAUCGUACAUUUGCUUAUCCGGAUGGAAUAGUUGAGGAUGUUUUGGUGCAAGUAGAUGGAUUAAUUUUUUCUGCUGAUUUUUACGUACUUUACAUGGAUGAUAGAAGUGCCCCAAAUCCAUCACUCAUUAUAUUAGGAAGACCAUUCUUGAGUACUGUCCAAACUAAGAUUGAUAUUAGUAAGGGUACUCUCACGAUGAAAUUUGAUGGAGAAAUAGUCCAUUUUAAUAUUUUUGAUACAAUUAAAAAUCAUGUUAACUCUCAUUCUGUAUUUGCUAUUCAGGCUACUAAUCCCUCUGUGCAAGAAUUCUCUGAGUUUGUUUGUAGGGGUAAAUUCAAAAUUGUUGCGAACAAGUAUCCUGGAAUGAAAGCAAUUCAUGAGGUGAAAAUGAGUAGAAAAUUCAGGAAAAUAUUGCAUUCAAUGGCUAUUUGGAUCCCGGAGGAGGGCCACAAAUUAGAAGAAAAAUUGAAUUACAUCCAAACUGAAGAGCGGUGUAUAGUGUCUAGCCAAAAACAUUAAAGAAAGGCGCUACUUGGAAGGAAAUCCAAGGCUUUCAAUUGUGUUUUUUCAUAUUUGUGUGUUCAAGAUCAGUGGGUUUAGGUUCCUAUUGACAAGCAAUCUUUAUUGUAGGUCAUGGGUGUUUCUGUGUAGUUUUAUUCUAUGUUGGGAGCAAAAAUUUGCGGGCAGAAGACUUCAUGUUACAAGGCUUGCCCGCGCCUUGUACUCACCGCGCAUGAACAUUUGUAAAAUUUGGCGGACAGAAGAUCUCGACCUUCAAGGCGUCCCCACGCCUUCCAACCUUUGCAACAAUGAAAGUUAAAAAAAUUGAUCAGGACCUUCUCUAACCCCCCUUUUCUACUUUUCUCUUUUCUUGUCUUAUCUGGUCUUUUUAAUUUCCUCUAUCUUAGUUUCUACUUUUCAAUUUCCUUUGUUUUGUCUUAGUUUCAGUUUCUUUGUUUCCUCUUUUCUUGUUUGUCCGCUGCGCACAGCGCGUCGCUGUGGCGUGCUCCUCUUACCAUGCUCCUCCUGCUGGGGAUUCCCAAUACCGUGCCCUCCAAGAUUCUAUCCGUGAACUAGGUGAGCGGGUUAAGGGACUAGAUGGCCAUCUUGCAGGGCUACAGGUUUUUGCUCGCAUUCAGGCGAAGAACCAAGCAGCUUUCUUUGCUCAUAUUGGAUUCACUCCAGCUCAUCCUUCCCCCCCUUAGUGUCUAGCUGCACCCUCUCGGUGGUCAAGGAAGUUUAUCUCCUUUUCUUCUAAUACUUCAUUUGUCUUUUCUAUAUUGAGAGCAAUGUAGGUUUUAGGUGUGGGGGAGUGGUUUCCAUUAUUUCUUUUGGCUUUGGUACAAAAAAAAAUGAAAAAAAAUGAAAAAUGAAAAAAAUGAUGAAAACAAUGCAGUUAGUCGGCUUUCUGUUCAUUUCUAUGUUUGUUAGUGCUGGAGUGUGUUGCUAUGAUGGAUUAUACAAUCCUGGGGCACAGGUACAUGGUCAAAUAUGCUAGCUGGACAUUUUGUUUUUCCUUGGCAAUAUCGUUGAAUGUAGAGUGUGUUGAACUUGACCCAUUCUUGUAACUUUUGGAAGCUUUUGAGCCAUGCAUGGGCACAUUAUUCUUGUUUGCUCUAGUUUUGUUUGAUUGAGUGGGUAUCACACAUGGUAUUGGUAUUCUAGAACUUGCUAUUUUAUACAUGUCGAGACUAUAUUUUGUUGAACUGGAUGCAUUUGAAAUGAUAAGGGCAUUUGGGAUUAAACCUUCUUUAACUUCCUAAAACCCAUGCCUUCAUCUUGUCUCCCAAUAGUGAACCAAUUUGAACUUUUAUCCGUCAAAUUUGUUUGUUAGCCAUGUUGAUAACCCAAGACCUUUUUAGACUUUCUUGUUCACCCCGGUGUUGUUAAGGGAUGUCUGAAUUUCAUCAUUUGUGCAAGACAAAUAAAUCUGGAGUCGCAAGUGUUGUUAGAGUAGAAUCUGUAUGAUGCUAUCUUUGUGCAUUUAGAACAAAAAGGGGAGAAAUCGACAAUAAGCUGCUGAUCAGAAGACUCUGUCUUACAGGGUGUGCCCACGCCUUGCAACACGUUUUUCAAAAAAAAUGAAAAAAAAGGAGAAGAGAAGCUAGUGAACAUAAGGCUCUGGCCUCCAGGACGUGCCCAUGCCUUGCAAGACAUCUUUGUAAAAAAAAAAAAAAAUUGCGACAUUUGCACAGUAGGUACAGCAGGUGAAACUGUCUUGUUCGCGGAGUUCAUGUGGUGAAGCAUUGUGGUUAUAUGGUGGGUUUUGGACAUCCUCUUGACACAUUACAUCUUACCUUCACCUUCUUAUCCCGCAUUUUACCUAAACCCCAUUACAACCCUAUUAAAAUCUCUUUGAUUAGUGUAUUUAAUUCACUUUUAAGUGGUGGAGAUUUAAUAAAUGUGCAAGCCUAUGGUAAUGUCAUUCCGUGUGUUGAUUUGACCGUUCCCAGUAUUCAUACAUUCUCUUGAAGGUGACGAGUAUUACUGAGCAUAUUCUUUGGUUAAUUGCCUAUCCGGCAUAUUCUAAUUUCGGCGACAUUGUCGGGGGGGCGAGAUGCUUGUGCUAGUAUAGAUUACUAUAUGACCUCUGUUGUCUUGAUUGUAUUUCUGAGUUUCGGAAUGCUUGAGGACAACCAUUGUUUAGGUGUGGGGGGAUUUGAUAGAGUGAUUUUUUAGCACAUUUUGUACCAUUAUUCUAUCCUAAUUUUGGCUACUCAUGAUGCUGAAAAUUGAGAUUUUACUCAUAUUUGAUAUUUAUAUGAAUUGUAGGUGGUUGGCGUUAAAAGUGAUCUUGCGAGGUGAAUUUCCAGAAGACCCUUCAGCUCAAGACGUGUCCACGCCAGAAAUAGUGGAAGGUUACCCAUAAAGCCGGACUCGCGGGCUUGGUAGCAGAAAAAGUCAACUAGGGAACCAGGUCCACGUGGACCAGAGGCGGGGGAUUAGAACCCUUAGGCAAAGCUUGUUCCUUUUUUUGGAUUACUAUUGGCGGCGCACAUGAAAAAUAUAAGAGACGAAGCCAGAUUCAUGCGAAAGGAAUGAGAUAGCUUAGUUUUCUUUUCCCAAAUUUGUCAGACGUUUGUCUUGCUUUUCUCGGUAGAAAACAGAAGACAAGCCAGAAUCACGUGGGCUUAGUAGUUUAGUUUUCGUUUUCUUCACUGGAGACAAUUUCUUUCUCUGUUUUGACUUUUGAUAAAUUUCGUGAGAUUGCUCCAGUACGGACACGAAAUAAGUAAAGGAAUUAAGAGACUUUCUCUUCAUUAUUCCUCCGUUAGUUCACUUUUCCCAAUUCUUCGGCAAUUAAUUGAAUGUUUUCAAUUAAAUCAUACGGGAUUGACAGGAUGAGGAGCGGCUAGUUCUCCCCUCUACCCAGAGAUCGACGCGAGGGCGCGGUCCAUAAUAUCUGUGAGAUUUGAUCAAACUUUCAUUAUUUCUUCCAAUUUGUUACUAUUCGUGUGUUUCCUGAAUUAAUUGUUCGUGAGUAUUUUAUUAAUUGAAUAUCAACGGCAGGGUAUUUAAUUUAAUUUAAUAGCCUACUAUCACAUUAACUAAAUUCAAUUCGUAAUUGUUCGUUUAGUUGAUAACUAGUGACAACCACUAUAAUUGGCUUUAUGUUGGAGGAAUGCAAGAUCUAAUUUAAAUAAACCCUCUUAGCUGUUUAUUGGUUAGGGUUGGAUUGUUCUAGUUGUAAUGCAGCUGGAUAAUUAAAUUUCUAUGGUCGUACUUAGGAUUGUUAUCUGGUUAGAGAAACAGUCAACGGUCGUACCUUAGCUGUCGAAAAGGUAAGGAAGAAUUGAUUAUCAGAGCUUGUUAUUAGCUAUAACUAGGGGUGGCAAUCCGGUCGGGUUCGAGUUGGUGGGGCGGGUUGAGACCCAAAUAUAACAAAAAAAAUCAUUGACCCGAACCUGACCCGUCAACCCGAAACGGGUCAGGAUGCCUGACGCCAACCCGAAAAUUUCGGGUUGGCGGGUCGACCCGAAAUGACUCGAAACUUAAUUUUAAAUUAUUAAUUUGUCAUUGUAAUUUCUAAUAAAAUCAAUUUCUCACAAAAUUAAUUACAUCAUCAAGUAAUAAAAAUUUAAAUAAAAAUUUCAAACCAAAUCUAAAAUAAAUUAAAUACCGUAAAAGUGUUUUAUCCCAAACCAAAUAUAAAAUAAAUUAAAACAGCAUAAAAGUGAAAAAUAACAUAAUAUAUUAUUUGUUCAAAUAUAAUAAUUUUAACUUCACACAAGUUAAAUAAAUUCAUUUAGGAUUAAGUAAUUAAUACCUUUGAAAAAAAAAGAAUGAUUUAGUUUAGUUAGAUAAAAUAAUUUUAUGCUUAUGAAAUUAUUUUUAAUUCGUAAACGGGUCAUAUCGGGUCAUAUCAGGUCACCAUGGGUUGACCCGAAAUCGACCUGUUUUGUUUUCGGGUCAAUCGGGUUCGACCCGAUUCUGACCCGAAUUCCUGAAACCUCAAUCCAAACCCGUUAAUUUCGUGUUACGUUCAUGUCGUGUUUUCGGAUCGUGUCAGAAAUUGCCACCCCUAACUAUAACCAACCAAGUAACGAAUGAGUGAAAUAUCUUUGCAUCGAUGAUCGUUUAAUUGGACCAUGCCUGAAAAGUUGAUCCUUUGGGUAGAAUUUUAUUAAUUGCUAUUUUUACUAAACUGCACUUGUUGAGUUAGCUCUUGAAUUUUACUUAUUUUAUUUUUACUUUCACCCCAUUAAUUAUCCCUCUCUUUUAUUCUAUUGACUUAGAAAGAAACCACUUCCUAUUUGUUCCCUGUAGAAUUGACCCUACUUGCCAUUGUACGCAAAUUUAAUAUUUUUAUAGACAAAUCUGGUAUAUCGGAUCAAGCAAACUUUUCGGGAACAUGAUGAAUCAAGUAAUCCAUUGCACAUCUAGGGUCCCUACUCCAGUACUUGGAUUUGUUCUAUAAUGAAUUGUGGUGGUAAUUAGGACUUUUUAGUAAUUAUUAUUGCAUAAGUUCGGUACCUGUCAAUGACUAUAGAAUUUUUCUAGUCGGUGAUACAAAAUAUUAAUAUUUGAAAAAAAUUCUAAUCACACAAUUGUAUUUGAUCUCAACCAACCGUCACUACUUUAAAUUAAUUUGGAUUGCAAGUAACGUCAUUACUUUAUGUGAAUAUCAAACAUGAAAAGCGCAUGAUAUAUACGAGCAAAAAAAUUAUAAUGUACUAAUUUUCAAUUUCUUUAUGUAGAAUAUUUUCGUGAAUAUUAAUUUUUGACAUAUCUUAGUCAAGGUCAUUAAUCAACCCGGACCUAAUCAGCUCCAAACCCAGGGCAAAUUUCUGGCAAAUUUCUUUGAAAUACUGCCAAAAAGAAGUUUGAAAAAUAUUGUUGAAAAGUUGAGCAUUUUUCUAUCUAGGCUCUUCGUGUCUCCUACACGCAAUGGAUAGUUUAUUUGUUCAAUUUUCUUUUUAUAAAAGGAGCUUGUCGUAUGUCAGGCACAUGGCGAGCCACAUUUAAAAUUUGGUUCCUAUCAUAGAGUCUAUUAUGUCCCUAACACUGAUGGACUGUUUUUUAAUUUUUUUUUUUUUUAAAAAGCAAGUGAAAAGUGUUGCAACUCAAGAGUUGGAUAGUAAUUUUAAAAUUUAAUAGUGCACCUACCUUUUAAUUUUUUCGUGUGCUUUUAAGGUAUCAAACGGGGAAAAAAAAACCAACACCAUAUAACUUCAAAUGCAAGAUGGUACGGAAUUUGUCAAUAUGUAGAUGUUAAUAGACAUUAAUGACAUGUAAAAAGUGCACCAUUCAUCACAGAGAUAUUUAUCCUAAUAUUACACUCUUUUUUUUUUUUUUCAAAAAUUCCAUAUUUCAUGCAAACAUGUAAUCAAUAUGCCUAAUCAACAUUAGAUGAAUUUAAACAAGUAGCCUACAAAUUUAAAAAUAUUUGAUUUCAUAAAUGUGCAUUCGCAAUUUAGAAAAGGUACUCUUCAAAUGGCAAAUCUAGAGAGCAACAAAUACUCCUACUCUAUUUUGAUUUCAGAUCUUCUUUUGACUUGCCAAAAACGUGAAAACAUGAAACUAAUACUGUGUCAGAUGGAGAGAAGUAAUAGAAAUUUGUUUUCUAGAUUCUUUGGCCUCCCAAUUUUUUCAGCGGGUCAACUCCGACCAUUAUCAUGGUCAUGUGAUUGUAGGUGUACCUGGCUUUGUAGACCACAACGUGGAUUGGAUAUGUCGAUUAGCUCCCAUCCUAUUAUAAUAUUUUUUCUUUUAUAAAUCAAUAUCUAUUCUAUUCCUAUUUCAACUUCUAUUCUAGGGAAAGGGGAGAUUCAACUGAAAAAUUGAUAGUGAUUGAAUCACGAUCGGACCAAACAGAUGUACUAUGCACAUAUACGAAUCUUGGAGAAGCCGGUGCAAUGAUGAGAGGUAAUGUUUGAGUCUUGACCUUCCAUUCCACUAAAAUUUAUAGUCUUUGAUAGUGGCCAACCACCCAAAGAGUUGUUGGUUAACUCCCACCCUGUUAGGAAGUAAAGGUUUUCGACACUCUAAAACAAAUGUUUUUUUUUUGUUUUUUCAAUUAUUUUCAUCUAUCACCAACAGCUGGCGGUCAUGGGUCAUUCAUCAAAGCAUAAAUCCGAACGACACUAAUCCCUCACUAGUCAUCCCCUCAUUCCUUCACGUAUGUUUUUAAUAAAUUGGAUUCAUCUAUUUGGUGUUCUAAAAUCACAUUUAAAAAGUUUUUUUUUUUUUGCAAUGUGUUAUUAUUCAGGACAUGAAUGAUAAUUUUAAAAUUUGAAUAGUGGACCUAAAAAUAAAACUUGUAAAUUUUACAUCUUAGCCUACUUACUUUUAAAACAGAGGGAAAAAACAGCACAUAAUUUCAAGUCAAAGAUUGUAUGCAGUUUGUCCAAUAAAUAAAUAUUCAUAAUUCAUAAUUUCAAACGACCGUGCCUAGUUGCGUGCGACCAUGCCCCGUCGGCCUGCGUUCCGCACACUAGGAUUCUAGAACUGUGUGGAACUCUUUAGAGUCCUUAAAGGAUAAGGAUGCAUGAAUCUUGAAGAUAAGCAUGAACCUUGUAAAUAAGGUUGUGUAGAAAAUUCUAAGCACUUGUAGUGUUUUGGCUUGCCUAUAAAUAGGCCAAGCCCUUUGUAUUGGAAAUGGUUGGCGACCUUGUGUAAAGAAACUUUAUGUAUAAUAUAAGCUUUUCUUUGCCACACUUACAUAUCUUUGCAUACUACUUUGGCGCUUCCGCACUUUAACCGCGCAUUGAGUGUUAAUGCUGAACUAGUUAGGCGUUCAUAGCUUAAGACAUGAGCGUAUGUUAGUGCCGCACGAGGUGUUGGUUUGUAGGAAAACAAGCAGCCCGUGACAAUAGGAAUGUGCUUAGAAAUUGACAUGUGCACUGAUGAUUAAUGCGGUGGACCCGUAAGGGAAAGUGGACAUCGGAAGCCACACGCGCAUGAAUUAAGUGUAAGGAGGAAAUGAUUUCGGGAAUAGCUAAUAUUACCAUUUAUCACUGAUUUUUAAAUUCAAAUUAUUUUUUUAAUUUUUCGUAUGUUGUUUGACAAGAAAAAUAAUAUUUUAUUAUUAUUAGAUUCGCAAGAAAUUCAAAUUUAUCUUCUUAACACUUAGUAAAAAUUGAGUUUAAAUACAUAUUUAUUUUUAAAUGAAUAUAAAUGGAUGAGUCGAAUCAAUCAAUUAUCCUGAGUAUUUUGAAUAACUCAGUUUCAUGUCCGUUUCAAUUCUUCAAAAAUUGCACAGAAAAGUGAAAACAAUGAAAAUGUCUUGGACUCGGGGCACGGACGGUUGCAGGUGCAACCGUCCCUGCCAAUUUUAGUCAUUAUCAACUGUGCGUAACUUUCUUUGUACAUCGUAUAACUUUUUUUUUACAGGAUAUAUUUUCACAACAGAUAGUGGUGAGUCCCACACUUGGCGCGAAAAUCGAGUUACAUGGUGUUAUCUUAGCCGCACAAAAUUUUGAGGACAAAUUUUGAUCCUUAACCGUGCAGGGACGGUCAUACUGCCCCAAAUCCAAAUGUCUUAUAUUAGCUUGGCAGUCCUGCUGAGGUAUAUACAGGUGGAAAUCAUGCUACACAUUGUACAGCUUUCCUUUAGAACCAAGAAACCUGAGCAUUCUCUUUCAAUUGAGAUAGGCUAUCCAGUUGAUUAAUGAUAUGCUAUUUACUUACCUUGUCAAUCGUUUUCAGUCGGUGCCAAAAGCACUGCAGUAGCCGUUUUUUAGUCAAUAUCUAAACACGGUACUCAUUUUGUUCAGAGUACAGCUUUUUGUCUAUUUGUGAAAGCCAACUGCAACUGCCUCAUUGACUUCUCCAAGUAAUUCAAAGAUUUCAGCAGCUUGCUUACAUUAAGCUUUUAUGAAACAAUUUCUGUCUUCUUUUUCUCAUGUAGUCAGCAAAGAAUUGUCUAAUUUACCCUGAGUAUUAGGAAGAAACUUUCUUGCAGUUUAAUCACUCAAAAAACAGGCAAGUAUAAAGGAAAUCAAGGAAAAUUGACAACUGAUAAUUGAUAUGUACAGCCAUUAUUAUAUAUAGACGAAGUCAGCAAUUGAUUUAAGCACGUCUCGGUAAGUUAAAAGGUUAAAACUUUACAUACAAAUAAAUGGUCAAAUUCACUUUAAAUUUGUGGUGUCAUCUUCCACCUUAAACUUUUGUACUACCCAAGUUUGUUUUAAUUCCUUUGGGAAAAUCAAACAUCAAAUGCUUACCAUUUAUUGAAACAUUACAUCAUCCAUAUUUUUUUUUGACAAAAAAAGUAGAUAUAUAAUUAAUAGCAGUAUUCAUAUUAUUUUUUGUAUAUUACUUGUACAUCUAAUUAGUCCCAUUUGGAAAAAAAAAGGAUGAAAACAAAAACACAUAAUAGUCACAAAAAACACAGAUCUAGCUCAAAAUAUGGCAGUGACCAAUUGUUCUGCAAAAUUAGUAGGAUAAGCAGUUGACAGAUUCUAUAAUCGCUUUUGGUCAAAUAUUAUUUAAAUUAGCUGGAUGGUCAAAUAUUACUUUUAAUUUUAAUCAUUUAAAUUACCAGUUGAAUGUUGACUUCCCAUUUCACUAAAAUUUAUAGUCUUUGGUAGUGGCCAAUCAUCCAAAGAGCUAUUGGUUUGUUCCCACCCUGUUAGGAACUAAAGGUUUUCGACCUUCUAAAAAAAAUGUUUUUGUUUUCAAAAAUUAUUUUCGUCUAUCACCAACAGCUGGCGGUCAUGGGUUAUUCAUCAAAGCAUAGAUCCGAGCAACACUAAUCCCUCACCAGCCAUCCCUCAUUCAUUGUCGCAUCCUUUUUAUGAAUUGGAUUCAUCUAUUUGGCGUUCUAAAAUCACAUUUAAAAGUUUUUUUUUUUUUUUUUUUUGCGAAAGUGUUAUUAUUCAGGAUGUGUAUGAUAAUUUAAAAUUUUAAUAGUGGACCUAAAAAUAAAACUUGUAAAUUUUACAUAUGAGCCUACCUACUUUUAAAAUAGAGGGAAAAAAACACCACAUAACUUCAAGUCCAAGAUUGUAUGCAGUUUGUCCAAUAAAUAGAUAUUCAUAAUUCAUAAUUUCAUAUACACAUGUUAACUAGAGAUGUCAAUCACAACCCAAUUAUAUUGAUCCGUUCAAAACCGUUCACUAAUAACCCAUCCAAAUUCACUCAUUAAAAUUUAAAUGGGUCUAAGGUUGUGUUUGGAUUGCAUUUUCCGUCAUUUUUCAUGGAAAAAUUACUGUAGCGAUUUGAUAUAUGUGAGGGAAAAAGGUGAUAGGGAAAUGUGAUCACGGAAAACGACAAUAUUUUUCGACAGAAACAAGCAAUCCAAGCAUGACCUAAGUGAGUACCUAAUUAAAUUCAUUUAAUUGGUGGAUAGUUGAUUGAUUCGAUUCACCUAUUUAUAACCAUUUAAAAAAAUAUAUUUUUAAACUCAAUUUUUACUAAGUGUUAAGAAGAUAAAUUUGAAUUUCCUACGAAUCUAAUAACAAUAAAGUAUCAUUUUUCUUGUUAAACGACAUGCAAAAAAUUAAAAAAAAUAGAAUUUCAAAUCAGUGUAAAUGGGUAAUUAAGUAUAUUCAUAUCCAUUUAUUAAAUAGAUAUAAAUGGAUUGAUUCAAUUAUAUCUAUUACCCAAUUAAAAUUUGCUCAAAUCCGUACAAGUCACUCAUUUUGAUGCUUUUAAUGUUAAUAUAUAUUCACAAGUGAAGAGUGCAGCAUUGGUUGGGAAGAUAUACUUAUUUAUCUCAAUAUUAUAAUCGUUUUUUACGUUGCAAAAGUAUUGAUAAUUUCAUAAUUUCAUCGAAGUAUGUAAUCAGUGACAUAACAUUACAUGAAUUUCAACGAAGUAUGUAAUCAGUGACAUAACAUUUCAUCAUUAGUCUUCAGCGGUGAAUCUAUGCUCUUUUCACGAGGCUUCUUUUCAAAGCUUUGAUUAUGGCAUACACUUCUGACAAUAUGCCCCUUUUAGAAUAGGGAUAAGUUUCUGGGUGAAUCUUUUCACGAGGCUUCUUUUCAAAGCUUUGAUUAUGGGGAUAAUUUCAGAUACCUCCCCUGAGGUUUCUGAGAGUUUCACUCCCCUCCCCUGUGGUUUCAAUAAUACCACAAACCUCCCUUAAAACUAGAUAGGCAAUGCCAAAAUAGACCCAUUUUAAAAAUACAAACAAUAAAAAAUUAGUAGCUGGUGAGAGAAACAAGUGUAUACCACAAAUGCCCUCAUUAUCUUGCAUUAAUGAACUAAUCUCAUGUGAAGAAAAAACAGGGAAUUUAAGAAGAAAGAAACUUGAGGGGGUGGAAGUGAGACCAAUGCAUUCAUUAAGGUCUGAACGUCAGUAGUGAACAAAAUGGAAGGCAACGGCUCUUUCUGGUAGGGCAUGUUGUUUUGUCAAGCGAGCAUAUAACUGAAGAACGGCCUGCAUAACCAAAGCUAGUACAUGUUGUUUUAUCAAGUCACAAGCAAUAAUCAAUACAUUACCACAAUCUUCCAUCGUCAAAAAGCCUGUAGGUUUUCCAAAUGUUUUCUCAAAGAUUUAUCGACUUUCUUUAUCCUGCAAAAGAGGAGUGGAUUUUUUCUCAGCAACAUCUUCCAGAACUGGAGAUGCAACAUGUUUCUCUGAUGAGUCAGGUAUUAGUCCUGCUGCAGUCUCUUCUGUACUUUCACGAGAGAUUCUGGGCCUGGAUUGCAACAAAUUAUCCAGGAUUAGAAGUAAGGCACUAAUACAUUUCGGGCUCAAAAUCUCAUUUCCUGCAAUAGUCCUUGCUUUGAAGUUCAUCAAGAUAUCAAUUGCCAAUGGGACAAUGCCACUCUGCACAGCAAUUUGUCGAGCAUUUUCAUCUUCAGAUAAAAUCAAUGCUAAAGUAUGUGAAACCAUGCACAAUGCACUAUUAUCUUUUGAGAAUUCCAUGGGGCACUGCUUUAGCUACUUUACAAGAUAAGGAAUCACCCGAUCACGGUCUUCUCCUUUGUUCCUAUUGCAAAGAGUCACAAGCAAAUCUGUCAACUGGAAAGCCAUUGAAUCACUACUGUGAAACAACUUCAUUGUUGCAGCAAGGAUGUCAUCAACAUAAGGGGUCUUAAUUCGUUCCUCUUCUGCCAAAACAUCCACUGAUUUUUCAGUGUUAUCGACUUUAGAUGCUUCUGAGGAAUUUCCUAGAGAUAAAGCAAGUGCACGAGCCAAUUCAUCAUCCUCCAGCACAGGAUCUUCAGCAUGACUAAAUAACCAUUCCAUAGCCAUUUCGACACUAUUAGUUUCCACUCUUUUUAAUGCCUUCUCAGCUCUUGCUCUUGAGAACCCCAUCUCAACAAUGGUAGCAAUGGUAGCUUCAUUAGGUGGUGGAGCCACCAAACGUUGGUUUGUAUUCCCUAACAACCCACUACGAUUUGUUUAACAUCACCAACACCAGAAUAUACAUGAGUGAUUAGUGAAAUAAUAGAAGUUAUAAAAACUGGAUUACAAUUUGGAAACAAAGGGUGAUUCCAGAUGGGAACUAUAGCAUCCAGAACCUGAGACUGCAGCAUACGAACAAACACUUAAGGGUCCUUAGGAACAGGAAGCAACCCAAUAGACAGACCAACUGCAACAGGUUGCACAAGCAGCUGUGCCUGGGAUGCUAAGGUUGGAGACAACAGCAAAGAAGAAUUGAUAAAAUAUUCAAGAAGGCGACAAUAACUCUGCAAUGUAUCAAGCAGCCAUGAACUGUGAGACAAUUUGCCCUCCUCCGGUAAGACAAUCAUAAAAAGUUACAAGUAACUCUUGGGGUCUACCUUAGCCACUCUUACUUUUCUUCCCAUAAAAUGGAGCACAAUAUCAUGAAAAUCAGUGAUAACCAUCCUACAAUAGACAAUCAUAGGCUACUGAAGUUACAAUAUUAGUUAUUGAAGUUACAGAAAAUAUUAGCUACAAUAUUAACCAUCUUGCAACAUUGGUUGCUGAAGUUACAGAGCAAGUAUAAGCUUUCUAAGUACUGAGGUUUGGCAUCUAACUAUAUCAAACAAUCCAAGUCAGACGAGAAAUUUAGAAUCAAGUAAGCAUAGUCUGGUAGAGGCUUAGCAAACCAAGUCACAUGACAAACCAGAAAAUCAUAAGCAAACAUGUAUCAAGCUUACACAAACAACAACCAAAUCAUCAUAAGCUGCCAAUAUCAUAUUGAAACAGAGUAUGAAAUCUUAAACACUUACCUGGUAAAUUUUUCUUAAUGAGCUAAGAGACUCUUCAGUUUGUUUGCCAAGACCUUUGUUUGCUAAGAACUUUCUUAACGAGAAUCAAGAGCUUUGUUUGCCAACCAUCAACCUCAGUUGCUAUAUCUCAACAAUGGCGGGAACAAAGUAAGUUUCUUGCUUCUAUAGGUACCGUGCCUAUCAAGCUGUUGUGUCAAUCAGACCAUGGCGCCUAAGUUUGGCGCCAUUUUGCUGAAGGCUCCUUUCUAUAUUGGUUGUUAGGACUCUAAUUUUUCGUUAAUUAAUUACAUUAAUUGUGUUUAUAACUAAUUCAACUAAAGUUUUCCAGAUAAUCAUGAAAUAUUAGCAAACUAGUGAGGGUAUUUAAGUCUUUUUGGCACCAAUGACGUAAGAAAUGGGACCUCACAAUCUGACAAGGGAGGUUUGUGAUAUUAUUGAAAUCACAGGGGAGGGAAGUGAAACUGUCAGAAACCUCAGGGGAGGUAUCUGAAAUUAUGGGAUACACUUCUGACAAUAUGCCCCUUUUAGAAUAGCGAUAAGGUUCUGUGUGGGAUAAUUUCAGAAACCUCCCUAGGGUUUGUAACAAUUUCAUCAAGCUUUCUUGAGAUUUUCAAUAUUACACUUACCUCCCUUGAUGAUAGUGACUAUAAUAAUCUUCAUAAUUUUUUCAGAGACAAGCCAUUGAUAAAAAAGGAUUAAAAAAAAACGAAAACAAUUCUUCUUGGCUAAGCCACAUAUUGUGACUAAAUUGUUUCAUCCAUGACCACUAAAUUGUAAUUUUCUAUUACUGAGAAAAGGAAGUAUUUUGGUAAUUGAGGGGCUUGGUUGUUUGAGUAGGAAAAGGGUAAGAAUUAUGAAUUUUAUGAUUGACAGUUUGGUAGACAACAUAUGGAAAAAACUUAUAGAGAGGUAAAAAUUAUAAAGGUAAGAAUUAUGAUGGUGGAUUUUGACAUCUAAAAUAACGAGCUUGUUCGAAAGAGGAAGAAAUGAUAAGACUUUGAAAACUUGGGUAGAUGUAGAAAAUUAUGAGAUGAAAAAUAUUAGGACAUUGGCUAAGUAAUAAAACUCAUAGGUUUAUAGUAUACAAGUGUAUUCUUGAUUUUUGAAAAAUUUUAAUGACUAUUCAUAUUUUGAAAAUUAGAUAAGGACAAUUUUGGGCAUUCGUAUAUUUUUUUGGUCUUACAUCGUCAAGGUGAAACUCAAACCUAUGUUUGAGUAAAUAUAUGUGUAAUUUUCAAAACGUGAGAAAAGCUGUCUGAAAUUAUCAGAAACCCCAGGGGUGGUUUAUGAAAUUAUACAAAAAACUCCAAUAAAGUGGCAGUUCAAACUGGGCCAACCAUCUCCUAUCUUCGCAUGUCCUCCCGCCGGCGGCCCUGAGUCAUCUAUAAAAGUAUAGACCAAGACAGCACUAAUCCCUCAUCAGGCCUCCAUACUUCUUCUUCAGGCCUCAGCAACGAAACAAUAAACUCUGCUCCACUCAACUCUUUCCUCUGUGUCUUGUACUCUUGUCUGAAAAUGGCGGCGUCAGAAGAAGUGAAAGUGCCAAGAAUCAAGCUGGGGUCGCAAGGUUUUGAAGUUUCAGCUCAAGGGCUGGGCUGCAUGGGCAUGUCAGCCGUCUACGGGCCGCCAAAGCCCAAGCCUGAUAUGAUCAAACUCAUCCACCAUGCUAUUUGCAGAGGAAUCACCCAUCUUGACACCUCCGAUAUCUAUGGACCUCACACCAACGAAAUACUCAUUGGCAAGGUACCAUAUUUGCAAAUUUUCUGCUGUUGUCUGCUAUGCAUAAACUCUUGUAAUUUUAAUUUCUAAAAGAGCAUAUUUUUAAAUAUUUUAUUUAGGUAAAUUAUGCUUAAUCCCAUGCACUUCAAAAUUUGUCUCCCUUUGUGCCCCCUUAAUUUUGUUUGUCAGCACUUAAACUCCAUUUGUUUAAAUUGUAAGUAUUAUUAGUCAAAUAUGACAUUGUUCUUCUUCAACUUUUCAUGUUACUGCCUUUUCAGUUUGUCCUCCUUUAUAAAUAUGGGAUGAAUUACUUUGAUUUUGAUUUUGGUGCAAUUUUGUAUAAAAUGAUUUUUGCUAUGAAGUUAUUGAUUUAUUAUGAGCUAUGUGUUGUAUAUUUACAAAAUUCUGCUAGUUAAACAUUCACUUGAGCAAGCCUUCCAAACAUGAGCAAUAUAAUUCUCUAUGGGUGCAUUUGGUAAAUUUGAAGUCUAGAAAUUGAAAUCUAAUCUAAAGUCUGAAUCUAUAAAGUUAUUAAAUUGUUAAGUACUAAAUUUGAUACGUUUGAGUGUAUGUCACAUCAAGUGAAAUGAAUAACUCAUAACUUAUUUUUUGAAGCAAGUUUUGCUUAAGAAAUUUAAUGUCAUUUAAUUAAUUCAGAUAUUCAAUUUUUGGUUAUCAAACGUGUCUAAAUAUGUUAAGAUCUGAAUUUAUUAAUUUUAAGUGUUAAAUUAGGUUAUCAAACAUGACCUAUAAUUAUUAAGUAACCAAGCAGACAACAUGUUUAGUGUAUAAUAGUAAUUAGCUUUCAAUUUGUCUUGUUAUUCUUUGGUAAAGAACUCUUUGAAUUAAUAAUAAUAAUUUUCUCAUACACGGGAAUCAAAAUAAUUGAAGUGUUAUCUCUACAAUUGAGAUAUGUCACCUUCUAAAAGAAAGGAAAGGGAAGGAAACAUGGGGGGAAAAUAGGGAAAGGGCAAAGUGAUGAUAAAGAAAAUUGGAAGUAGCAAAAUGACACAAGUGAAUUAUUGCAAGGGGUUAAGUGUAAAUUAUGUUUAUUUUAUUAGUCUAUUUAACCAGAAAGAUUGGGCUCUUGUAAGGCACCAAUCAAAAGUUCCAAUUGCUGGAAAUAACAUAAAAACUUAGACUUUGUUUGGUUUGGCAUUUUUGGAGGUGGUUCAUGAAAAUUUUAUUGUAGUUUUUUUUUUCUUGUUGAAAAAAUAUACUUGUAAGAGGAAAAAAAAUGGUUGAAAAAAAAUUGAGAGUUUUUUUUAAUAAAUUGUUUUCUAAAUAGCUCAGUCACCCAAAAUUUUCAGUAUUCUGACAAUGGCAUCCAUGUGGUGUCAAUUGUCAAACUUGCAACAAAGUUGAGAAAAGAAGGUCGUAGGUCUAGCUCUUUUUUAAUACGUUGAAUAGCUCUAUCCCAUUAGAAGGAUUUAGAACUCUUCUACCAUCUCUUUAUUUUCUUUUUUUUUUUCCCUUCAAAAUUCUACAUCAUAAUGGAGUUGGUAAAAUAGUACUAUUUUCGUCUUUGAUGUUAAAAUUUUCAUCAAUUUAUGGAAAGUUUACUAUUUCUCUAACAAGAGUUAGUAAAAUUUACUUUUUAUGAGCAGUAAAGUUUUAAAGAUUAUGAAAAAAGAAUUGUAUGAAGGAACAAAGGGGAAAAGAAAGGUAAGAAAAUGGAUGGAUUGUAUUUGGAUUGAUUUUGAGAGGGGAAAGGAGAGGAAAACGGAAAGAAAAGGAAAUGGAUGGAUUGUGUUUUGCUCAGACAUCAUUUCCCUACAAAAGUAGACGGAAACAGAGGGAAAGAAAAUCUUGUUGAUGAUUUUCUAGUAAAAUGCCUCAAGCGCCCAAAUUUUACAUAAACUGGCCAUUUGUGAAACCUGCUUUAGAUAUGAAUUGUGGGAUGCAACAGCAGGCUAGGAAUGUUUGACGAAGCAACUUAUGUAAAUAUUUUAUCGUUAAGUAAAGUUCCUCUUUUGCUGUUAAAAAAAAAGAGAGAGAGAAAAACCAUUCCUUUCAUGUCUGUCAUUCUACCAAACAGCAUAUUUAGGUUUUCUUUCUUUCCCAUCCAUAUCUUAUCCAAAUAAAACAAAUGAGAACUAUUUUCCUCUACUUUCCUUUCCUUUCUUUUUCACUAGGAUGUUUUAUUUAUUUAUCUUUCCUUUCCUUUGAUCCAAAUGGUUCCUAAAAGGGCACUAAUUCAUCUACAUUGAUCAGUUCCCUAUUUUUGUAUUAAUGUGCAUGUGCAUGUGCACGAUUCUGUGUACGUUCAUGUUGUGCAUCAAAUCUUAAGAAUGAAAAAGCUAGAUUGUAAAUUUAAGUUGAAGAAAUAUAAAACAAAAAGAGAAAAUGGAUUGGGUCCUUAAGAGUAUCAGACUUCUAAACUCCAAGGAUUACAUAAUUUUCAUAUCCUUUGCUAUAUAAAGAAGUGGGAUAGCCUAAACAAUGAAGUGUUGGAAAAACUCCAGAGGAACUGUGCCAUCCAUGAAAUCACAAAUCCACUUGCUAUACCAUGCAAUAAUGUUCAUGUCCUUGAUGAUUAAUAUAAUGAAACCAUGGUUCUAGGCCUUGAAGGAAGGAAUAAGAGUGAAAGUGGAGCUAGCAACAAAAUUUGCAGUCAGUUUUCAGGAUGGGAAGUUUGAUGUACGUGGUGAUCCAGCCUAUGUGAGGGCUUCUUGUGAAGCGAGUUUGAAGCGGCUUGAUGUGGACUGCAUUGAUCUCUAUUAUCAACAUCGCAUCGAUACACGUGUGCCCAUUGAAGUCACGGUUUGCUUGUCUUGCCUUUCUUGUUUUUUAGCUCCACCUCAUUCUUGAUGAAACAAAAAUUUGAUCAACUCCAAAUUUUGAAUAAUUCAGUUUCAUUUCCGUUUCAAUUCUUCAAAAGUUGCACAGAAAAGUUAGUCAACCUUAUGGUCUCGGCUAAUCUGCAGUAUGGUAUAGCUGAUUUUGCACAAGGCAUCCUGAAAAGUGAAAACAAUGAAAAUGUCUUGUAUUAGCUUGACGGUCCUGCUGAGGGAUAUACAGGUGGAUAUCAUCCUAUACAUUGUACAGCUUUCUUUAGAACCAAGAGACCUGAGCAUUCUCUUUCAUUUGAGAUAGGCUAUCUGGUUGAGUAAUGAUCUGCUAUUUACUUACCUUGUCAACCAUUUUCAGUUGGUGCCUAAAGCGCUGCAGAUAGACAUUUAUUAUUGAUAUCUAAAAAACAUGGUACUCAUUUUGUUCAGAGCACAGCUUUUUGUCUAAUUGUCAAAGCCAGCUGCAACUGCCCCAUUGACCUCUCCAAACAAUUCAAAGAUUUCAGCAGCUUGCUUACAUUCAGCUUUUAUGAAAUAAUUUCUGUCUUCUCUUUCUCAUGUAAUCAGCAAAGAAUUGUCUUGGUUUCCCUGAGUAUUGGGUAGAAACUUUCUUGCAGUUUAAUCAGUAUAAAGGAAAUCAAGCAAAAUUGGCAACUGAUAAUUGGUAUGUACGGCCAUUAUUAUAUAUAGAAGUCAACAAUGCCAUGUAAUCAUAUUGGAGGAGCAUUAUGUUGGCAUGGUCCAGUAGAACUAAGUCCUCUGGUGGGCUGUACAUAGAGAAGUAUCACCGGAUGCUUAUUGCCAUUUUCAUCAAUUAGUGAUUUCAGUUUGACGUGUACUUUGUCCAUGACUUCGAUGAACUAGUGCAACUUUUACUUUUUGCACGUAAUAUUUUGAUUAUCUGCCUAAGUGCUGAAUGUAAUAAGUCAGCUUAGCAUCUUCUUGUCCAUUGAAAUUCUCUAGAUAGGAGAGCUUAAGAAACUGGUUGAAGAGGGUAAAAUAAAGUAUAUAGGUAUGUCUGAGGCCUCAGCUUCAACAAUUCGAAGAGCACAUGCUGUUCAUCCAAUAACAGCUGUACAGUUGGAGUGGUCAUUGUGGACCAGAGAUGUCGAGGAAGAGAUUAUUCCCACAUGCAGGUAGUGCAUAUAUUCUGCUGCAUUUUCUACAUGGUCUAGAAGAAAUAUUAAGUUCUCAAUUCAGUUUUUGGUAUAAUCUUUCAGAGAGCUUGGCAUAGGGAUUGUUGCAUACAGUCCACUUGGACGAGGUUUCUUCUCAUUAGGUCCAAAGCUGAUCGAGAAUUUGGCUGAAGGUGACUACCGAAAGGUUUGUGCAUAUCGAAAAAGAUGGAGUUUUUUAGUAUACAUUGUUUAUAGUUCGAAUAAGUUUCUCACUCAUCUAUUUUUACCACAUUCAGUGGCAAUCAUGCUUGAUAUCCCUAUUGUUGUCUAUCACAAGCAAUGGGUAGUAUCAAUUUUUAAAGUGCAAAGAUGUCAAAAGAGGAAGAAACUAUGUCACUUUUUAAGUAAAAGUCUCUUUACGGUUUUGAGGGGAAAUGGACCUUGGACUUCAAUUUCAUCAUUUAAUCUCAGGCACAGAACUUAUGCUGUCCUGUGAAACUAUCAUUUUUCCUUUACCAUUAAUCCUAAAACUGAGUUUCAUUGGUCAGAAAUAUACUUCAUAGUAGUACCUCCUCUAUCGUUCAUAGUAGUACCUCCAUCGUUCAAACAAACAAAAAUUAGUUGAUUUGUAUUUUAAGUUUCCUCUUUGAUGGGAAAUGUAUCUCAGAACUUAACUCCAACGGUUGAUGCUUCCUCCGUGGAGUAUUCAGUCGAACUUGAUGUAUUGUUCUUUCCCCUGAACUUGUGCCCUUCAAACAGUAUUUCUGAUCAUCUUGAAGUAAUUAGUACCGUCUGUUCAUUACUCCCUCCCGAUUUCUUGCAUUAUAGUUUCCUCUUUAAUGGGAAAUGUAUCUCAGGAUCUACCUUCUACAAUUGAGGUUUCUUAGAGUACUCAGUCCACCUUACUGGAUUGUUCCUUCCCCUGAACUUUGUACACCUUAAACAAUACUAUCAAUCAUCUUGAAGUUAUUCAUAUUGUCUUCAUUUGUAGACGACACAUGCUUUGCUCCCUUUUGAAUUUCUGGCAUUACAGUUGCUUAAAUUUUGAAAUUCAUACAAUGUAGGGUAUGCCAAGGUUUCAAGCAGAGAAUUUGGAGCACAACAAGAACUUGUACGAGCAGGUCAAUGCCAUUGCUUCAAGGAAGGGUUGUACUCCAUCACAGCUAGCAUUGGCCUGGGUCCAUCACCAAGGCAAUGAUGUUUGCCCCAUACCUGGCACUACCAAGAUUGAGAACCUCAAUCAGAAUAUAGGAGCUUUGUCUGUAAAACUGUCAGCAGAGGAAAUGGCGGAACUUGAAUCUUUGGCUUCUGCGGGAGUCAAGGGUGAUAGGUAUGGGCCUGGCCUUGGUACUUGGCAAACUUCUGAAACUCCACCUUUGUCAACCUGGAAGAGAACAUGAAGACAUACUUUGUUAUGGCAAUAAUUCCUUCUAGCUAUGUGCCUGAUGGUGGAUUCCACUAUAUUAAGAGUUGAGUGAUAUGUAUUUGUUCCAAUAAAUUUUGACAUACUAUUGUCUCUAGGGUUAAGACAAGUAAAGUUAUAAGAAGAAUGGAGUUUCUUCAGAGAGGUUGUAAUGAAUAAAUAUCUGGUCAUGUAAAAGCAGAAUAUAAUUUUCCUUGCAGUUGAAUGCAUUAAACGUUAUAUAUUGUACUUUUGAAUGCUAUAGUGGUCCAUUUUGGAUGUGCUACUGCUACGAGAGUUAUAGAUUGUCGAACAGCAUUCAAUUCAGGACUUAUUAAACAUAAGCAUAUAAACAUUUUAUUCUCGGAAUAUUUACAUCAAAAGAAACUCCAAGGUCACAUCAUUGUAAAGUGUAAACUAUAUCAUAUUAAUAAAAAGCAAAAAAAAUGUCUAAAUGAGGAAAAAAAAUGUACUAUAGAAGAAGUCAACAAUGUCAUGUAAUCAUUUUAUCCUAAAAUUGAGAUUCAAAUUUAGUUGAUUUGUAUUUUGAGUUUCCUCUUUGAUGGGAAAUGUAUCUCAGAACUUUAACUCCAACAGUUGAUGUUUCCUACUUGGAGUACUCAGUCCACCUUGAUGCAUUGAUCUUUCCCCUGAACUUGUGCCCGUCAAACAAUAUUUCUGAUCAUCUUGAAGUAAUUAGUACCAUCUGUUCAUUACUCCCUUCUGAUUUCUUGCAUUAUAGUUUCCUCUUUAAUGGGAAAUGUAUAUCAAGAUCUACCUUCUACAAUUGAGAUUUCUUAGAGUACUCAGUCCACCUUACCAGAUUGUUCUUUCCCCUGAACUUUGUUCACUUCAAACAAUACUAUGAUGAUCUUGAAGUUAUUCGUAUUGUUGUCUUUUGUAGACGACACAUGCUUUACGGCCUUUUGAAUUUCUGCAUUGCAGUUGCUUAAAUUUUGAAAUUCCUACAAUGUAGAAUAUGCCAAGGUUUCAAGUAGAGAAUUUGGAGCACAACAAGAAGUUGUAUGAGCGGGUCAAUGCCAUUGCUUCAAGGAAGAGUUGUACUCCAUCACAGCAAGCGUUGGCCUGGGUCCAUACCAAGGCAAUGAUGUUUGUCCCAUAACUAGCACUACCAAGAUUGGAAACCUCAAUCAGAAUAUAGGAGCUUUGUCUGUAAAACUGUCAGCAGAAGAUAUGGCUGAACUUGAAUCUAUUGCAUCAACUAGAGUCAAGGGUGAUAGAUAUGAUCCUGACCGUAUCAAGGGCAGAGGUUAUGGGAUCUGAUUAUGGGCAGCUGAUUAUGGGAUCUGGUCUACUCAUUGCAAUAAUCAAGGGCAGCUGAUUAUGGGAUCUAUUCUAUUAUAAUUGCAAAGAUUAUGAUUGAAAUUAUGGGAUCUACUCUAUCAUGUACAUUAGCUGUAUAUUAGCAUAUGUGUCAUUAAUAUAUUGAUAGGUAGAUAUAUUCUUACCUAGAAUAGAAUGUACAGAGUUUCUAUUUAAUGGAAAAGAUGCACAAAAGACAGCAUUCAGUCUUUGAUCUAGAAAAUUGUCAUGGUAUCAGAGCUGGUUAUUUGAAUUUCUGUGUCUUUCAAAAUUUGUUGAGUUGUUAUUCUUCUUGGGUUGAUUAUUUUGAUCAAUCAUUUGGUUUCAAGAUAUCAUUGGGUCAAUCAUAUUGUGGUUGGCAGUCUUUCUUGUAAUUCAGAUCUUUGUUUUUUUGAAAGAAUGUCUAUGGAAAACUCUAUUGGAAAAACACAUACGGAAUCUUUGGCUAUCAAGUUCAUGGGGAAAAAUUAUGCAGUAUGGGAUUUAGAAUGUUUCUAAAAGGCAAAGAGCUUUGGAGUCAUAUUGAUGGGUCUUCUACCUAGAGAUGGAAAAGAAUUUUGUCAAUGGGAGGCAAAGGAUGCUAGAAUUAUUUCUUGGAUUCUAGCAUCUAUUGAAGCUCAUAUGGUGAAUAAUUUACACUCCUUUAAUACAGCAAAGGAGAUGUGGGAUCAUUUGAAGCGUGUAUAUCAUCAAGAUAAUACAGCAAGAAGAUUUCAGCUUGAAUUGGAAAUUAGUAACUACGGCCAAGGUAACCUCUCUAUUAAGCAGUAUUAUUCUGGAUUUCUUAAUUUAUGGAGCGAAUACUCUAGUAUAAUCUAUUCUAGGGUACCAAGCCAAGCCUUAGCUGGUAUUCAAGCGGUUCAUGAAGAUAGUAAGCGUGACCAGUUUCUAAUGAAACUAAGGCUUGAAUUUGAAGCGGUCAGAGCUGGAUUGUUAAAUAGAAAUCCAAUUCUUUCUUUUGAUGUAUGUCUUGGUGACUUGUUGCAAGAAGAACAGAGAAUGGCUACACAAACUAUCAUAGGUGCAUCAAAGGAGAUAUCUGAAGUUGUCAAUAUUGCCUAUGCUGCUUAAGGGAGGAAUCGCGAAAAGGGACAAGUACAGUGCUAUAGUUGCAAGGAACUUGGACAUAUAGCAUGCAAUUGUGGAAAGAAAUUUUGCAAUUAUUGUAAGCAAAAUGGACACAUCAUCAAGGACUAUCCUACACGCCCUGAAAAUCGGAGAGCCCAAGCCUUUCAAGCUGCUGUCCAAGACUCUAACACUAUUGGUUCUACAUCUACAGCCACAACACUUACUCCAGAAAUGGUUUAACAAAUGAUUUUUUCAGCAUUUUCUGCUCUUGGACUUCAAGGUCAAAGUAAAUUGUUUCUACUCUUUGGUUAGUUGAUUAUGGAGCAUCAAAUCAUAUGACUGGUUCACCUGCAUCAUUACAUAAUCUACGGCAGUAUACUGGUAUACAAAAUAUUUAGAUUGCUAAUGGCAGUAAUCUUCCAAUUACAGCCAUUGGUGAUAUUGGACCUUCUUUUCGUCAUGUAUUUGUCUCUCCAGGGUUGUCUACUAGUUUGAUUUCUAUUGGUCAGAUGGUGGUUAAUAACUGUGAUGUUCGGUUCUCUUGUGAUGGUUGUCUUGUGCAGGAUCAGGUGUCGGGGAAGGUGAUCGCGAAGGGGCCUAAAGUAGGCAGAUUAUUUCCUUUGCAAUUUUCAGUUCCGAGUACUUUGUCUUUGGCUUCUAUGGUUAUUGACAAUAAAGUUGAAGUAUGGCAUCAACGAUUGGGUCAUCCAAAUAAUGUCAUUUUAUCUCAUUUAAUGAAGCACGGUUUUUUUGGGAGUAAAGAUCAGUGUUCUAAUCAUAACUUGUCUUUUGAUUGUUCUACCUGUAGAUUAGGGAAAAGUAAAAUAUUACCUUGUCCUAGUCAUGGUGGUCAUGCUAAUACAAGUUUUGACAUCAUUCAUAGUGAUAUUUGGGGUAUUACUCCUGUUGUUUUACAUGCACAAUAUAAAUACUUUGUGACAUUCAUUGAUGACUAUAGUCGUUUCACAUGGAUAUAUUUUUUGCGCACUAAAGUCGAGGUAUUUGUUGUUUUUCAAAAACUUGUGGCUUAUGUACAGACACAAUUUUCUACUGGCAUUAAGGUUUGACGUUCUGACAAUGGUGGGGAAUAUAUGUCCCAUGCCUUUCAAGCAUUUUUGCAACAGAGAGGUAUUUUAUCUCAACGAUCAUGUCCUUAUACCUCUCAACAGAAUGGGGUGGCUGAAUGUAAGCAUCGUCAUUUGUUGGAUAUGGUAUGAACCUUACUCUUGCAGUCUUCGGUUCCAUCUAAAUUUUGGAUAGAAACUUUGCCCACUACAGUUUAUUUAAUUAAUCAUCUACCUUCUCAACAGUUGAAUUUUGAUUCUGAUUAUUAUCAUCUUUUUGAUGUACAUCCUGAUUAUGGCAACCUACACACAUUCGGAUGUGUUUGUUUUGUUCACUUACCUCCUUAUGAGCAUCACAAACUUACAGCUCAAUCUGUUAAAUGUGCUUUUAUGGGUUAUAGUACAACUCAUAAAGGAUUUUUGUGUUACAAUGCUAUGGCUAAUCGUCUACACAUUUCUAGAAAUGUGAUUUUUGUUGAACAUGAGCACUACUUUCCAUACAUGUUUCCUCGUCUAAAGGUGUUGUUCUUCCUAGCUUUGAUGAUAUUGUUCCGCCAAUUGAACGGUUUAAACCAGGGAUUGUUUAUCAAAGACAAUAGGCUUCUUCAUCACAACCUCUUCUCGACUCUGGUCCAGUCCUUGCUCCAACCACUCUUAAAAGGUCUCUACGUCUUAGUCGUCCGCCUGAUUGGUAGUAUGGUUUCUCUGCCACUAUAACUGACACUACAGAUCCUACAUCCUAUUCACAGGAAGCUAAACAAGCAUGUUGGGUGAAAGUUAUGAACGAGGAACUUCAAACUCUUCAGGAGAAUCAUACUUGGGAUAUUGUUCCUUGUCUCGAUGGUGUUAAGGCCAUUGGUUGUAAACGGGUGUUUCCUCUUAAAUUGAGAUCUGAUGGCUCACUUGAAAGAUAUAAAGCACGAUUAGUAGCUCUUGGUAAUCGGCAAGAGUAUGGAGUAGAUUAUGAGGAGACCUUUGCUCCAGAUGACAAUAGUUCGAAUUGUUCUAGCUAUUGCUACUUCUAAGGGCUGGUCAUUGCGACAGAUGGAUGUUAAGAAUACCUUUUUACAUGGCGAUCUUCAAGAAGAGAUUUAUAUGACUCCACUAUUAGGGUUAUUUUCUACAUCUUCUUCUGAUGUUUGUAAGCUAAAACGCUCACUCUAUGACUUAAAACAAGCUCCACGUGCUUGGUUUGAUAAGUUCCAUUCUACGCUUAUUAGCUUCUCCUUUGUUCAGAGUCAGUAUGACUCCUCUUUGUUUCUUCGCCAGACCGAUAAGGGACUUGUUUUACUUCUGGUAUAUGUUGAUGAUAUUGUUAUCACAGGAAAUGACUCUGAAUUAAUAUCUCAACUUCAGGAGCAUCUUCAACGUUCUUUUCAUAUGAAGGACUUAGGCCCUCUACAAUAUUUUUUAGGUCUAAAAAUGCAGUCUACCUCAACUGGUAUUUUCUUACAUUAGCAUAAAUACAUCCAGGAAUUAAUUGCUUUGGCAGGUCUCCAAGAUGGUCGGUCUGUUGAUACCCCCUUGGAAGUAAAUGUUAAAUAUCACCGUGAUGAGGGUGAUUUUCUCUCAGAUCCCUCUCUCUAUCGGCAAUUGGUGGGAAGUCUCAACUAUUUAACUAUUAGUCGGCCUGAUAUUUCAUUUGCUGUUCAACAAGUUAGUCAAUUUAUGCAGGCGCUUAGGGACCUUCAUCUAGCUGCUGUUCAUCGCAUUAUCCGUUAUUUACUAGGCACUUCCUCUCGUGAUUUUUUCUUCUCCAGAAAUUCUCCUAUUCAUUUGGUAGCCUAUAGUGAUGCUGACUGGGCGGGUUGUUCGGAUACUGGACGUUCAGUUACUGGUUGGUGCAUGUUUCUUGGAAAUUCUCUUAUUUCUUGGAAAAGCAAAAAGCAAGACGGGGUGUCUAAGUCCUCUAUUGAGUCAGAGUAUCGUGCUACGUCCUCUGCAUGUUCUGAGAUCAUUUGGCUUCGAGGCCUCUUAGGUGAGCUUGGGUUUCCCCAACUUGCACCUACUCCUCUUCAUGCCGAUAAUACUAGUGCUAUUCACAUUGCUGCUAAUCCUGUAUUUCAUGAGCGUGCCAAACAUAUUAAAGUUAAUUGUCACUCUAUCUGUGAAGCAUAUGAUGAUCAUGUUAUCUCUCUUCCUCAUAUCACCACUGAUCUUCAAACUGCUGAUAUACUUACUAAAGCUCUUUCUCGGCAUAGACACAAUUUUCUGGUUGACAAAUUAAUGCUUUUUGAUCGACCAGCAUCAAUUUGAGGGGGGAUAUCAGGGGCAGAGGUUAUGGGAUCUGAUUAUGGGCAGCUGAUUAUUGGAUUUGGUCUACUAAUUGCAAUAAUCAAGGGCAGCUGAUUAUGGGAUCUAUUCUAUCAUAAUUGUAAAGAUUAUGACUGAAAUUAUGAGAUUUGCUCUACCAUGUAUAUUAGCUGUAUAUUAGCAUAUCUGUCAUUAAUAUAUUAUAUAGGUAAAUAUAUUUUUACCUAGAAUAGAAUGUACAGAGUUUCUAUUUAAUGGAAAAGAUGCACAAAAGACAGCAUUCAGUCUUUGAUCUAGAAAAUUGUCAGGCCGUGGUACUUGGCGAACUCAUGAAACUCAACCUUUGUCAACUUAGAAGACUACAUGAAGACAUACCUUUGUUGAGGUAUUAAUUCCUUCUAGCAUUCUACCUGUUGGUGAUUUCGCUGUAUUGAGAGUUGAGCGAGUUGUAUUUGAUCCAAAAACUUUGUCAUACUAUUGUCUCGAGGGUUUAAGACAUGUAAAGUUUUAAGAAGAAUGGUGUUUCUUUAGAGUGCUUGUAAUGAAUAAAGAUCUGGUCAUGUAAAAGUAGAACACAACAUACCAACAAUGUCAUUGUAAACUACAUCAUACCAACAAAAAAAGUAGAAAAUGGUCUAAAGUGAAUAAGAAAUCAACAAAAACUAUGUAAGCACCAAUGGAAAGCAGAAAAGUUCUUGAUACCAUAGUAAACACCAAUGGAAAGCUAAAAAGUUCUCGACGCCAUAGAAAUUAGGGAUUCGUUGGGCAAAAAAGUUCUUAACACCAUACUCUAUAGUCGCAGGGGAUCUAUAGAGCAGGGAUCCAGGUUUGGGCAUCUAGCUAAGUGGAACAGGUAAAGGAAAGCUGCAUCACAGAUGUAGCAAGUAGUUCCAAUGUCCUUGCCAAUGGUAUAGACUUUCUUGCUUCCAACAUGGUCUCGAAAGUGCAGAUUAGAGAUGGAUAUCAAAGCCGGCCAGCUGCGAAUCCUGUGGGGUGAAAACCAUACAUUUGAGAACAUAAACAAAACAGAGCUGCGUGGUCCUCAAUUUAAGCAUUAUACUUGAGAAGGACAAUACAAGCAUUCAGGGAUAUUUGCAGCCCCAUCCUCAAUGUGUGAGAAAAUAAACUUUACAUGCAGAAAGCAAAUAAAUGGUUGAAAUUACACAAUGGAUGGAUGUUGAAAAGAAUCACUAACAAAUAUGUCUAGAAUCGAUCUGUUAAGCAUGGGAAGUUCAAAGAGUAGCAUUCUUUUAGAGUCUCAGAAAAAUAAAGAGCAAGGUACAAUCCGCCAAUUUAGGGAAUUCAAACUUUAUUUGUAAAUAAACUGCUUGUAUUUUUCCUUUUUCUAGUGUAAGAUUUGAAGGAAAAGUUAAAAUCACUUGACCCCUGAUUAGUUCUUUACGAAUACACUGAUUUUGACUUCAAUCAUGAACAAAUAAUUCAGAUUAAGACUGAAUAGUAAAUAAAUUGAAUAAAAAAAAGGAUAGACAUCAGAACUUAGAUGUAACACACUAAUCCAUAACAUCCAGUCCUUCUUACUUUUCAUGCCUUUGGCCCAGUGUUGCAAAAGGCCUUGCCUGAGGUAAGACAUUGGUCUCUACUCCAGCAGCACGAAAGCCUUGGAGCAUGGGUUGUAAUUGUCAUGAAUUUUAAAAAUUUUGAAUAUUUUUAUAAUUUUAAAAAUAUUGUAAAUUUUAUGAAAAAAAUUAUUAAAACACAUAUAACUAAAAUAAAAUAUGUAAAAUUUUAAAAUUAUAGAAAAAUAUAUUAUCAUAAUAUGCGGUAGUAAUGAUAGUAUAGAAAAAAAAUACGGCAAAAAUUCAAUGAAUACUAGUUGUGGGCAUCUGAAAAUGGUUAUAGAUGACAAGGGACGAUGAUUUUACUUGGAAACUUGGAUUUUUAUAUUCUGGUGGUAUGUAUUACUAUAUAAAAAUGGUAAAAUUAAAACAUAACCAAGUUUUGGGGUUAAAUAAGAAAUUCUUAUGUUAAAUAAGAAACAUAACCAAGUUUUGAAAGUGAGCCAAAGCACAAGGACUUAAUUACUACCAUUUGGAUUAGCUGUUUUUGGGAAUGUUUUUGAAAAACUUUGCUGUAGCAGAGUUUUAGAGUAUAUUUUGGAAUAUUUUUAAAAAAUAUUUUGGGAUAUUUAAAAGUAGAAGAGUUUUUAGAAUAUAUUUUGAGACAUUUUUUAAAAAUUUAAAAAAUUUAAACUAAUUUUUAAAUUAUCUUUUAGAGUACUUUUUAAAAAUUUUUAUUAUAUUUGAAAAAUUAGUUUUUGAAAAACACUUCAAAAACAGGGGAAUGGGACCCACAUCUCUAAAUUCAGGCCCGUCAAGUUCACCAACGUCCUUCCGUCGCAAACCCAUUUGUCAGCCCAAAUCAUCAAACGCUUCCUUCCUCUCCCUUUUCUUUAAUAACAACCCGAUACGACUUCCUGAUCAUUCUAGGACCCAGCAAUGAGCCCGUUUGGAUUGCAUUUCUAAAUAGUUUUUGAGGAAAAAAUACUACCGUACCAUUGUUGUGAGGUAAAAAAAAAUUAGAAAAUAUUUUAAAAAAUAUUCACAAAAAAUCUAAAAAUUGUCUCUUUUACUUUAUCAUCUUAAUUUUUUUUUAUUUUUUCUAGUAUUGGAAGGAUGGAAUUUAAGAAGCGGAGAGAGGGUAGAGGAAUUUCUUUUUUACUAUAUUAUUUCUUUUCUUUCUUGCUCCAUUUUUUUUUUUUGUUGAAUAACUUAAAAUCUUUUUUCUCUUCCUCACUAUGCCACCAAAAAUAAUAAAAAUAUAAAAAAGUAAAAUUCAGGAAAGAAAUACAUGCUUGCUAGCUCUAGAGAAGGUGAGAUUUGUUUUCCCUUUAGCUGCACUAAAAUUUGGGAGUAAAAUUGAGGAAGAUCCCUGCAUCAGAAGAGAUGGAUAUGGAUGGCCACCACUUUAAUUUGGAUAAUGGGUUAUUUUCCUAAAUAUAUUUGCUUAUAUCACCAUUACAAUUUUCAAUACAGCUUUUUAUCUUCCCAAUUAUUUUUUUUUUUCACAUACAUCACAUCACAAAAAGUGCUACAAUAAAAAUAUCUCAAAUAAUUUACAAUCCAAACAAACCCAUGUCUUUUUUGAUCUGAGGUUGUUGCUGAGCAACUUCCAAAAAAUGCCAUGGGUGCUAUUGCUAGUAUAUUAAUGCACAUACUUAUAUUGAACUUUUACAAAUUAGCAAGGAUAAGUACAUCAUUUUUUUUUCGAAACUCAACACCUAAAAGAAAUAUUUUUUUUUGGGUCAAUUGGGGCACUGCUACAAACUUAGUGAUUAAAAAUUUUAUUUUUACAUAAUAUAACCAUUAUUUUAAUUGCAAAAAUUGAAGUAUGGAAGUCAGGUUCUUUGGAGAAGGGUAUAGUCUGGUUCUUUGGAGAAGGAUAUCAAUUGAUUCUUGAAGUUGUGCUUUUCACUGGCGGAUCCGCCACCUAAUGGCCAGCGCGGGCACUUGUCUUGACUGGGCAAAACAAAAAUGAUUAUGUUAGGUAUAAAUUUAUUUUCACUUAACUAAGUUUGUAACUGUGCCCAGACCAAUUGACCAAAAAAAUAUUUCUUUUCGGUGUUGAGUUUCGGGAAAAUUUAGUAUUUAUCCGUGUUAAUUUCUAGAAGUUCAAUAUAUGUAUCAGAAACCUCCUCUAAAGGUACUCUUAAAAUCAUUUAAUAUUUCUAAAUUUUUAAAACUAUCACCCUCCGUCCCUUACUUUUGUUAUUUAUGUAACAAAUGUUUUAAAAACCCUAAACUUAGACAUUUCAUAGCUUUUUUCAUACAACUCAUGAGAUAUUUCAUUACAGAACAAUGUUUUCUGCCACUUGGAUAUUAGUUUAUAGUCAAAAUAUUGUUUGGGCAGAUCUAGUGAUUGACAAAAAUGCUAUUUAAUGUUACACUUUUAAUAUCAACAAAUAAUUCUUAAAAAUUGAUAAACAAAUAAUUCUUUACUUAUUGUGCUAAUACAUUCCAAUGGUCAUACCCAUAGCCAAAAAAUUUCUAUUGGCCACAAACUCUAUUAACCCAUAUCCCUAUACCAUGUAUCUUUCGCGUUAGACCAUUCAUUGUAAAACAGUGGUUACUCAGUUUUAGCGUCCAAAUCAAUCAUCAGAAGAGGAACUUGUCCCCAUGAAGCAUACGCUGUUUAGUCUCGAAAUUCCAAUAUAUUUGGACAUAGAUGAUGGGAAUACUACUAUAUUCUUUAUUUGGCUGAAUUUUGUUUAUGGAGGAAAAAUCAAAAUAAGUAUGCUGUGUAUUAGGGGGGUGAAGUCCAUUAAGAAACUGUGACAAUACGACUCUACAAUGCUACAAUGGGUUGAAUUUUGUUUAUGGAGAAAAAAUCGAAGCAAGCAUGAUGCUUUUAUAUUGUACUGUACUAGGAUGGUGAAAUCCAUUAAGAGAUUGUGACAAUUUGAAUCUAUAAUAAAUAACCCAUUAAUUUUGUGUAGGCACAAAUGGAAUUCUGUGUUGCUUUUAUUUUUUUUCCACAUAAGCCUGUUAUCUAAACAACUAUUUGAAAAGAAAAAAAAAAAGAUCAAAGUCAAAGUCAAAGAAGCAUUUGUUGUUAAGAACAAGGAGCCUCUAUGUGUUUAACGGACUAAUUUUUGAGCAAGUAGAUUUUCAAGUUAGAAGAGAGGGAUGGGUUAGGUGAUACGAGAGAAAGGAGUGUAAAUGAGAGGUUCAGUGUUUGAAACGUCUCACUUAUAUUUUAAAAAAAAUAUAAAAUAAAAAGUAGAUAUUCAAGUUAAACAGAAAGAUAGACUUGUAGGUAGUUCAUCACUUUUAUCGCUUUUCUCUGGGGUAAAUACAAGUAAAUUUCGUAACACGUUAUAUUGUUUUCUUCAAUUCCUUUCUUUAGACUUUUACAUGUAACCAUUUUUAAAAGCAACUUAAGUUUACUGUGUCUAUAAAGAUGCCCAUUUCACCGUAUAUGUAGAGCAAAAAAUGUAAAUUACACGUCAAUCUAGCUAAAACAUGGAUGCUCAUUAUAACAUAACAAGGAGCCUAUGUCUGUUUAACAGACUAAUUUUUGAGUAAGUAGAUCUUCAAGUUAGUGGAGAAGGAUUAGUUAAAUGGUACGAGAGGAUGAAGUAUAAAUGAGAGGUCCCAUGCUCGAAACCUCAUGCUUACAUUUUAAAAAAUAUAUAAAAUAAACUGUAGAUAUUCAAGUUAAACGGAAAGAUAGAAUUGCAGGUAGUUCAUCACUUUUAUCACUUUUCUUUGAGGUAAACACAAGAAAAUUUCGUAACACCUUUAUAUUAUUUUCUUCAAUUCCUUUCUUUAGACUUUACAUGUAACCAUUUUUAAAAGCAACUUAAGUUUAUUGUGUCUAUAAAUAUGCCCAUUCACCGUAUAAAUAGAGCAAAAAAUGUAAAUUACAAGUCAAUCUAGCUAAAACAUAGAUGCUUCUUAUAUCGGGUAGCAUAAUUGUUGGGAUUGUUUAAUCCAAAUAAUAUUCUUUUUGACUUUCUAUUCAACUAUAAUGUCAAUUGCUAUAUUUUUCUAUCACUAGUAUUAGGUGACAUGAUUUGCAUGUAAAUAUGAUUCCCAUAUGUAACAACUUUUAGGUAUUAAAAUUAUUUAUGAAAUUGUCAACUUUUUCUUAAAAAUAAUUUUAUUCUUUUCAUUUUUUUUGAAUCCAUUGUAUUUUAAAAUCAAGUUUGAAUUCAAAGAUGGUCCACAUGUAAAUCUAAAUACUUUUUCUGAAGUCUUUUUAAAACUUUUUUCCGAAGUCGUUUGAUAGUUAAACACUAACACUAGCUUGUUGCAUGCUUGAAAAACUACACAUGGCAAUGAAACUCAAACUAGAAAUUCCAGUUCAAUUAUAUAUAUUUUCCAAUUAGCCAUGAGUCAUUGCAAAAAAUUGAUCCUGAUACAUUCUGGCCAUCGUGCAUUCUUUUCAAUUUCGUCUUGUAACAAAUUCCAUCGAAUUAACAUCUUUCCAUACAUAAUAUAUUUGAAUUUAUUGCCCAUCAUGACUUGGUCAUGCUCGUGUAGGUAUCAAUAUCAUGUAUUUGAUUGGUAUGUAAAAAUAAAAAAUAACAUUUAUUACAAUUCUUACUCUAUACGCUUGAGAAUCUAAUUGUAAGUAUUGUUAUAACUCAUUUUUUAUACCAAAAUAAGGUUUGAAAUUGCUAAACUUAUAGAACUUUUUAAAUCUCUCAUAGGAAUAAUAUUUUUAAAUGCUUAGAUAUAUCAAAUGUUUUCUCCACCAUCUCUAAAUUUUAAGUUUGAAGUUGAAUCUCAUACUUGUGUUCAACCUUUUCCUCUCUAUUUUUGAGAAAAUGAUAGAAAAAUAUACCCUCUAGCAUAAAACACGUAACAAAUUUCACCCAUUUUUUUUAUAUAUUAAUUUUUUUCACUACUACAUAGUUAAAGUUGUUUUACAGAAGUAAUGAGUGACAUGUGGACUAAUAGGAUAAUGAUAAAAUUUGGAGCUAGCAAAAAUAAAGAGUUAUUUAUUGACGGAGAGUUCUAGAGUAUCUUUUGGGUACCUUACCUAUGAAUACUAAUUCGCCGUUGGAUAUGUCAAAAGAGAUAUUAACCCUUAGAUAAUUUUAAAAGUUUAAAUUGUUGAAUAAUAUGGCAAAAGUUUAUUGGAUUACAAUUAUGGGUAUAGCUCCCAAAAAGGACGGUAGAAUUUUCUUUUAUUGUAUAGUUAACCAAAAAAGUUAGUCACGUUCAAGACUUAGUAAAUUGUUUUAUAGAGUAGCUCUAUAGAGCCUACAAUAAAAAGGUUCCAAAGAUGGCAUAACAGAGUUUUACAUUACUAUACCUUCAAUCCACAUGCUUAUUAUUGUAAUAACAUCCACCCACCUGCUUUCACCCAAACUAUAGACAUAUUAGAGAGACCAUAGACAUACAGGAGACCAUAUUGAAUAUAUCUAUGAUAUGAAUUUGAUUUGUAUACAAACUUAUUAUUGUGGCAUAUCACAAUGAUUAAGAUUUAAGAUACUAAAGACACAAAUAUAACAUAUUUUAUACAAAUAUUAUUUUCUAAUGAUCUACAUGGUUAUAUAUUUAACUAACUUUUACUAGGCAAUGGCAAUGGGGUGCAACCAUCUCUUACUAGUACCAACAUAAUUUCUUUCUAUUUGGUACCCUAAAAAAUAAAAUAAAAAUAAAAACUUAUAAAUAUAAUUUAUCUUUCAAGUUUCAACCAUCUUUGAUCGGAGAAAUUUUAUUUAUCAUUUUCCUUUUGUCUUUUCUUGCCAAAAAUGACUACCAGAUUAUCACUUCUAUGUAAGCGCAUCUCCAUUUGCAUUCACUAUUAUACUCUUAAGGGUUUUUUUUUUGCAUAAAAAUUUUCCUUAUACCCCUACCAGAAGGCACAAAAUCACUACUAAAAUCUCAAAUCCAAAAGGUCAAAAUAGACAUAUCUUAGCCACUUAAUCACAUAUCUUUUAAAAUCCUAUGUUUUAAGAAAAUCGCCUCAUUUUAUCAUCUUCUAUAAUUAGAAUUUAUCUUAUUUUUAACAGAAUUGACCUUCUUUGUACGUAAAUAGAAACCUCUUUUGAUCAUGAAUAAAUAAACCUGUUAUCUAUCAUCAAAAUUCAAAUAUAAAAUAAUCCUUAUGGACAAAAUCGAAAUGUUAUUCUCAUAUCACAUUUACCCCAAAUUUGAAAUUCUGUCCCAUAUUUUAAAAUGUAUUAGCGAGUAAUGUUGUCAAUCAUUUCAUUUCAAGAAUUGUUUGGUUCAUUUGCUAAUUCAUCACUAUAGGAAUUGGGUGGGAGACAGAACUUCUGAGUACAAAAUAUUUAAUGGCUCUCAUGCAAAAAUCUUUUACAUUGCAACUUAAUAUUCUGAAAAUGCAUUUGAUACUCUGCGACGUAAUGUUUUGAUGAUGCAUUUAGUAGUUGUAAUAUCUCUUUCUUAUCUUUCCUUUAUUUUUUUCUUGUUUAGUUCUAUUGUGAUAGAAAUAUAGGUUCUCCCGAUAAUGUUUAUUUUGUUUUUAAAUGAAAAGGGCAUCAUUUAUGUAAAAAAUAUAACAACAUACAUAUUGCUUCAAUCAUUCUUGUAGAAUAACCUGCAAUUGUAUAAAUAAUUAUAGGCUAUAUGGGAAAAAAAUUUAAACUAAAUAUUUAUAUUCAAGACAAAAUUAUAGUCAUUAAAGUAUAUUUAUCUUAAUUGGAAAAUCGAACAUAGGUUUAAUUUUUUUAGUAACAUUAGGUUUUUUAGUACAUUAAAUGAUAGGCUAGUAUUUUUGUUUUUAGUUUUAGCAAAAUAACAAAAGAAGAAAAAUUCUACAUAUAUAGGAGUGGUAAAUACUUAAGAAAGGAUUUAUUUUAUGUUUCUUUAAAAAGUUUUGACCCUUUGCAUUAAAUUAGAUGUAUAUAAGCAUUUCUCUUGUUCUUUAUUGUAUGCAUUGAUCAACUAGUGAACAACCAUGUAGUAAUAACAAUGGUACUAAAACUCAAAUAUAAUCAAGCCAAACUUGGACAAGUGAGGUAUUGGAUUUUACGCCUUCCAAAUUUCUAUAAACUUGUUUUCAUCCAAAUCGUUAAAACUUUAAAAUUAUUCUAGAAUGUACUACAUUAAGCUUAAUCAUAAAAUCAAGAUUAAACUUGACUUUAGGAUUUUUUAUAUUCAAUAUGCAUGUAAUAAAUUAAUUAGUUUUAGAAAACUAAAAAAAUUUAAGUCAAAUUAAAAUACAAAUAAAUACAGUUUAAUAUGAGUUAUUUUAACUAGAAUACAUGUGGAAUACAUUCUCUUUGAAUUUUGAUGAACUACAUUCUUUUGAGGUAUGGUAAAUGAAGAAAUCUAUCAUUUAUUUUGUCUAUUUUUUUUCUUCAUAAAACAAAAAAGUUUUUAUAGUAUUCAUCAUGUUACUAAAGAAUGUGCUAUUUUGACUAUAUAUAACUAAUUUUUCUGAUGGAAUAUGCUAUUUUGACUAUACAUAACUAACUGUUCCUCCAGCACAGUUAUUAUUUCUCUACACACAUGAUAACUACAGCUUCUUUUUUUUAUGGUUUUAUAAGCAUUUCUCAACUUGCAAAUAUUCUGAAAUGUUUUAAGUGCGUUCCUUAUAAAUGCUGAUGAAGCCAAUAGUUGGACAACUUGAGGAGCUCAACACAUUGGGAUAUAUGUAUUUGUUUGUGUACUUGUGAGCAAGACUUUACCUUUGAACUUUUGGAUUGUUAGAGAUGUUUCGAUAAGUAAAAGAAAAUAUGGAGAUUUUUAUCUUAGUUGUAUUCUAGUAAAAUAAUAAAUCAAUGCUAACUCAAUAUAUAUAUAUAUUUAUUUAUUUAUUUUAAUAUUUCUGUAACUAACUUAUAGAUGAUAUAAAGAAUUAAAUUUUUAUUACAAAAUUUUAAGUGAAAAUUUUGAUGCAGUACCAAAGUAGUAGGUUCUAAACUACAAUUAUUGUGUAGACAAAUAUGAAGAUAUCUUAUCUUCCUACUAAAUAUAAUAGAGAAAGGGAUUUGACUUUAAUCUUUUUGUCAUUUUUUUGAACUUUCCUUUUUGUCUUUACUAGUUAUGACAAGGAUUAAAAUAAUGUCAGGGAAUUUGAUAAAGAAUUAGGAUCUAAGAAUAGAAAUAUCUAAUUAAUAUCUGUCACUUUUCAUAAUUUGCCCUCUUGGUUUUACUUUCAUCUUGUCAUUUAUUUCUUUUCUCAUAAUUAUAUAUGAGUAAAUUUUAUAUACACUAAUAGCGUAUAUAUUAUCACCAUUUGAUUCAUUCAUCUGACGCUGUCAGUAUAAGAAAGAUUAAUCCAUUAUAUAUGCUUUAAUUUGUACAUGGAUCAAGUCUGCAUGUAGCACUAACAGUACUAACAACUUCUUGUGAAAAUUGCUAAUUGAUAAAAUCUUAAUUUUGCAUAUUUUAAUAUGUAAAAACACAAUGAUUUUUUGCACAAUCCAAUUGAUACUUGGGCUGACCGCUUCGCAAUUAAGUUGUAUAACCUAUAUCUAAAAUUGUCCUUCAUUAGGUAUCAUCUCCCAAUUUGUUCAUAAGAUAAAGUAGUAACAUCAGAACACUUUUUUUUUGGUAAACAAAAUAUCAAAAUUAAUUUGAUAUCACUGGACGACUAUCUCAUCUUUACCUUCAUACUCUUAUGAUAAUGAAGUAUUUGUUCGUAUAAUUUUUUUAGUUCAAGAAACCUCUAUGGUGAACAAAUUAAUUUUUCAAAUUUUAUUUUUUUCCAAAUUAAUUUUCCAAAUUUUCCAAACCUCUAUGGUGAACCUCUAUGGUUUUGAAUGCCCAAUUAAAUGCUAACUUACUCAAUAUGUCAUAUUACAAUUAUUCAUUGCUUAACUUUUUGAAAUUAUUGCACAUUCCAAGUUUAGAAUGUUAAUGAAGUUUAUCGAGUGUUUACAACCAUCAAUUUGUUAACCCUACCACAAGAUGACUAAGAUCUAUAAUUAUUGCAAGUUUUUUUUUUGGUCGAUAAAUGUUAGAAUAAGACUAUACGUCAUCACUUUUUUUUCAUUAGCAAUGUUUAGCAUUAGGAUACCUAUCUUUUAUAAAGUGAUAAGAAAUUUUGCAUCACAGGGUAGAUGGUUGAUGAAGUAAUUAAAGUACGAUGAACAUAACUCAAACUGCUUGAUGUAGCAAAUAUUGACAAUUUACAUUAUAGUAGAUUAAUAAGCUUUCCAUCACCAUAGAGCAUAUAUGAUAAGAAUAUGUGAAGGAUCAAUAAGCAUUCUUUAAACCACAAAUUAAUAAUAUUGUUGAUCAUGAAUAGUGUGAUUCAAGCAAUCUAUGCCUUUCUAGCUAACAUUUACUAGCAGCAUUAUGACAAAUAAAUAGAUAUAGAAAUAGAAACUGAGACAUUUCAUAACUUUUUUCGUACAACUAGUUAGAUAUUUUAUUAUAGAACAAUGUUUCUGUCAAAACAUUGUUUAGGUAGAUCUAUUGAUUGAUAAAAAUAUUAUUUGGUGUUACAUUUUCAAUAUCACUUUGUUGUCCAAAUUUGAUAAACGAAGAAUUCUUGACUUAUUGUGCCAAUAUAUUCCAAUAGCCAUGCCCACAGUUAAAUUUCUAUUGGCCACAAACUCCAUUAAUCCAUAAACAUAUAUCAUGUAUCUUUCACAAUUAGAUCAUUUCUUGAAGAAAAAUAGUGGAUGUUCAGUUUUAGUGUUCAAAUCAAGCAUCAAAAGAAUAACUUGUUCCCACAAAACAUAUGCUGUUUAGUCUCGAAAUUUCAGUGCAUGAAAAGGUAUUCUUUCACUUGUCUAGCAUUUAAUUCAAUGCCAAGUUGAAGUUCUAGGUCUUGGGGAGUGAUCGCUUUUAUAAUUUUCCAUGGGAAUAAAUAAAAGAGUCGUGGAUUACGAUCAUUUUUCUCCACAACUUCAAAUUCAUAAAGGUGAAGGUGAAGACUAUGAUGCCUAUUGCUUUCUUCCUCUAACUCUUUUGUUUCUAGGAAAUGGUAAUAGAAACCUUUUCCCUUGCUGAGAGAUUAGCUCGGCUGUUGCCCUGUAUUGUCUCUCCUAAUCAAAGUGAUUUUGUCCGUGGUCGUCAAAUAUCCGAUAACUUUUUACUUGCUUAGGAGGUGAUUAUGGGUAUUGGAAGGAAAAAUAGGGGGGAAAUGUUGCAUUGAAAUUGGACAUGACAAAAGCUUAUGAUAGGGUGUCUUGGAUCUUCUUGGUUAACGUCCUACAUGCAUUUGGAUUUGGCGAAAGGUGGAUAGAUAUGGUUUGGCACUUGGUAUCCAAUCCAUGGUUCUCGGUUCUCAUUAAUGGAAUGCCACAUAGUUUUUUCCCAGCUUCGCGAGGGCUCCGGCAGGGGGACCCUCUAUCCCCUUCCUUGUUUAUUCUAGGAGCAGAGGUUCUAUCUUGUAUGUUAAAUCAACUUCUGUUGCGCCCUGGUUUUUGUGGGUUCAAGGUUCCUAGGGCUUGUUCUCCUAUUAGUCACUUGGAUUUUGCGGACGAUAUUCUUAUCUUUUCUAGUGCCUCGACGCCUUCUUUGAAGUUGCUAAUGGAGACACUGGCGAGGUAUGUAAGUGUCUCAGGACAAAGUAUAAAUGCUGCAAAGAGUGGUUUUAUGGUUCAUUCGACGAUGUCUCAAGGCAGAAGGGCUAUAAUUCAGUGCAUCACGAGUUUCUCUCAGAAGGAGUUUCCGGUACGCUACCUUGGUUGUCCACUAUUUGUAGGGCGGCAGAAGAAGACAUUCUUCUAGGAUUUAAGCAAUUUGGUGUACUCUAAGAUUAGUUCUUGGAAGAAUCGAUUGUUGUUUCCAGGAGGAAAGAUUGUUCUUAUAAAACAUGUGUUGUCCUCUAUCCCUCUUCACUUGUUGGCUACAGUUUCUCCCCUGAAGUCUAUUUUGGCUACAAUUGAGAGGCUCUUUACAAACUUCUUUUGGGGCACCGAUGAGGGUACAGUCAAACACCAUUGGAUUCGCUGGAGAGAUCUUUGUGCUGCUAAGGAGGAGGGUGGGGUGGGUUUUUGCUCCAUGACAGAUGUUGUUAAGGCUUUCUCGGUGAAGUUGUGAUGGAAGUUUCAACAGAAUUCGUCUCUUUGGGCUAACUUCAUGAUGGCUAAGUAUGUUUCUAAUGCUCAUCCAGGUAUGGUGGGGGCCUCAGUAGGGGCUUUAGCCACGUGGAGCCACGUGGCGGAGGAUAAUUCAGGUGCAGGAACUAGUUGAACGGCAUAUCACUUUUGUUGUUCGAUCUGGGAGUUCACAUUUCUGGUUCGAUAACUGGCUAAGAUCUAGACCUUUGUCUUCGCGAUUGGGAAGUGUUUCGGAUCACGGGGUCUCUAAUUUCUUAUGGAUGGCAGAUGGAAUUCUCAGCUACUGGCGGCGUGGGUGCCUGUCGACAUAAUAGACAAGAUUAACCAGUUUGCUCUCUCGAGGAUUGAAGAGGGAAUGGAGGACUUGAUGGUUUGGGCACCCUUACAGUCUGGAGUCUUCACACUGUGCACGGCUUUUGAGUUGGGGCGUAGUCAUGUGCCGUAGUCUUUUAUCUUCUCCAGGGUAUGGCAUCCCAUCAUUCCGUUGAAAAUAUCCUUCUUCAUGCUUCGAUUACUGAGAAAUUGGUUGUUGUUGGACUCUACGAUAUGUAAAUUUGGUAUUUCUGGCCCCUUGAAGUGUUUUUGUUGUACCGAAGCUAAUGUCGAGACUUUAGACCAUAUAUUUUGUGGGGGUGAGGAAGCCGUCUUGGUAUGGAAAUUUUUUGGCUCUCUUGCGGGAGUUUUCUAUUUGUGUGCCUCGAUACGGGAUUACAUGGCUAGUUGGUGGUUUAGCUCGUGUACGAAUGUAUUCCUGCAAUUUGUCCAUCUGGUUAUCCUUUCUUUGAUUUGCUGGAAUAUUUGCAAGGCUAGGAACAAAACGCGAUUUGAAGGGAAAGUUUACGCUCCUAAUGCUAUUUGUGGAUUUAGUUUUGACGGUGUACGGAAUCUUUUCAAUCUGAAGUUCUCGGGAUAUUCCCGGGCCCUCAUGACAUGGCCAGCAUUUUAUGCUUUUCUCGUCUCUCUUCGCAAGCAGGCUUCUUUCAGGUUGGUGAAGUGGUUGAGGCCGACAAUGGGAGGUCUUAAACUCAACACGGAUGGCUGUUCGAGAGGCAACCCUAGGUGGGCAGGAGGUGGUGGAGUUUUGCGUGAUGGUGAGAGGAAGCUCCUGCUCGCUUUCUCCACAUUUUUUGGGAGUAGUACUAGCAUCCAAGCUGAGGCGAGGGCCCUUUUCUUUGGGGUUAAUUUGUGUAUUUCAUGUGGAUAUGUGAGAGUGCAAGUUGAAGUGGACUCACUGGUACUAGUUCAAAUAUUGCAGCAAGCAAUUCGGUGCCCAUGGAGUAUUGAUACAGAAGUCCGAACCCUCAUUCAGCUAUCGUCCCAUUUCGUUAGCAUUUCUCAUUACUUCCGAGAAGGCAAUCAAAUAGCUGAUUGCUUAUCUAAUAUUGGCUGUGACAAAGGCUGUGACAAAACCUAUCAGCAGUUUUCGGAUCGCCCUACUCAAGUCCGAGGGGCAUUUAGACUAGACAGAAUUGGUCUUUCUUCCCUUAGAAAAUGCUAGGGUAACUUGUUGUCUGGGAGUAGUACUCCCCUUUCCAUCCACGUAACUUAAUAAGUGCAUUGUGCUCCUGAGAGGUAAGGUCUAUGUCCCUCUCCGGUUCUGUCUCUCUUCUUAAGGGAAUAAAAAAAAUUAAUUAAAAAAAAGAAACAUUUUCCCAUCGUCUGGAAAAUAGAUACUUUUUUUUUCUUUGGGUUGACUUUUGUUUAUGGAGAGAAAAUCGAAACAAGUAUGCCAUUUUUAUGUUGUACUAGGGUGAUGAAAUCUAUUAAGAGAUUGUAAUAAUAUGACUAAAAUAAAUAAGCCAUUAAUUUUGUGUAGGCACAAAUAAAAUUCUAUUUUCCUUUUAUUUCUUUUCCAUAUAAGCUUAUUACCUUAACAACUAUUUCAAAAACAUUGAUCAAAAUUAAAGAAGCAUUAAUCGUUAAGGACAAGAAGUUUAUGUAUAUUUCACAGACUAAUUUUUAAAUGAGUAGAUCUUCAAGUUAAAUAGGAAGAUAGAAUAACAGGCAGUUAAUCACUUUUACUGCUAUACUUUAGGAUAAACACAAGUAAAUGACACUUUUAUAUUAUUUAUUUUUCAAUUUCUUUCUUUAGGUUUUUAUGUCUAACCUUUUUUAAAAGCAAACCAAGUUAAUUUAAGUUGUUUUGUAUCUAUAAAUUUACCUAUUUCAUUGUAUAAAUGGAGCAAUAAUUACAAAUUACUCAUCUAUCGAGCUAAAGCAUAGAUGCUUCCUUGUAUUGUAUUGCACAAUUGUUAAGAUUGUUUUACCUUAAUGUUAUUCCCUGUGACUUUCUAAUCAACUAUAGUCUUAAUUGUUAUAUUUCCAUUUCACUAUUAAGUGACGUCAUUUGCUUGUAAAUAUAAUUCCAAAUAUAACAAUUUUUGUAUACUAAAUUAUUUCUAAAGUUGUCAACUUUUUCCUAAUAUAAUUUUAUGCUUUUCAUUUUUCUUGAAUCAAUUGUAUUUGAAAAUCAAUUUUGAAUUCAAAAAUGGUCACAUGUAAAUCUAAAACUCUUUCUAAAGGUUUUUUUUAAACUUUUCCCAAUGUUAUUUGAUAGUCAAAUACUAACACUAGCUUGUGUCCUUAUAGUUAUCAUAUAUAUUCUUUUGUUAUAAAGACUAUAAUUGUUUAUUUACAUAAUAAUGUUGUCAAAAUCAUAAAUAAAAAUUUUAUCUUUUCCUCUCAUCACUAACAGUGCUUUCUAAAUCCAAAACUUAUUUUAUAUCUUGUGAAAAAGUAUUAGCUUGAGUAAAAUUAUGUAAUGACUCGUACAUCUUGAUAGUUAUUAUUAAGAUUGCAAAAAAAAAAAGUUCAAUACUCAUAAUAUCUGCAAGUAUACGAGUAAAACGAGUAUAGAGAUAAUUAGGAUUGAUCCCACAGGGAUUGUCAACUAUCGGAGGUUUUCAAACCUCUUCAUUAUUUAGAUUAUUACAAGUAAACCAAGCAAAUCUAUACUACUAACAUGAAAUAAAAGUAGUAACAACAAUAACAAAGAGGUUCCUAGGGUUAUGGAUUAACUGACUAUUGUUGCAAGUAAAAUUACUGAUUAAAUGAGUUCGUUACCUAGGUUAGUUAUGGCAUAAUAUCCAAAUGUAUGUGAUACAUGUUUUCACAAGUAUACCAAUCAUAUCUAUAACUAAUUCACACCUACUAACAUGAUAUGAAACUAACUAUAGACUCAUUAGAUUCUAUGAAAUUAUAUGAAACAAACCACUAAAGCAACAAAUGUGUAACCCUACAUUAGUGAGUUAACUCCCUUGGUUUAACACUUUCAUGAACUAGUGUUAAGUCACAAUGGUUAUUGAUGAAACAACACCUGUAUAUAAUCACAAUUAAUGAAUCCAAGUUAAUCAAGAUUUUAACAACAAAAGUGUUAAUUAACUUUCUCAAGAGAUACACUCAAAUAACCACAAAAACUUCACUUACAAAUCAUAGAAGUUGAUCAAUUCCCUGGGUUUACAAGCUAGCAAGACAUAAAAAAAAUAAGAGAACAAGAACCAAACUUGUAUAGUCACUAAACAUGAGAAUCAAUAUAAAAAAUAAAGUGAUAGAAGAAAUGCCACCCAUGCUACUUAAGCUCUAAUUCUCUAUCUUCAUCCUCAAUCUCCUCCCUUGUUUAACUAGAUACAAAGAUUGGAUAGCUACACUAAUUUACACUACUAAACUAUUGAUCUAAGAAAAACUAGUGAAGACUACAUUUUUGUGUUAGUUUCUAGCCUUCCCAAUUUAUCAAACAAGCUCAACAAAGGUCCUAUUUAUAGAGAAUUAAAGCACCAAGCAAUCAUGUUUCAAGUUGGCAAAUUGUGUCCUGAAAACACCAAAAGGUGUUUCUUGAAAACUAUGCUUUCUUGUACAUAUCCAGCUGAAAAUCUUGCAAGAAAUUUCGUCAAAAGACUAUGUGAAAUGUCUACAACUUGGUCUACAAGUUGCAGAGCCAAAUUCAGGAUCCGUGAGCCUAGAUCUAUGAGGUGAAGCUCACGGAUCGCCUCGCAGAUCAUCUUGAUUGUAGGUUUGGAUUGUUUUGCUCAAUCUUCAAUAUUGCUUUGUUUUUGGACCAAAUUCAACUAUAAAGUUUUUGAUGAUGGAAUUCAAAUUAGCUCUUUCACAAAACAUAAAGUUCAUAAUCCUUUGAGUUAGCUUUCCAAUGUAUCAAGAAUCAUCUGAUUUAGAGCUUUGUAGACUAAUAAAUGACCAAACUACCCUUGAUUGGUUAAUCCCUUAUUUUAGCUUUGACAAGUAAAAUGUCUGAUAGUUUUUUGAGUUUUUGACCAUGAAAACUCAUGAACUGGACUUUGAUGUCAGAUAUAAAAUGUAGCAUAUGUCUUAGUUUCAGAAUGGUUUGAAAAACACCUCAAUUCGAUACUUGUAACUCAAGGUAUAGUCAAAAUACCAAAAGAUGUCAAAGUUGUCAAACUUUCCUUCUUUAAAACUUGAUUGCAUUUCUCAUUUUGAACAUUUAGCCCUUCAUAUUCACUUUAAAUCUCUACAAAUCAUCAACAAUCAUCCAAAUAUCUUCUCAAUUCACUUCAUUUGAUGAUUGAAUCAUUAAACCUACAAAAAAUAUGAAAUUUUCACCAUUUGAACACAAAAAUGCAAUUUUUCGCAAUUAAACCACAAAAUACAUAUUCACUUGAAACCUAGUUAAUUAGCUAUAAAAAUGAUUAAAACACACCAAAACUAAAUAAUAAAAUACACUAAGAACAUGCAAAAUAUAUACUUAGCACUAGUAUUUGAUGUUUUCUUGUAGAAGUGUAGAGGAAUAUUUUCUCCCAAUGUACUUUUGAAUGGUGAUGUAACUCUUUGUCCUUUUAUUUUUCUUAAUGAUAUUGAAGAUAUGCAAAUAUAAAAUGUGAUAUAUAUGUAUUAGUGUACAUCCAUAGUUGAGUUGUAAGAGACAUGUCUUACUCAUGAAUUUCAUGGACAAAAGUGAAGAAGUACUUAUUUAUUUUGAAAACAUAAGUAAGUCCUCAUCCAUGAUUUUCCUCAUUUAUUUGGGGAAAAAAAAUACAUAGUGUGCUAUUGUUAGUUAAUUCUCCAAUGUUUAAGUAAAAUUUUUUGCGACCCAUAGAUGGUAAAACUCAAAACUCAUAUGAAAGUUAUAAGGUAAUUUGAAAUUAGUUGCUUGAUUUACAAAUGGGGUUUUUCCUUUUUCUUCUUUAUAUCUCAAAAUUAUCAAACAAAAGUAAAGGAAAGACCCUUUAUCAAGUAAACAAGAUUAGGAAGAAAAUCCAUAAUUUGGCACGUAACUCCGAACAGAGUAAUAACUGAUUGACAAUAUAGUUGGGAAUAUUUUAGUGCUGCAUAGAGGUUUGAAACUUUCUGUAAGAUCUUAAAACCAUAUCUAACCAGACAUUAAUCAUGUUGCAUAUCUAACAAUUUCGUUAGCCUCAAACUCAAAAGGAUAGACAAGAUUCUUGAAUAAUUUACAUUAACACAUACCUACACACAAUGAGCAUCCCUUCAAAAGAUACUUUUUUCACAUAACUAACAAAUAGGGUUAUGAGAGCAAUUGCGAAUCAUCCAUUGUAGGAUGAGAUUAAAGAAGGUCACACAAACUAGCUAAUUAAUCACUAAGCUUUUACUUGACAUAGAUAGUUUCUUGAAAUUAUUGCUUUAUGAUUUAUUGGUAUUUUCAAUACUCAAUUCUGAAAUACACAAUAGAGUAAACCUAAUUUUUUCAGAAUAACUGUAUAAAAUGCCAACAAAGGACAAGACCCGAACCUAAUACAUCAUGAUUAGAGAGUUAAAUUUUAAAUGGAAACUAAGGCUAAAUACUUCAGCAUUCACCAUACUUUUCUAGCCCGAAAGUUUGCAUUGCUGUCAAAAUUUUGACUUUUAGGUACUUGAAGAUCAAUUACUCAUCCCGCCUAGAAUCUUCUUCCAUUUUUUUCUUUUUGUUGUUUAGUAAAAUUUUUGAAUAGGAAUUUACAUAUUCAUUAUAAAUAUGUACGUAGUCAAUCAUGAAAAAUUUGAUGAACUUAUUAGGUCAAUAGAAUUCUUGUAAAAGUUUUUACGAAAAUCAAAUUUAGUGAUUUUUAAUGGCUUAAAUUAAUAAUAAUGUUGAUAUCAAAUGCUGUGAUUUGUGCUAGUUUUUGCUUUUUGGCUAGAAUAAAUAGAAGAAACAGAACUAAUAAAUAGAUAUAGAACCUUGAUGGUUUCAAUACAAACUUUCUUCAGGUACAAAGUCAAUAGAUAUUUCAUCACAACAUAAUAUUUUGCUUAGCAUCACUCUUCGCCGCCAAAAAAAAAAAGAAGAAAAAAGAGAAACAACAUUUAGACUUUGACUCCCUCUUUUCCUUCCCAAACACAAGAACAAAAAAGGAAAAAAAGAGUGAAAGAAACACUAGUUGAUCUUUCACUUCCAACAUUCAAAUGAACUUCCCAAAACCGAUACACGAAGGGUUUUUGAUUUCUUAUCCCAAUACAGUCCAAUGGUUAUUAUAGAACUCAAAUUUUUGUUAACCACAAGGUCCUUAAACCAACUUCCUACGAUCAAAUACAGAUCACUGCUCGGCCAUUUUGUGAAGAACACUUGGUACUCAGUUCCAGUGUUCAAAUCAAGAAUUUGGAUAGGAAUUCCUUCUCCAUUAAUCACACGACCUUUGGCUUCAUCUUUCCAGUGGAUGAAUAGGUGUUCUUUCACUUGUUUUGCACUUAAUUCCAAACCUAUUUGAUGCUCUAGGUCUUGGGCUGAGAUUGCUUUCUUGAUUUUCCAUGGGAAUAGGUGCAAGAAUUGUGGAGAACGAUUGUUUCCCUCCUUAAGUUUGCACCGAGAACAGCCCAGUUGAAGACCAUGCCUUCUAUUUUCUUCCUCUUUCUCUUUUGUUUCUAGAAAAUGGUAAAAGAUAUGUUUCACCAUUCUUAGAAAAUACUUUCUUCUCUCUUUUUUUUCUGUUUUUUCUUUUGAAUGACUUGGAGCAAGGAAAACUGCUUUUAUGCUGUACUAAGGUGGGGUACGGUGCCUUGAUAGUUUCUAAAAAUUUAACUCAAGCAUUAAUGAAUCAUUAAAUUAUUCAGUAGGCAUUGAUGGAAAUCCGUUUUACAUUUAUUUCUUUUCCAUAUAAGGUCAUUGCAUUUGUGAUAACUAUUUGAAAAAGAGAUAUAGUCAAAAAAUCAUUGAUUCUUAAACACGUGUAAUUUUUGUAUGAUUAACAAACUAUUCUUCUGAUAAAUUUAUCUUCGAGUCAAUUGCAAGAUAGAGAUAGAAAACUGGUUCAUCAUUUUUAUUCCUUUGUUUUGGGGUAAAAACAAGCAAACUAAACCUUUAUGAUACUUUUUUCUUUAUUUUUUGUUUAACUUUAUAUGACUUUCUUUUUUUUUUAAAUUGAAUACUAUAUCAAUUGUAAUGCAUUUACUUUAGUUCUAUUAUUUCCUUAUUUAUUUUACUUUCAAGAUAUGGACAUAAUAAACUACAAUGAUCAUCUAUCAGGAGGAUCAAUAAUUUCCUUAUAUUAGUAUGUCACAAUAAUAUUAAGAUAAUUUUAUGCUAAUAUUAUAAAUUUCGAAACACCUAGAUAAUUGCCAUGUUUUCAAAUCAGAAUCCAAGCUUUCAUAUUGAGACUUCAUGUCAUACUCCAAUCUACCAUUUCUUUUGUUCAUAUUUAAAAGACUGUUAUUAGUUUUGUACAAUUUAUUAUAACUUUGGAAUUGGGUUUCAUAAUUCUUUUUCUUGGUUUAUUGUCAAAAUAGUGCAACAAAAUAAAUAUUUUGGGUAUAAGUUAGUGAGCUUUCAUCAUCGUCCAUUAAAACCAUAAAAUUUUGUAAGAGGUAAAGCAUGAUAUGACAAUGAUGGAAGUGUAUGUGAAAAAUGAAGUAACUUUUCUCUAGAAGAGAAUGGAAAAAAGUUCUUUGUAAAUUAACUACCACAAAAAAAAGAAACCACAAAACAUCUUAAGGAUGAGGUUACAGUUCAUUAAUUUUUAGAAAUAACUUCAUCCAUAACUAGUAGAAUUCUUUUUCAUGUUGAUGAAAUGUUAAGUUCAAAUAUUACAAAAGUGUCAAAUAAAAAUAGAACAAUUCCUCAGUUGAUGUAAUAGCAGUACAUCAUUGCUCUCAUAACAAAUUAGCAUAUGCUACAUAUGAGAAAAUGUUAAAUUCUAGUCAAUAAUUAAAAAAAUCAAAGUGACAACUCCAAAAGAAACAUUUUCUUGAUUUAUAGCUUUAUCUAUAUUUCUCGAUUUUGUGGGAUUAUACUUAUGUUAAGUUCACAUUCCAAAUCUGGUUUCGAUUUAAGUCAUUGAUAAUAUACAAACAAACAUAUGUAUCAUAGCAAUGUACAAUCUAAUCUUCAAAAUUCUUAUCCAAAAAAAUAUGCAUAUGAUAAUGAUAUAUAGGAGGAACAGCAACUUCAGUAUGGAGAAAGUCUACAAAUAAUGUGCAAGUACUUAAAAAAUUGUAGCAUACACAUUCAAACUUUAGACACUACUUUAGACACAUUCAAACUUCAGAGGUGUAGGUGGCUUUUUCUCUUGAAGAAGUGGUAGCACUAAAGAAGGGCUUGCUAGAAGUUCAAGACUUGUAAUGAUACAUGGUUCUAUCAUUAUGGUGGACAAAGAGAACAAAUGGCAAUAUAGUUCACUAUUAUAGAUGCACGCAUUUAAUGGUUGACAGGCUAGAAAAUCAGUGCUUCAGUUUGUGAUUGAAGUUUGUAAUCAUGGCCCUUAGAUGCAUUGUAAGUGACAGACUAGGGUUCGAUCCUUGCCUCUUAUACUUUUCACUCAAGUGGCUUUUUUGGGAUUUAGAUUUAGUGAGUACAUAUGCACCCAUCUAGUUUGAAAGUGGUUUAGUAUCCUCCGGGUUCUCGAUGGCCUAGUUGAACCUGCACCCUUUAAUAGUAGUUGUAAAUAAGUGCUGAUUGACCUAAAAAAAUGAUACAAGAAAAUUCCUUACCAACUAUCCUGAUGAUAAAUGGGUUUUCGUAACUAGACUUAGAUGACCACGAUUUUUUGAAACUUUUCUAAUGGUUGCAUUGACAAAACAACUGCUGGAAUUACAACGAUUAAAAGUGACAUGGGAUUAGAUGUAAAAUUGAUGAUGAAAGAUUGUCUGGGUACCACAAAAGUUGACAAAGAUUAAACUAGACAAUUGAGAUAAAAUUUUAUAACUAAUGAUAUAGAAUUAGAAUUCUGAGCUUCUUCCAUAAAGUAUUGCAAAUUAACCAUUAAAACAUAAGGGGUCAACUAUAUUUUGAACCAUUAAUUAUUUGUAUUUUAGUGAUUAUGUUUAUUGUAGUUCACAAAAUUUCUAACUAACUAUCACUAUUUAUCUCAAAUUAUGAAUGUAGUGCAAGAAACUAAUAUUCAUUUUUGGUUAAAUAUUAUAGCAAAAAAUUAUGUAUCAGUCUAGCCUGAUGUUUAAAUCUGCUAAGUUGUCUUCAUAUGUGUUGAACAUACCCAAAAGGAAAAUUUGUGUUGCUUCAUUUAUAGUUGUGUCCUCUUACACAAUGUCAUUCUUCUAGCUAUCCAAGAGCCUAUGUAAAUAUAUCAGGGGAGAUUGGCUAGUUUUUUGUGGGGCAUUGGUGAUUAUGAAAAAUGUAUUGGCUGAUUUUAAGGAAGAUUAUUGAUGCUAAAGGUCAAGAAUUGGUCAAGACUAUGAUGUCUAUUGUUUUCUUUCUCUCACUCUUUUGUUUCUAGAAAAUGGUAAUAGACACCUUUUACUAUCGUUUGAAAAUAUAGGAUGGAAAUACUACUUCUUUUCUUUGGGUAGAAUUUUGUUUAUGGAGAGAAAAUUGAAACAAGUAUGCCACUUUUAUGUUGUACUAGGGUGAUGAAAUCUAUUAAGAAAUUAUGAUAAUAUGACUAAAAUAAAUAAGCCAUUCAAAAAGGAUUAUUUAUUUUCCUCCAAAUUUUGUCAAGCAAAUCGUGCUGGAUGAUUUCCAACAACCUCAAUAAUAAAUUUUUGUGUUUGUUUCUUAUAAAAAAAAAGCCAUUAAUUUUGUGUAAGCACAAAUGAAAUUCUAUUUUGCUUUUAUUUAUGUUUCAUAUAAGCCUAUUAUCUUAACAACUAUUUCAAAAAUAUUGAUCAAAGUCAAAGAAGCAUUGAUUGUUAAGAACAAUAAAUAUAUAUGUGUUUAAUAGACUAAUUUUUAAGGAUUAAUUUUUCAUAUACUGAUAGUGUAUAUACUGUUAGUCUUGAAUGAAUGACAACUAUACAAAAUUUGAAUUUGAAAUCCAACUUUUGCACAUGUGUAAUAAAUCUAACGGUGAUAGUGUAUACACUGUUAAUGUAUAUAAAAUUUUUUCAAUUUUUAAAUGAGUAGAUUUUCAAGUUAAAUGGAAAUAUAGAUUAAUAGGUGGUUAAUCCCAUUUUACCAUUUUGCUUCGGGAUAAACACAAUUAAAUUUUGUGACAUUUUUAUAUUAUUUUUACAAUUUCUUUCUUUAGGCUUUUAUGUCUAAUCUUUUCUAAAAACAACCAAAUUAAUUUAAGUUGUAUUGUGUUUAUAAAUAUACCUAUUUCACUAAAUGGAGUAAAAACUAUAAAUUACAUAUCUAUCUAGUUAAAGCAUAGGUGCUUCCUUAUAUUGUAUUGCACAAUUGUUAAGGUUGUUUUAUCUCAAUGUUAUCCCCAUGACUUUCUAAUCAACUAUAAUCUCAAUUGUUAUAUUUCCAUAUCACUAGUAUUAAGUGACGUGAUUUGCUUGUAAAUAUGAUUCCCAAAUAUAACAAAUUUUGUAUACAAAAUUAUUUCUAAAGUUGUCAACAUUUUCUUAAAAUAAUUUUAUUCUUUUCAUUUUUCUUGAAUCAAUUGUAUUUGAAAAUCAAUUUUUAAUUCAAAGAUGGUCACAUGUAAAUCUAAAAACUUUUUCUAAAGGUUUUUUUAAUCUUUUCCCGACAUUGUUCGAUAUUGAAAUGCUAACACUAGCUUGUGUCCUUAUAGUUAUCAUAUAUAUGCUUAAAUCAUAAAGACUAUAAUUUCUUAUUUACAAAAUAAUGUUGUCAAAGUCAUAAAUAAAAAUUCUAUCUUUUCCUCUCAUCACUAACAGUGCUUUCUAAAUCCAAAACUUAUUUUAUAUCUUGUGAAAAAGUAAUAGUUUGAGUAAAAUUAUGUAAUUACUCGUACAUCUUGAUAGUAAUUAUUAAGAUUGCAAAAAAAAAAAAAAUUUCAACACUCAUAACCUUUGGUCCAAAAAAAAAUAUUAGUUCAACCAUAUAACUAUAAAUGAUAAACACGUUUAUUGUUUUAGAAUCUAAAUCCUUGAACCUAUAAGCAUAUUCAACAUACUAAUUUUUGAAUAUAAACGUCAGUGUUCGUUUUUAAUAUAAUAAGAAAUACUUAGAUUUGUAAAAAUCAAAUUUUCUUGUAAAAAAGGCAAACUAAUUUUUUGUUCCAAGUGAAAAAUAUCCAUGAUAGUCAAAUUGCGAUUGUUUUAAAUUAUUGCCAUGGAAGCAUUAAUUUUACUUAUGUAUAUCUUCUCAAAUUGCACUAUAUUCAUUUUUUAAAUCUAGUAUUUGAUGUUUUCUUCUAGUAGUUUAAAGGAAUAUUUUCUCCCAAUGUACUUUUGAAUAGUAGAUGUAAUUCUUUGUCCUUUUAUUUUUCUUAACAAUAUCGAAGAUACACAAAUUUAAAAUGCGAUAUAUGCAUUAGUGUAUAUCCAUGAUCGAGUGCUAUAUAAUAUUUUAGUGCUGCAAAAAGGUUUGAAACUUUUUGUAAGAUCUUGAAACCCCCUCUAACCAGACAUUAAUUCUGUUGCAUCUUUAAGAAUUUGGUUAGCUUCAAACUCAGGAGGAUAGAUAAGAUUCUUGAAUAAUUUACAUUGCCACACAAUGAAUAUCCCUUUGAAAGAUACUUUUCUCACAUAACUAACAAAUACGAUUAUGAGAGCAAUUACGAAUCAUAUAUUGGAGGAUGAGAUUGAACAAGGUGUCACAAACUAGCUAAUUAAUCACCAAGCUUUUAUUUGACAUAGAUAGUUUCUUGAAACUGUUGCUCUAUGAUUUUUUAGUGUUUUUACUACUCAAUUCCUAAAUAUACAAUACAGUGAACUUAAUUUGUUUUUAGAAUAAUAGUCUAAACUAAUAGAGUACAAGACCCUAACCUAAUAUAUCAUGAUUAGAGAGUUAAAUUUUGAAUAAAACUAAGAUGAAAUACUUCAACAUUGACUUUUAGGUACUAGAAAAUCAAUUACUUAUCCCACCUAGAAUUUUCUUCCUUUUUUUUCUUUUUGUUGUUUUAUAAAAUUUUUGAAUUGGAAUUUAUAUCUUCACUAUAAAUAUGUCCAUAGUCAAUUAUCAAAAAUAAGAGGAACUUAUUAGGUCAAUGGAAUUCUUGUAAAAGUUUUUACGAAAAUCGGAUUUAGUGAUUCUUAAUGGAUUAAAUUAAUAAUAAUGUUGACAUCGAAUGCUGUGAUUUGUGCUAGUCUUUGGCUUUUUGGCUAGAAUAAAUAGAAGAAAUAGAACUAAUAAACAGAUAUACAACCUUGAUGGUUUCAAUAGAAACUUUGUUCAAAUACAAAGUCAAUAGAUAUUUCAUCACAACAUAAUAUUUUGCUUAACACCACUCUCCGCCGCCAAAAAAGGAAAACAAGAAAAAAGAGAAAUAACAUUUACACUUUGACUCCCUCUCUUACUUCCCAAACCAUGAACAAAAAGCAAAAAAAAAAAAAAAGAGUGAAAGAAACACUAGUUGAUCUUUCACUUUCAACAUUCAAAUGAACUUUUCCAAAACUGAUAUGCAAAGGGUUUUGGAUUUCUUAUUCCAAUAUAGUCCAAUGGUCAUUCCAAAACUCAAAUUUCUGUUAGCCACAAAUUCUUCAAACCAACUUCCUAGAAUCAAAUACAUAUCACGAGUCGGCCACUUUUUGAAGAACAUUUGGCACUUAGUUCCAGUGUCCAAAUCAAGAAUUUGGAUAGGAAUUCUUUCUCCAUUGAUCACACGGUUUUUGGUUUCAUCUUCCCAGUGGAUGAGUAGGUGCUCUUUCACUUGUUUUGCACUUAAUUCCAGACCAAUUUGAUGCUCUAGCUCAUAGGCUGAGAUUACUUUCUUGAUUUCCCAUGGGAAUAGGUACAAGAGUUGUGGAGAACGAUUGUUUCUCUCCACAAGUUCGUAGCGAGCACGGCCCAGUUGAAGACCACUUCUUCUAUUUUCUUCCUCUUUCUCUUUUGUUUCUAGAAAAUGGUAAAAGAUAUGUUUCACCAUUCUCAGAAAAUACUUUCUUCUCUCUUUUUUUUCUGUUUUUGUUUUCUUUUGGAUGACUUGGAGCAAAGAAUAGAGCAAGGAAAACUGCUUUUAUACUGUACUAAGGUGGGCUGCGGUGCCUUGAUAGUUUCUGAAAAUUUGACUCAAGCAUUAAUGAACCAUAAAAUUGUUUAGUAGGCAUUGAUGGAAAUCUGUUUUACAUUUAUUUCUUUUCCAUAUAAAACCAUUGCAUUUGUGAUAACUAUUUGAAAAAGAGAUAUAGUCAAAGAAUCAUUGAUUCUUAUGCACAUGUAAUUUUUGUAUGAUUAACAAACUAUUCUUUUGAUAAAUUUAUCUUCGAGUCAAUUGCAAGGUAGAGAUAGGAAACUGGUUCACCACUUUUGUUCCUUUCUUUUGCGGUAAAAACAAGCAAACUAAACUUUAUGAUACAUUUUCUUUAUUUUUUGUUUAACUUCAUAUGACCUUUUUUUUUUUUGAAAUUGAAUACCAUAUUAGCCUUAAUGAGUGUACGUUAGAUAUAUUAUCUACAUAUUUAUUUUACUUUCAAGAUAAUUUCCUUGUAUUUAUGUCACAAUAAUGUUAAGAUAAUUUUAUCCUAAUAUUAUAAUUUUCAAAACACCCGGAUAAUUGCUACGUUUUCAAAUUAGAAUCCAAGCUUUCGUAUUGUGACUUCAUGUCAUACUCUAAUUUGCUAUUUCUUUUGUUAAUAUUUAAAAGACUGUCAUUAGCUUUGUACAACUUAUUAUAACUUCAAAAUUAUGUUUCAUAAUUCUUUUUCUUAGUUUAUUGUCACAAAAAUGCUACAAAAUAAGUAUUUUGAGCACAAAUUAGUGAACUUCUUCAAUAUCCAUUAAAACCAUAAAAUUUUGUAAGAGAUAAAGCAUAGUAUGGCAAUGAUGGAAGUGUAUAUAAAAAAUGAAGUAGCUUUUCUCUAAAAAAGAAUGAAAAAUGUUCUUUGUAAACUAACUACCACAAGAAAUAGAAAAAUCACAAAACGUCUUAAGGAUGAGGUUAAAGUUCAUUAAUUUUUAGAAAUAACUUCAUACAUAACUAUAGAAUUCUUUUUCACGUUGAUGAAAUGUUAAGUUAAAAUAUUACAAAAGUGUCAAAUAAAAAUAGAAGAAUUUCUCAGUUGAUGUAAUAGCAGUUUAUCAUUGCUUUUAAAACAAAUUAUCAUAUGAUACAUAUAAGAAAAUGUUAAAUUCUAGUUGGUAAUUUAAAAAAUUAAAGUGACAAUUCCAAAAGAAACAUUUUCUUGAUUUAUAGCUUUAUCUAUAUUUUUCGAUUUUGUAGGAUUAUACUUAUGUUAAAUUCACAUUCCAAAUUUGGUUUCAAUUUAAGCCAUAGAUAAUAUACACACAAACACACGUAUGGUAGUAAUGUACAAUCUGAUCUUCGAAAUUCAUAUACAAAAAAAUAUGUAUAUGAUAAUGAUAUACAAGAUGAACUGCAAAUUCAGCAUGGGGAAAGUCUACAAAUAAUGUGCAAGUACCUAAAAAAUUGUGGCAUACACAUUCAAACUUUCGAUAUUUCAGAGGUAGAGAUGACAUUUCCUCUUGAGGGAGCGGUAGCAUUGAAGAAGGGCUUGCUAGAACCUCAAGACUUGUAACAAUACAUGACUCUAUCAUUAUGGUGGACAAAAAUAACAGAUGGCAAUAUAGUUUGCUAUUAUAGAUGCAUGCUUUUAAUUUUUUUUUUUGAUAAAAAGCAAAUUUCAUUAACGAAUUAUUGAAAGUCGUCUAGCAUGAUUUGAUUUACAUCUCUACUUUAAUGACAGAUUAAACAUGCACUUGAAAUAAUAGAUAUGCAAUUUAACAAUAUAUACAGUGGAUUUGAAUGACUUUAAACAUAUCUAAAAAAUACAAGAAAUUUUUAAAUUGCCUUAGAAUAAGAUAAAUUAUUAUAACUCCUUUUUGUGCAAGUUUCAAUUGCAUGAUCUUCUAAUCUACGGAUUCAAACUCCAAUAAUGAUGAUGAGAUCUGUUGAGACAGAUCCAAGAUCUAAAAAAAAUUCCAGAUCUAAAAUAAAUUCGGAUCAAACAAUAAAAUAAGGAUAAAAGCAUAAAAUUCUCACUAGAAACUUUUAGGAGAAACCGAAUUUCUCACUAAGGACCCCUAGGAGAAAUAAAGGACUCAAGCUAAGAAAAUUUAAAAGAGAUUUUAUUGAAAAACAUAAUAAAAUGAGAUCCCCAAAAAGAAAGGUUUUCUGAGAAGAUGAGAAGAUGUAGAGAGAAGUUGGAGACUAGAGAAUCAGUUUUUUGGUUUGUUAUUGAAGUUUUUAAUCAUGGCCGUUAAAUGCAUUGUGAGUGAGAGACUAGGGGUUUGAUUCUUGCCUCUUAUACUUGCCACUCAUGUGGCAUUUUUAGGAUUUAGAGUUACUGAGUACAUAUGCACCUAUCUAGUUCGAACGUGGUUUAGUACCCACCAGAUUCUCAAUGGCCUAGUUGAACUUGCACCCUUUAAUAGUAGUUGUAAAUAAGUGUCAAUUGACUUAAAAAAAUGAUACAAGAAAAUUCCUCACCAACUGUCUUGAUGAUAAAUGGGCUUCCCUAACUAGACUUAGUUGACCACGAUUUUUUGAAACUUUUCUAAUGGUUGCAUUAACAAAACAUCUGUUGGAAUUACAACGAUUGAAAGUGACAUGGGAUUAGAUGUAAAAUUAUGAUGAAAGAUUGUCUGCGUGCUACUAAAGUUGACAAAGAUUAAACUACACAAUUGAGAUAAAAUUUUAUAACUGAUGACACAAAAUCUGAAUUCUGAACUGCUUCCUUAAAGUCUUGCAAAUUAACUAUCGAAAUAUAAGAGCUCAACCAUACUCUGAACCAUUAAUUAUUUUAUAUUUUGGUGAUUAUAUUUAUGGUAGUUCAUACAAUUUCUAACUAACUAUCAUUAUUUAUCUCAAAUUAUGAAUGUAGUGCAAGAAACUAAUAUUCAGUUUUGGUUGAAUAUUAUAGCAAAAAGUUCUGUAUCAAUCUAGCUUAAUGUUUAAAAAUAUGCCAAGUUCUCUUCAUAUGAGUAUCCCAACAGGGGAGCAAGGGGAGAGUGCGGCAGGGCUGGUUUCUCAACAGGGGCAUGAAUGUGAGGUGCGGUAGGCCCUCCUGGCUCAAUCUAGCGCGGAACGGCGGACUGCCGAGGGGCAGUUGGUCUUGUUGCACAGCAGCGAAUUGGGGAGUUUGGUUGUCGAUUUGAAUGGGAAGGAGGAAGUGGCUCACGUAGCACUUGAGGAGGCUGACGCUGAGUUACCAAAGGUCGCAGGAAAUUUAUCGCUUAGGUUGAUUGUUCGUCAAGAGAGGUCGGGGGAGUCAUCGGUGAGAGCUUUGAACAUUGACCAAUUGGAGGCAGUUGAGAGAGAUGCCAAACAAGCGAGAGGGAAGGGUAUGCGCGCUCAUUUUCCCUCGGAUAGACAGAUUCGGUCCGCGACAUCCUCCCAUAACUCCUUCCGGGUAUUAUCUCAUGAUUAAUGGCAUUUUUUGAAAUAUUAGAGAGGUGACCAAAGCCCCUAAUUUGAGAAGAUUGGUUAAAUUUGUCAAGGUGCAUCAUGCUAAGUACGUUUGAUUGUUCGUCAAGAGAGGUCGGGGGAGUCAUCGGUGAGAGCUUUGAACAUUGACCAAUUGGAGGCAGUUGAGAGAGAUGCCAAACAAGCGAGAGGGAAGGGUAUGCGCGCUCAUUUUCCCUCGGAUAGACAGAUUCGGUUCGUGACAUCCUCCCAUAACUCCUUCCGGGUAUUAUCUCAUGAUUAAUGGCAUUUUUUGAAAUAUUAGAGGGGUGACCAAAGCCCCUAAUUUAAGAAGAUUGGUUAAAUUAGUCAAGGUGCAUCAUGCUAAGUACGUUGUGAUAUGUGAGCCCAAACUAGGGGUGUCUAAAAUUGAGUCCAUUCGGUUAUACUUACAGUUUGAUUUUGUGAUUGUGAAUCACUCGGGGGAUAUUUGGGUGUUUUACAGUAGUCCUUUCAUGUGUUCCAUUGUUGGUAAUUCAGGUCAACAUUUGUCUCUUUCUGUUCAAUGUCCGUUGAUGCCUGGGUCAAUCACAAUGUCUUUUGUUCAUGCAAAGUGCUCCGUAGAGGAGCAAAGAGAACUCUGGAGCGAUUUACUAGCUGAUAAGCAUAGCUCUCUACCAUGGUGCAUUGGAGGGGACUUUAAUGUCAUAUUGGCACCUCAUGAAAAAUGGGGAGGCCACCCGUUUGUUGUAGAUGAGGGGAUGGAGUUCAUGUCCUUCAUGGAAGAGGUUGGGGUUUUUGAUGUAGGCUUUUCGAGCCCUAACUUCACGUGGUGUAAUAAUCGGAGAGGUAGAGCUUGAGUUUCGAAGAGAUUGGAUAGGAUGUUAGUCAAUGGGGAGUGCUUGGAUUUCUUCUCCGCCAUCUCUGUGGUUCACCUGGCGACAUAUCCCUCGGAUCAUGCGCCAUUGAAGAUCUCAUUUGCAUCUCGGAUAGAUACUAAGCCGAGGCCGUUCCGAUUCUUGAAUGUUUGGACGACUAAACCUGAGCUCAUGAAGGUGAUUAGACGUGCCUGGGGUCAAGAAGUGAGUAGAUCCCUCUUGCGGAUUUUGUGCACUAAGUUGUUGGCGACGAGGAGGGCUAUUCAGGUUUGGAACAAGCAAUCGUUUGGUAAUGUGUUCGAUGCCAUUCGUAAGGCGGAGGCUACGGUGCAAAGGGCAGAUGAGGCCACAGAUCAAGGUGAUUUGGAGGAGGGCCAAAUUGAGCUCAGGAAGACUCAAGUGGAGCUACGUUAUGCGCUGUCUAUUGAAGAGAAGUUUUGGAGUCAAAAGACUCGAGUAAAGUGGCUUCAACAUGGGAACUGCAAUUCAAGGUACUUUCAUACGGUGGUAAGGCAGCGACGGGCCCAGAGAAUGAUAUAUCGAAUAAAGAAGUCCAGUGGUGUUUGGGUGGAUGCGGAGGCUAACAUAGCAAGUGAGGCAAUCUCAUAUUUUUCUGACUUGUUCUCUGGUCCCUCAGAGUCUGCAUCUGAUAUGCUGCAUCUCAUCCUACACAUGAUUUCGAGGGAAGACAAUGGGAAAUUAGAGGCAGUUCCUUCUAUGGAGGAGGUUCACCGAGUGGUACGGGCAAUGGAUGGGGAUAGUGCUGCUGGUCCCGAUGGAUUUACGGGCAAAUUUUACAUCUUUGCGAGGGAAGUUAUUGCGCAGGAUGUUUAUAACGCGGUACUCAGUUUUUUUUGUGGGCCAGAGCUCCCUCGAUUCAUCACUUCCACCUCGCUGGUGCUGCUUCCUAAGGUGUCGAAUCCCUAGGACCUUUCCCAAUUUAGGCCGAUUAGCUUGUGUAACUUCUUUAAUAAGUUGUUAUCUAGGAUCUUGGCUGAUAGAGUGGCUGGUGUUUUGUCAAAGAUUAUUUCCCCCCAGCAGACAUGAUUUGUUAAGGGCCGGAAUAUAUCCGACAACUACUUGUUAGUACAGGAGGUGGUAUCGGGUAUUGACAAAAAAGCUAGGGGUGACAAUGUCGUCUUGAAGUUAGACAUGUCCAAGGCUAAUGAUAGGGUGUCUUGGUUGCAUAUUAUUGGUGUCUUACGGAAGUUUGGCUUCGGGGAGCGAUUCAUUGAUCUGGUAUGGCGGUUGUUGGCUAAUGUGUGGUUCUCGAUCAUUAUCAACAUGUCGUCAUAUGGCUUCUUUAAAUCUAUGAGAGGGUUACGUCAGGGUGACCCACUGUCACCGGCGUUAUUUAUUAUUGGGGUUGAGGUCUUGUCGAGAGGCUUAAAUGACCUUAUGGUUCAAUCGGGUUUUUUGGGGUUUGAAAUCCCUUAUAACUGCCCCGCUGUAACUCAUUUGGCAUUCGCGGAUGACGUGCUUAUAUUUGCGAACGGGUCCACCUUUGCUUUGAAAGAUAUUAUGCAGGUGUUAGAGAUGUAUCAACGAUACUCAGGGCAGCUGAUAAAUGCUUAGAAAAGUGGCUACUUGAUUCAUCCAUCAUUGUCGCUAGCUAGAAAAAGAGUGAUUGAACGUGUUACGAGGUUUACUUGGCAACCCUUCCCUAUACGUUAUUUAGGGUCUCUGUUGUACUUUGGGAGGUGUAAAUCAUCAUAUUAUGGUGAAGUGUGUCAGUUUAUUCUAGGAAGGGUUCUGUCAUGGAAAUCAAAGUUUCUGUCUACGGGAGGCAAGAUGGUGCUAAUCAAGCACGUGUUGUCAUCGAUGCCAGUUCACUUGCUGUUCGCGGCUGUGAUCCCUGGCAAGGUGUCUAACACUAUAGAGAAGGUUUGCUCGAACUUCCUGUGGGGAUCUUCACCCGAAGAGUUGAAGUUCCACUGGAUAUGGUGGUCUCAACUGUGCUACCCAGUUGAGAAGGGUGGAGUACGGUUUCGGAGGCUUAUGGACGUCUAUUCAGCUUUCUCUUGUAAACUAUGGUGGAGUUUUCGAACGGGAUCGUCAUUGUGGGCUGCUUUCAUGCAAGCAAAGUACUGCAGAAGGAUCCACCCUUGUCAAGCAGAAAUGAGGUUGACAAAUUCGGCAGUCUAGAGGCGGAUGUUAAACGUGAACCGACACGUAGAACUGUCUAUGGUUUGGUUAGUCAACGACGGGUUGUGUCACUUUUGGUACGACAACUGGUUGGGCAGUGGUGCCUUAUUCCUUAGAGCGUCAGUUGAUCCAACUCUCUCGUUUCGGAAUUGCACUUCAAAUGGGCAUUGGGAUGUAAAUCUCUUGUAUCAAACCUUGCCACGGGACAUUGUUUCCUCCAUUUUAUAGCACCCGAUCCCUGACGGGCGAUGUGCCGAUGAAGUCAUUUUGUUGCCAACGAUAUCUGAAAAAUUCACAUUAGCCUUUGCUUUCCGGGAUGUACGGCAGGCCCGUAACACGUCGGUGGUCCUCUCUAAGGUUUGGCACCCUCGGAUCCCUUUGAAGUGUCAUUUUUAUAUUGCGGUUAUUGAUAGGGAGGUUGCCGCUACCGGAUACUUUAUGUAGACUUGGGUUUCAUUUGCUUUCUAAAUAUUGGUGUUGUCAAGUUGGGGCGGAGGAAUCAAUUGAGCUUGUAUUCUCUGCUGGCCACAUAGCGUUGGAGGUUUGGACUUAUUUUGGUGGUCUAUGUGGUUUUAAUUCCCCGAGGUCUUCACUGCGAGCUCGCAUAGUUGACUGGUGGUUGCGAUCACACGAGUCGGAGACGCGACGUUUUAUUUUCCUUAUUCUGCCAAGUUUUACCUGCUGGCAUAUUUGGAAGGCUAGGAAUAAAACAAUGUUUGAGGGUGAACAUAUGCGGUCUUCUGCCAUUUGUCAAGCCAUAUUCUCGGAAAUUAAAUCCAUUAUGGAGAUUCAGUUCAAAGAAAGGAUUAGGGUGCAAACAUUUUGCCAGCUGUAUGAUUGGUCAAAUUCGCUUGCCAGUGUUAGCUUCAAAUUUGUACGCUGGGAGGCGAAGGAGAUGAGAAGGUUAGUACUGAAUAUGGAUGGAUGCUCGAAAGGUAAUCCGGGAGUGGGUGGAGGGGGUGGGGUCCUUCGGGGUUCAACGGGGCUACCCCUGGUUGCAUUUUCGGCCUUCUUUGGAAUAACUACUUGUCUUCGCACAAAGACUAUGGCCCUUUUGAUUGGGCUCCAAACGUGUGUUCAUAGGGGUUUUACUAAUCUAUGGGUGCAAUCGGAUUCAUUGGCUUUAGUUGGGGUUCUCCAGCGGCGAAUUCAGUACCCGUGGCAGAUCCGACGCGAGGUCCGGCAGAUUUGGUAGUUAGUCGAGGAUCCUACUCGAUUCUCACACUAUUAUAGGGAGGCUAACACAGUAGCUGAUGCAUUGUCCAAUGUGGGUGUAGCUCAUCCUGAGCAGCAGGUCAAAGUCUAUGAAUGCUUUCGUAUGUUCCCGAGGUUGGCCCGCGUGGCAAUCAGGCUGGAUAGAUUAGGCGUGCAUUCAGUUCGGAAAUUUCGGCGUAUGUAAGCGGAACUUAUUGAUUGUCUUUGUGGAAUAAGAAUUAAAACUUGCUUCAAAAAAAAAAUGUAACCAAAUUUGCACUCUUAUGAGGAUAGAUCAUAUAUUUUUGGAAUGCCUAAUUAUUUUGAUAUCUAUGCAUACAAGUUUUAUGUGUAAAAAUGUGAUUUGAAUUGAUUGAACAUAUAAAUGUUUGAUUAUGAUAACUCUCAAUAUUUUCUAAAUUAGUUCAUGACUUGAGAGGGAAACUUUUUUUUAUUAAAAAGACUUUAUUUGGUUGAAAAUUUUUCUGUUUAACUUGCUUGAAGUUUUGUAUGUGGACUAUGCUAGUUAUUUAAUUUUGACAUAGUUUAACUAUUAGGUAUAAUGUAUCUCCUUGUUUAAAGUGUGAGAACAUUCUACCAUAAUUUAGUUAAAAUUAGCAUAUUAUUUUAUGCAAGUGAAAUGAUUAUGAUGUUACUUUCUAAUUUAUAUUUAAAUGCUACAUCUAGAAUGUUAACAUCAUGUAUGAAAAUCAAUUAGAUAUCCAUCUAGUGAAUUUCAAAUCUUCUAUCAUAAUCAGUUUGAUUGGAUACGUAAAUAAGCUCUUAGCCUCACAUCUAAUGAAAAAGUUCUAUCAUAUAUGUUUCACUGAUGAUAACUCUUUUUUUGUGAUACUUUUAUGAAUUUCUUGGUACUUAUUAAUACAUAUUUUUUUGAAAUAGGAGGAAAAUAUUAAGGGUGAGCAAAAAUUAAUUUGGAAAUUAUCUUUUACAUGAAUUCUCUUGUAUAUACUUGAUGAUAUGCUUUUGAAGGGAAGUAAUUCUUUAAAUUUAAUUAAUCCCUCUGUACUUACUUGAUUUAUAUGUUUAUUUUAAGUACAAGAUAGUUGAUGAAAGAUAAAAGCCAAAAUCAAUAUUGCCAUAAUUGAGUGGGAGCCCAAUGCUUUAUCUUAUGAGGAGUCUCUUUGUUAUGCCAUUUGAAAAUAUUAGGUUGCUUUGGUAGCUUACAAUGUGCUUGACUAUACAAUGCUCUUGAUCUUAGAGGGAGUUACUUGCAAUUCUUGCUUACAUACUUUAUUUCUAAUAUUGUCAAAAGGGAGAGAAGAUUGAAUGAUAUUUCUUUGAAUGUUGGGCUUUUACUUAAAGGGAGUUUUACUUGAAUUCUAUUUAAUUAUCUUUGAGAUACCAUUGAGUAAGGGGGAGUUUAUUUGAUAAAAAAAUUAUCAUUUUGUUUGUCAUCAUCAAAAAAGAGAGAAAUUGAAGAUUUAAACCGAUCAACCCUUGGUUUUGAUGAUUAACAAUUUGAUAAAAAAAAAUCAUCAUUUUGUUUGUCAUCAUCAGAAAGAGAGAGAUUGAAAAGUUAAGUUGAUCAAUCUUGGUUUUGAUUAUUAACAAGCCAAAAUGAUAUUUUCGACUAAUGUUUUUAACAAGAAUUUUGUUAGAACAGGUGCUCAAAUAUUUGGAAAAAGAAAUGAUGAAAAAUGAGAAGGAAUUAAAAUUGUCGCUUAGCAUCGGACACAGUUUUGAAGGCAUAAUUAUUUCAUUAGAUGUCCGAAGCACCACAAUAGAAACAUCCCUUAUCAUCGAAUACAACAUCAAGCACAUAGUGAAGGGUUGAUCAUCCGAACAUUGAAGCAAGUAUCAUUGAAUGAAGUAUCAGACGCUAACUGACUCUAUCAGCCGUUCGAAAAUUAAAUGAAAACUUGGGAAGCUACUGAUCUCUUUCGGACAUAUCUGUCAGAUAGUAUAUAUUUAGAUCGAUCGUCCGAGCCGGUGUCAGAAGCGUGAUGGAUGCAGAGCAUUUGAUUCAAACGGUCGAUAGUUUCAAUAGCUAGUUUUUAACAGCCUUUUUUUUUUCCUGAUCAUUGGAGAGUUUCUUGGACCAAAUUUUUAUCUUCUAUAAAUACCCGAAGGCCUGAAAUAUUAGAGCAACUUUUGCCUACAUUGAAUACAAGUUUUUUAGAGUGAAUUUAUGAGAAAAUACUCAUUUCUUGUGGACUUGUGGUUCUUUGUGAGGUUGAAAAGUUCAGGUGUUCGUUAUUAUUUGGGUGAGCAUUCAAUUGUAAUGUAGAGAGAGUUAGCAAGGGAGAGUUGUAAAAUCUCUUAGUACAACUAGAGCAUUUCUUUGUACAAAUUGGUUUGUUUCACAAUAUUGGAAGAAACAUUUAGUAGGUUGAACUCCCAAGUUUGGUAAAACUUGAGAGUGGAAAGAGGUGCCAUAUCAGUUGGUUUGUUUUCUUUUUAAUUUAUUGUUUUUUACUUGCCCAUUUAUGUGAUUUCAUUACUUUAGCUCUUUUACUUUCUACUUGUUUAAGUGUGUAAUCACUUGGGUAAUUUGGCUAGUUUAAAUUGAAUGAAAAUUUGUCAUAUCUUACUUAGUUGUUAAUCAAUCCAAUUCGCUUCUCUCUUAGAUUGCAGUAGGACCUUGCAACGGUAAUUGAUAACAUCCAAGGCUUCUCACUAUUCAUGCCGUUGGUCUAGUGUUUUAAAACGCCUUGCCUGGGGUAAGGCGUUUUGCCUCCACCUAAAAGCCUUGAGCCUGGGUUGCAAGUCCUAUGGUUUUAAUAUUUUUAAUAUUUAAAAAAAUCAUAAAAUUUACAAAAACUAUUAAUAUUAAAAGACAUAUAACUAUAACAAUAGAAAAAUUAUAGAAAAAAUAUUAAAUUUUCAAAAAUUAUAGAAAAAUAUAUUGUCAUAAGUCAUAACAAGGGAGAUGAUUUUACUAGGAAAUAUUUUUAUAUUCUUGUGGUAUGUAAUACUAUAUAAAAAUGGUAAAAUUAAAACAUAACCAAGUUUUGGGGUUAAAUAAGAAAUUUGAGAUAACAUGUUAGCUAAAUUUUCAAAGUAAGUUGCAACGAUAAUAUUUGUGUUACCUACUCUAGUUUGAGAAGAAAUCUAACCGACGGAGGAAUCCCGGAAAGAAGCCACUUGAAAGUGAUUGUCACAAUUAAUUAGCAAAUAUACGGUACCCUUGCCUCUCACCCCCACUAGGACAGUCUUAGUGGCUACCAAGCAGUUGGUGCCAAAGCACAUGGACUUAAUACUACGUGUUUUUACUAACAUGGGAUCCACAUCUCCAAAUUCAGGCCCGUCAACUUCAUCAAGGUCCACCGAGCACAUACCCAUUUUUCAGCCCAAAUCAUCAAAUGCUUCUUUCCUUCACUUUCUCUUUUCUAAACUUGAAAUGACUUCCCGAUUAUUCCAGGCAAGUGUGGCAAUUUUUAACACAACUUGAAAAAAUGACACGAACCUAAUAUGAAAUUAAUGGGUUUGAGUUGAACUUUCGCAGGUUCGAGUUAGAAUCGGAUCGAACUCGAUGAAUUCGAAAAGAAAACAGGUUGAAUUCAGAUCAUCCAUGGGUUGACCUGAUAACCCGUUUAUGAAUUAAAAUAAUUUAAUAAAUAUGAAAAUAUUUUAUCUAACUAAACUAAGUUAUUCUUUUUUUUUUCAAAGGCAUUAACCACUUAAUCCUAAAUGAAUUUGUUUAACUUGUGUGAAGUUGGAAUUAUUUUGCUUGGACAAGUGAUGUAUUAUAUUAUUUUCUACUUUUAUAAUGUCUUCAUUUAUUUUAAAUCCGAUUUUGGAUAAAACACUUUUAUGGUGUUUUAAUUUAUUUGAGAUCUGGUUUGGGAUUAUUUUAUCGAAAUUUUUAUUACUUGAUUAUGUAAUUAGUCUUGUCCAAAAUUAGUUCUGUUAGAAACUAUAGUGUUAAAUUAGUAAAUUGAAAUUAUGUUUCGGGUGACCUGCCAACCCAAAAAUUUCGGAUUCAGGCCAAGCAUCCUGACUCGUUGCGGGUUGGCAGGUCAUGUUCGGGUCAGCUAGUUAUCUAUUGUACAUGGGUCUCAACCUGACCUGCCAAUUCGUUUUUGACCUAAUUGCCACCCUUAAUUCCAGGUUCCAAUGCAUGUGUGUUUUUUUGUCAAAAUAUUAUUUAAUUGCAUAUUAAACACGUUUUUCAAUCAUUUUUUAAUUUUUUAAUUUUUUAUUUCACAUACAUUAUAUCACAAAAAUACUACAAUAAUUAUUUCAAAUAAUUUUCUAUCCAGACAUCUUUGUACUUUGUUAUCUCUUUUCUUUCUUGCUCCAUUUGUUUGUCGAAUAAUUUAAAAUCUCUGUUUUUCUUCCUCACUAUGCCAUCAAAAAUAUUAAAAAAAGUUUAAAAAAAGAGUAAAAUUCAGGAAUGAAAUACUUACCUGCUAGCUCUAGCGAAGGUGAGAUUUGUUUCUCCUUCAAUUAUCUGCACUGAUUUUAAGACUGAAAUUGAGGAAGAUCCCUGCAUCAUAAGAGAUGGAUGUGGCCUCCACUUGCAUAAAAAGACAAGUUGCUCCUGAACAACUUCCCAAAAGCACCAUGGGUGUUAUUGCUAGUAUAUUAAUGCACAUACAUAUAUUGAACUUAUACAAAUUAGCAAGGAUAAAUACAGCAGUUUUUUCGAAACUCAACACCUAAAAGAAAUAUCUUUUUGGUCAGUUGGGGCACAGUUACUCGCAGGUAAGAAUAAUUUCUUUGUUACCUAAUAUAAGCAUUUUUUUUUUCAAUUUUGGCCACAAUUGGACUUGCAUGGCUCUUCACCCAGGUUGGUGUGGAUUUCAUCACAACAUAUCGUUCAAAAUGUAUACUGCUGGAUCAUAAGUUUGAAUCCGCGAUACGCAGCUUUAGGAGUACAGAAGUUUUAAAUCGAAUUUUCCUUCAUCAUGUUGAAGAAAUUUGUCGAAAAUUGAAGUAUGGAAGCCAAGUUCUUUGGAGAAGGAUAUCUAUCCACUUAUAAAAUUGUGCUUUUCACUUAUGGAUCUACCUAUUGGUGAGUGGGGCACGUCUCCUGACUGGCCAAAACAAAAAAAAUGAUUAUAUUAGGUAUAAAUUUAUUUUAAUCUCACUAAAUUUGUAACUGUAUCCGAAGCAAUGAUGAAAAUAAUACGGUAUUGAGUUUCAGUAAAAAUUAGUAUUUAUCCAUGUCAAUUUGUAGAAGUUCAAUCUAUGUAUGUGCAUAGGAGUAAUUUGUUGACAAUAAUUAAUAGGAUAAAAUGCCCCAGUGGCCCUCAAAUUGUUAUAAAAUUUAAUUUUUGACCGUCCAAUUAUUAAUUGAUAAGUUUUAGUCCUUCAACUAAUUAAAACAUAUAAUCUUAAUCCUUCCAUCAACUUGAGAUGUUAUAUUUAACAAUAAUAGCACAACAUGUGCAACAGUGGCCCUCAAAGUAUUAUAAACUUCAACUUUUGGUUUCCCCACCUAUUAAUUGAUAAAUUUUACCACUCCAACUAAUUAAAACAUGUAGGAUCUGUUUCGAUUAGUUGUUUUUUGGAGGUGUUUUUUAAAAACUUUACUGUAACUGUGUAUAUGAAAAACUUUUACUGUAAAUAUGUUUUGGAUUGUUUUUAAAGGUAUUUUUAAAAUAUAUUUUGGGUUAUUUUUAUAAUUUACAACUUUGUGGGGUAUCUUUUUUUUUUCAAAUUUUACACCUCCCUCCUCCUCUCCCCUCUCUCCUUUCUCUUCCUCUCCUCUUCCUCUCUCUUUCCUUCCCCUCCUCCUCCUCGCUCUUUCCUCUCCCUUCUCCCCCCUCCCCUCCUUUCCCCCGACCCUAACCCCUCUCCCACUCGCGAGUGGUGACUGCGACUCUAGCCACCACUCUAGCUGCAACCUUCUUAGUCACUACCAGAAAGGUCACGACCAGAAGCCAUGAGUCGCAGCCUUUGGCCGUGACCUUCUAGUCACGAUCAAAUUUGGUGACGACCAGGAAGAUUGCAGUCAGUGGAUGGGAGGGGGAAUUGGGGGGCAGGGAAAGGGUAGGGAGAAUGAGAGAGAGGAGAAGGAAGAAGGGAGAAGGAGAAGGAGAGAGGGAGGAAAGAUGGGGAGAGAGAGAGAGAAAGAGAGGAGAAAGGAGGGAGGGUCAUGGGUAUGGGUAUGGGUAUGGGGUGGUGGCAAUAAGGUGGUGGUGGUGAUGGUGGAGAGUGAUGGGUGGUGGUGGUGUAUUUUUUUUAAUAUAUAUUUGGAAUUAUUUUUGUAUAUUGUAUGGAUGUGGUGUUUUUGAAAUUAUUUUUGUCCAUCUAUUACUUUCCAAAAAUUGAGGAAUCCAAAUAGAGCCAUAAUCCUAGCCCUUCUGUCAACUUGAGUCAUUAUGUUGAAUGGAAACUUCACCAUGUGCGCUGUAGGGGCAUAACCGAGGGGCAUUUUCAUCUUCAUAGGACAUGUGUUAUGGUAAACUUGUUUUGACUCACAAACUAGUUUACCAAAUCUCUAAUUGCUGAACUUCACCAAAAUCAAUUGAAAACCCAAAACCUAAAUAGAAAUUCUAGCAAGAAUAGGCAACUUGAAAAAUUGAGUUAUCUUCAUCUGGAAUUAACUCAUUUUUAGUAUUGUUCCAGAUUAAUUGGGUUCAUGUAGUUCUUUUAAUGGCAUAAAUCUAGCAUAUAAUUCAUUUUUUGGGAAUAUUCCAACAAGCCUUGGUUCCCUUCCAAGAUUGAAUUUUCUAAAUCUCUCAAAUAAUCAAUUCUCUAGGGAGAUUCCUCCAAACUUUACAUUACUACAUCUAAACUUUCUUUAUUUGUCUAACAACUAGUUGGUUGGGUGUAUCUUGGAUUCUUUAUCAGUAGAUGUUUCACUUCGAAUUAACGACUCAAGUUGACAGAAGGCCUAGACAAGUUAGAGAGGCAAAAGUUGAAAUUUGUAAUAGUUUAAGAGCCAUGGGAGCAUUUUACCCAUCUCAUGAAUCCUAUAUCUCUGCUAAAUAUAACGACUCAAGUUGACGGAAUGAUUAGAAUUAUAUGUUUUAUUUAGUUAGAAAGCUAAAACUUAUUAAUUAAUAGUUGAAGGGUCCAAAGUUGAACUUUAUAAUAGUUUGAGAACCAUUGGGACAUUUUCACCUAAUUAAUAACAUACACAAGUAACACAUACAAUUUGCCAAUUAAAUAAGACAUAAUAUCAGCAACCUUCCCUAAAGUUUUUCUUAAUAUCACUGAGCAUUUCUAAACUUUUAAAAGUAUUACCUACCUUCCUUACGUUUGUCAAGUAAAUGAUACUGGACGAAUUUCAACAAUUUUAUUGAUGCAAUUUUUUUUGUCAAAAAGAAUUUUUGUUAAAAUGCUAAAAAUGUAUCUAUUAAAUCCAAAUGGACAUGAGAAGGAUACUUUGCGUUAAAAUUGGUGCGAAAGUUAAAUCCGGCUGUGCCAUUAACAGCGGCUUGUCAUGCAAUAAUCCGCAGGAGCCGGCACCCAAUUUUAAAGUCCAAAAGCAGUGAGCCCACCACUAACUAAUGCCUCCACCACCCUCUUUAAUUUUUCAUUUACACAAUUUCAAAUCCUAAAAUCAUCAAAGUGUGUAAAAAUGAGGCCAUUGCCAUCCCAUACAUAACCUAGAAAGAGAGAGAGAGUGAAAGAAGUAGUAGCAGAUCUCAGCCAAAUUAUUCAGCCAUGGCAACUAGUACUCCAGUUAACGUCCCCUCCAAAAUGAAGGCCUGGGUCUAUGGCCAAUAUGGAAAACCCGAAGAUGUCCUUAAAUUGGAAUCCGAGGUUGAUGUUCCUGACGUAAAUGAUAACCAGGUCUUGAUCAAAGUAGUUGCUGCGUCCCUGAAUCCAGUCGACUUCAAACGCAUGUAUGGUGAAUUCAAGGCCACUGAUUCUCCUCCGCCGGUAAACACCCUGUUUUUUUUCUCUGGAAAAAAUUGUUGUUUGUUUUAGUUACUAGAUAGAUAGUCCUUGUGUAGAUUUACUGUGUUUUUUUUUUUUUUUUUGGUUUUUUGAUCGGGUAGACUGUAGCGGGAUAUGAUGUGGCGGGCGUGGUGGUUAGAGUUGGAAGCAAAGUGAAGGAAUUCAAGGUCGGGGAUGAAGUAUACGGAGACGUUCACGAGCAUGCUUUGAACCCAAAGGGAUGUGGGACACUGGCGGAGUACACUGCAGCGGAGGAAAAGGUAUUAGCUUUGAAGCCCAAGAAUCUGAGUUUUGCCGAGGCAGCUAGUCUUCCUCUUGCCGUUGAAACAGCAUACGAGGGCCUUGAAAGCGCUAGGCUUUCAGCUUGUGAAUCAGUUCUUGUCCUGGGUGGUGCUGGUGGAGUUGGAACUUUCACCAUUCAGGUAUUUUAUGCGUUCACUUUUUCCUCUUAAUUUUCAAUACUUUAAAACACCUGGAAAAAAUCAGACCUAGUUGGUCAGUUCCAAGGAAUCAGUGUUAAUUUUUGAGAACCAAUAAACAACAAGUGGUAGCAUUUCCGUACUAAGUCAUCCUUGGCAGAGACAAUGAACCUUCCUAGCAAAAAAAUUAGUGUAUGUAUGUAUCAAUCAAAUUUUCAGAUUUGGCAGAACCUUCAUAGCAAUUUUAGGUUUGGCUUUUGAGUUGCUAGAUAAAUUAAAAGUAGUUCUGAAGACUGACCUUUUAUAGGGGUGUUAAUUAGGCUUUAGAAUCGAAUUUUGGCAACCUCAUUCUUGACUCACAAAUUAUACAAGUUUUUGUGUUUCGAAUUCAAAUUAAAAAAAUCAAACUCAACUCGCAUUUUAUGAGUUUUAGACUCAAAUUGGGUUCGACUCAAACUCAUAAUAAAAUACAUAAUUAUAUAUAAUAUAUAUUAUAUAAUUAUGAAUUACUAUAAAUUUAUAUAUAAAUUAUUAACAUUUUAUAUCUUAAUCGAGUUUGAACUUAAUUAAUAUGACCCAAGUUCAACUCAUAUUUAAUUCGGACAUAAUAUUUAUAUCCAAUCUCAGCUGGUUUAAUUAAGACUUAGGCUCAAUGGCCUUUUUUUGGGUCCCAUUGACAGCCUAACUUUUGCUUAGAACCGAAGAUAAAUCAUAGUACUACCUAAAUUCAUGCAUGACUGAAACGAUUUCUUGAUAUGCGGCAGCUGUCAAAGCAUGUGUUUGGUGCAUCCAAAGUAGCAGCAACUUGUAGCGCUGGGAAACUGGAGUUACUUAAAACCUUAGGGGCUGAUUUGGCUAUCGACUACAAAAGCAACAAGUAUGAAGAUUUGCCAGAGAAAUUUGACGUGGUAUAUGAUACCGUUGGUAAGAAUGAAUCCCUUGCUCUCUGUUCUGGACAGUAGGUAAAAGUUCUGGUGCUAACUAGCAAUUCAUUUUGCAAAUGUGCGAAAAUGAGCAGGUGAGGCUGAUAGGGGUAUCAAGGCUUUAAAAGAAGGCGGAAGAGUGGUGACAAUCGUGGGGGGCCAGUCGGUGGUUCCCCCUGCUUUCGUGUUUGUGGUCACUUCAACUGGUUCUGUCUUAACCAGACUCAAACCUCUCAUAGAGGAGAAGAAGCUGAAGCCGGUGAUGGACCCUAAAAGCCCUUUCCCAUUCUCUCACACCAUUGAAGCAUUUUCCCAUCUUCAAUGUGGCAGAGCUACCGGCAAGGUGGUCAUAUAUCCGAUUCCAUGAUCAAGAAUCAUUGCCCUCUCCAAUACCUGAACGCAAUCAUGGCCUUUUACUAAUAAGAAUUCUAGAUUGCCAUUCUUUCUUUUCUUUUAAUAUGGUACUAGUAGCAUGGAUAGACAUGUAAGUAGAAGGGAGAGUUGGAUUGGGUGGUAAAGUGGAAAGGAAUAUAAACAGAAACCAAGACCAUUUAUAUAUAUAUAUAAAAGACAUGUAUUGGAAUAAAUGAAAAGAUAUUGCGGUUUUACUUGUUUCACUAAUAAUAAUAAUAAAAUGUAAUUGCUAGUAGUUCUAUUAAAAACAAAGUGUCUCAAAUUACACCAACAACUCAUAUUACAAAUCAAAGUGCUCUAGACCACAUAUACAUUCACUCUUUUUUUCUUUUUUUUGAAUUAAUCUUUCCUACACUGACAGUGUAUACACUAUCAGUAUUGGAUAAAUGACAAUUAUACAAAAUUUGAAUUUAAAAUUCAACUUUUGCAUACAUGUCAUGAAUUCAACGAUAAUAAUGUAUAUACCAUCAGUGUAGGAAAGAUUUACUCUUUUUUUUUGGUUGGGUGUGCGGAUAUUCUAAAGCACCAAUCCCACUUUUAUAGCUAAGAAGCCAAUGCAUAGGUACAUAUUACUCCUACAAUGACAUUAAUAUUGAUUGAAACCACAGUAAUUUGGGAUGAAUUAUUGACUUUAGGGUGAAAAACAUUCAAAAUUAAAUUUUGAGGUGCAAUUUCAUAGUUAUUAAUAACUUUAAAGCACAAAAUAUUCAAAAAUAAAAGUUUGAGAUACAAAUAUCAUUCAAAAGGGCGCAAAAUGAAAUUUUAGUUGCUUAACAAACAAUCUUGUUUCUUAGACCCGAGAUGUGGGAUAAACCAACCCUCAAAGUCUUCUUUUUUCUUUUUUUUUGGACAUAGAAAUGAGUGAUUUCAACUUAAAAGAUUUGUCAAUCGAGAUGCUCAAAAGUUUUCUUUUAUUGACUGAAGUGCAACUUGAUAUGAUUCUUGAAACGCUAAGACGAAUCAAGAACGUGACGCACAAGCCCGGAUCUAGGUUAGGAAUCACGUUUGGUGACGGAGUCUGUAAUCUAUCUUGGACCGCACAAGAAAGACUAGAAUGGGUAGAACAACGCCACAAUCAAGGGGACUACUUGAUUGAUAAGUUGACGAACCACCUUAGGGCAACUCUAAGAUGUUCAAUAUUGGCUUCACAAGCCAAGGGGAGCUCUUUCAUUCGUGAAAGAAAUCUGGAAAAAUUUUCUCAACUUUCUUCAAUCCCAUAAAACAUGAAAGUAAAGGCUUUUUAUAGCCUUUUACAGGACCAAACUCCUAAUCCAACUAGGAAGUAAGAACUUAACCCUAACUCCAAUUAACUCUAUGAAUUUAACUCCAAUUGGCUACUAACUAUGGUCAACAUGACCUUGAGCCCUUUUAUUAACUAAUUGACUAAGAUGAUCAAGCUCAAAUUUUGGAAUUAACAACCAAAUGACAUAAAACAAUGGAAAUAAGCCACAAACAGCCCAUAAAGAGAACCAUUCGGCCAAGACACAAUGAGGACACCAUGAAAUGACUCUAGCUCGAUGCAAAUGGAUUUGAUAAAUGUUAAGACCAGCUAGCCUCGUAUCAUUCCCCUCCUCUUAAAGGCGAUUUGCCCACAAAUCGAAGCACGAAGGGUCACAAGAUGAGUGACAUGUCGUUGGGACAACCUGACGAUGAUCACAUUCAAGGGUUGCAUCCAAUACAAGGACCACCAUGUGCGACGCUGGAAAGGACCAGUUGUAAUACGAUGAAGCUCACGGACCAGCUUCAAGGCUUGUGUAUCAAUGAGGUAUGGAUCCUCAAAUUGGCGUGGAACAUCUUCCCACAAUCCACUGGCAUGCAAUUGCAUAUCCGGGUGGCUAACUUGCAAAAAGGAAGCAAAACUAGGAGCAAUUGUGUUAGUAAAGUUACAAGAAAAAACUUUGUCACACUCAGCCCUUACUAACAAACUAUGCUUCAUAUCUUUAUACAUCCCUUUAGCCAAACUCACUAGUGCUUUUCUCCCUUCACUACUCUCAAUCUCACUCUUUUCUUGUUUUCUCAACUCACACUCUAACUCAUACUCUUCAUGUAACCUCAGUUGAUCCUCUUGGACUUGUUGGGGGGUAAGAGGAACAAGAGUAAUCUUUUGACGACCAUGCAUGAAAGAAUACUUGUUAGAUCGACCAUCGAAGUGGACAACUUUGUCGUAUUGUCAAGGUCGUCCUAAGAUCAGGUGACAUGCUUGCAUGGGUACCACGUCACAUACCACCAUAUCUUCAUACCUACCAAUGCGGAAUGGGACCUUCACUUGUCUAAAAACUCGUUCACCAUCAUUGUUAUUUAACCAUUGAAGUCGAUAUGGUUGAGGGUGCUUAACGGUUGAAAGAGAUAAUUUCUCAACCAUGAACAAGCUUGCUACGUUUGCACAACUCCCUCCAUCAAUUAUUAGACUACACAACUUGUCUUUGAUGUGACAACGAGUGUAGAACAAGUUAUCCCUUUGCUCACCCUCAUCCUUUAAAGCUCGGGCAGCAAAUACUUUCCUGGCAACCAAGACACCAACAUUCCCUUCACAUGGCAAUUCUUCCUCUGAGUGGUCGCUUUCUUCUACUAAAGGUGGCAUCUCUUCACAAUCAUCCUCAUCAUCGGACACCACUUCCCCAUUAGGCAAGAUAAGCAUGGCCCUUUGGUUGGGACAUUGAGAUGCUAUGUGUCCGAAGCCUUGGCACUUGAAGCAUUUAGCAUCCCGACUUCGCGAUUUUGGAGCUCUUUGGCUAGCUUCUUUCUCGGCCUUAGGUGCUAGUCUAGCAUCAUAGGGCCUCGAUUUUGGUGGUUGAGAAAUCCCUACGGUCUUGUCCUUACCUCUUGAAGGCGAACUUUGCCAAGUGGCAGCUUGAUAGUUGGAAUUUGAGCAAGUGUUACCCCUCCGCUUGAGGCGCCUUUCUACCUUUACCGCCUUAUCCAACAACUCGCUUAAAUCAAGGUAAUGAUGCAGCUCCACAAUCUCAGCAAUUUCGUCCCUCAAUCCACGCAAAAAUCUGGCCAUAGUGGCCUCCAAAUCCUCAUGAACAUCAGCCCUCAUCAUGGCCAUUUCCAUUUCCUUAAAAUAAUCUUCAACCGUCAAACUACCUUGAGUAAGAAUUUGCAAUUUGUUGUGCAAAUCUCUAUGGUAGUAAGCUGGAAUGAAGCGUUUUCGCAUCAAUCUCUUGAGCUCAUCCCAUGUCCUUACGGGAUGCUCAUCAUUUCUCCUCCGACUUGAAUGAAGUUGAUCCUACCAAAUUGCAGCGUAAUCGGUGAAUUCAAUAGCUGCAAGCUUAACCUUGUGACUCUCUGAAUAAGAUUGGCAUUCAAAGAUAAGUUCCAUCUUCCUCUCCCACUCUAGGUAAGCCUCUGGAUCGGACUUGCCUUGGAAAGGAGGAAUUUUGACACUACAACAAAAAAGGCUUUAGCGGCAUUUAAAGGUGUCAGUAUAUAAUAUCUAACCUGACACUUUAUCUAUCCUGACACCCAGGAUGAGUGUUGUCCCUUCCAAUGUGGGGAUAGCCUCAAAUCUUUAGCAGCAUUCAAAUGUGUCAGGCAAACCAUGCUGCUAUAUCUUUACCUCUGCCAACAAAAUCCUUUUUUUGUGAUAAUCGAAAGUGUCUGUAUAGCGUUAGGACAUCAGUAGGGAAUCAUUAGGAUAUCAAAUUUAUGAAGGCAUCUUGAGUUGUCUUAAUAUACGGCUUUAAGGACACAUAGCCAUGUGAAUCUACAAUGUGUUGGACGACAUGCCCAUUUGUUAUUAGUGUUUUUCGAAGCUUAAGCUAUGCUGACACUUUUAAUUGCCUGGAGAAUUUUCUCUGUUUUUUUUUUUAUAUGGAAGCAACCUGCAAUUAGUCCUCCCUGCUAUACAUUCCAUCAACCAGAAUCCCAAGGGACUUGUAAAUUUAUCCCAAAGAGCAGAAUGCAUAUAGCAAUGUAAAAGAAGAAGUCGAUACUGAAAUAUAAUUCAUUGAAUUAAAAGUCGAUAACAAGUACAAACAUAGCAAAUACUAAAAUCGCAAACAAGUGCUAAAAGCAAGUACUAAAAUAUCAAACCAGUACCGAAAGAUUCUCAUUUACAAUAACUUGAAAGCUCUAUCGGAAGCACAAAAUAAAAGACUCUCAUCCCUAAUAAGUUGAAAGAAGUAGAAGUAGCUUCCAAACUUUCCAUUUUGUUGAGAGUCCUCAGGCAUAACCACGAAGUCCCUAUCAUUCUUCAGCUGGUUCCACCUGUGCACAAAGACCAAGGGGAUCAUUAGAUCAUCAUAACUAGAACUAAAAUUCCAGAAAAUCCGCAAUGUAUUUAAGUGCAUAUCUCACCAAAUGACAAGGCCAAGCAAUUGGUGCACCAAGUGCAUCUUGAAUCGUUUGUUGUAAACCAUAUGGUCUAAUCAAUUGCUCACGUGGAGUCAUUGCAACUUGUAUCUGUAUUUCACACCAGUUUGGCCCAAGAGCUUGUCCCCUGACCUCAUCUAAUGGAUUCAGACUCCGUAAAUAUCCCAACUAGUAUUGGGAUAAGAUUUCUUUCACGAAUGAAAGAGCUCCCCUUGGCUUGUGAAGCCAAUAUUGAACAUCUUAGAGUUGCCCUAAGGUGGUUCGUCAACUUAUCAAUCAAGUAGUCCCCUUGAUUGUGGCGUUGUUCUACCCGUUCUAGUCUCUCUUGUGCGGUCCAAGAUAGAUUACAGACUCCGUCACCAAACGUGAUUCCUAACCUAGAUCCGGGCUUGUGCGUCACGUUCUUGAUUCGUCUCGGCGUUUCAAGAAUCAUAUCACAACUUCAGUAGUAGUUAUGACAAUAUGUCCAUUAUUAGUUGAGACUUUCUCGUUCACGUGAUUCCCUCAGCUUUAGUUGAUUCCCUCAGCUAGUGAUGGACAUAUUGUCAUAGAUAAUAAGUCAUCAUUAGUUGAUUCCCUCUGCUUUAGUGAUGGUUAUCUUGCCACAAAAUCGUUGCAUAAUUACGUAGUGGUUUUCUGGCUGGCAGAGUUUAACUUGAGAAAAGCACGAUUAAACUACCAUUAUCGUUGUCUGGAAUCCAUUUUGAUGCCAAUUCCAUCCUGAAAGUACCCAACGCUGAACUGAAGUGUGGGAAUCUGUCAUCUUAUUUGCUUUGCUAGUUUUGAGUUGGUUCGAAGGAGAUUAUGUCUUACGAGGAGGGAAGGGGAAAAAAUGGAGUUUGUUAAUUGAUUAAUGUUCCUACCAAUUGAAUCGAGUCUUGAGGACUCUUAGUAUUUUAUAGUUUUGCUUUUUCAUGUAUCAAGGUUUGAGGACUUUGUUAAGAUGUAGUAAUUAUUUUCAUUCAACUCAAAGAAUAAGUUAAACUAAAAUAUCAAAUAAAGUCAUUUUACAAGUUUCUUAAUAAUUAAAGAUAAAAUUGUUAUUUCGUAAAAUUGUUAUUUGUGAUUAUUGGAUGUAAAAAUUAUUAAGCAACAAUGCUUGAAUUCUCAAAGAAACUAUCAAUUGAAAAUUAGAGUUUUUUUUUAUUGCCCCGUUUCUGUUCUUUUUCUCUCUUUGACUAUGGUAACUAGGCCAACAUGCAAGAAAGUCUUACCUAAUUAAUGAAAAGGAAAAAUCUUGGUUAAAUUUAUUUAUCCUCAGUUGAUUUAGCACUUUUUCACAUAAAUCUUCUAUAAUUUAAAAUUAUAAACAAAUCUCUCGUAAUUUAGAUUAAAAUAUCAAAGUAACAAAAAUGAUCCUCAACAAUGGUGCCAAACGAAAUGUCAAGAGUGCUUUGAUGUAAAGACAACAAUUAUUUGUUAACGAUUGAGGUUAUAUAUAGAUUUUCAAAACAUGUGAGGGUUAUAUUAGAAAGAACUGAUCUGUAAGGUGCAAAAGUGUAAUUUAUCCUAUAUUUAUAUAUGUUAGCCACUAAAGUCAUUUUAGGUUUUUAAUGGGAAUAAUCUUAUCAUUUUAGGUAAUUCUAUCAUGAAGGGCUUCAAAGCAUGGGAGUUAAUGUACAUUUUGUCACAUGACAAUUAUACGAAAAUGCACUAAACUACUGAGAUUAAAGUAUAAUUUAUCCAAAAAUCUUUUAAAUGGAAAAGCAAGUGUAGUAAUGCCACACUGGUGCUUCACAACUAGAAAUCAGUAUAAAAAACUUCAGGGCCCUAUGUGUGGCUUUUAAAAUUAUACAAGGAUUAUUAUGAAAACUUCUUCUCGACAGCACUGAUAGCAUCUCACUGUUCUCGACCGAUCACGAGAACAGUAGUAUUGAUGCAACAAAUGAAACUUGCGAAUUCCUUCUAUCAUUCUAUCCAACACAUUUUGUGGAAUCCCGUGGUUGGGUACUUGAAAAAAUCCCCAUUCCCCCCAUGCUUGCUUUAUUUGAGCAAGUACACUUUUGCUUUUAUCUUACUGUACCUCGAGAUGACAAUUGUUUAGCCCAUUAAUGAGCUCUUCAGCUGGCUGAAUAAGGAUUUUGGGAAGACUAGCAACACCUGCAUCAACAAGACCUUUCACAUCAGCUUUUGUAUCGUCGAAAGCCUUCAGAUCUUUGAAACGAUCACCAUCUGCAGAAGCCAUUUGAGUUGCAAUUUCUUCGACACACGAUCUCUCCAUAUCCUUUACAGGUCUGGUCUAAAUGAAGCUUAACUCAUACAAACUUACUUGAAGCCUCCAUUCGAGCUUCGAUUUUUUAUACACAUGAACAUGGGCUCACAUAAUAAUGUCAUCCUAGCAUUCUUGUAUUCACUGUUAAUUGAAAUUUUGUUUUUGUACGUGUGACAUGCAUUCAAUCCCAAUAGGAUAAAAAGUUUAAACUCUGCGCGUAAGAGUAAUCAAUCCACAAAUUAGAUAUCUACCAUUGCACUAUUCUACAGUAGAUGAAUAAUGGGUCGGAUUAAUGCCAUUAUUGAAAUAGUUUUCGAAGAUCAACUUGGAACAUCUUUCUUGGUUUGGAGAAUCAAUUUGAAUUUUAAUUUUUUUUAUCAGUUUGAGGAACCAGUUAAUAUUUUCUACAACUUUAGAAGACCAAAUUGAGACUUUUUCAAUAUGAGGAACCAGAUUAAGAUGUUUUGCUACUUUAAAGAAUCACAUCGAAAUUUUUUGAAUUUCAAGGGCUAAAUUGAGAUUUUGAAUCAUCGUGGAGGACAAAUAAAGUUAGCCAUUUGAUAUGAGCGGUCCUUGACAACCGACACAUUGAAACUAACCCUUUUAAGGCUUAGAUGUUGAAAAAGGUUUUUGUGGUCGCCAUAUAAACAAUUGAAGUAACCGGAAAGAGACACUAGGCUAUUCUCAAAACAAGAACAUCCUGGAUACAAACUUGACUGUUCCUUUUUACUAGUCUAAAAAUUUUAGAAUUUUGAAGGGCUAACACAAGAAUCCAUUGAGUCAUUCUUGCAAAACUUUCAGUCCUGACUCCUGACUCAAAGAUGAGAAAUCAUUCCAAGGAAAAAAAUUGAGCCAUUUAUAUAUUUUUUUCCCCCUCUUUUGCUUCAUCCUUUUGUUUUGAAACAGUGCGUACAUCUAACUCAUCAAUCUCUUCAUAUUCAGGGAUAUCUUUUGUUAAAUAAACGAAAUUGAUGUAUUUCAGACACGUAGUUGAGGGGAAUGAUGAAACUAAUAGUAAGCGCUAUAAAUGAAAUAUGUCCAACAGAAGAGGGAGGGGAGGCACAAUAUUCCAUGAAUUUAAAGAAACACAAUUGCUUUUGUAUGUGAAUCGGUUGCAUGGUCAAAGACUACAAGUUAGCAUGCGUGCAAAUCUGUCUAAAUCAACCUCCUAGAAUUCAAUACUCAGUUUAUUAGUUGGAAUUGAUUACAAAUCCAGUUUGCCUGAAUAUUGUUCCUUAUUUGUUUCUCCUGAUCUAAUAAUUAAUUCCCUUAAUGUUAGGUGGCUUGACAAUGGCAGUGGCAAUGAUUUGUGGACACAUGUAAGAAGCUGAAAUGAUUGCACCCGUUUUGGAUUUUGACCUUUUUUUUCCUCCCUUCUUUUUCUAAAUCAUACGGACUUCUUACCGAACAAAGGUAAUUCAUUGAGUUUGCUCGCAUCGAUCAAACUUGUUGGUUGAUGUUUGUUAUAUUUCCGCCUUAUUCUCCAUCUACAUCAUUGAUUUCACUUUAUUUAGUAAACCAUAUGAUACAACUAUUCUCAAAUGAACUGUCUCUGUUAACCUCUUUGCAAUCACUCAAAUGGUGUUACUGCCUCGCCUAGGUCUGGGUUACCCAAAUUGAUUCUUGCACGUAUAUUCAACCAUCUUGGACCAUGUGGCCUGUCUCAAAGAAAAGUAGUGUGAGGGUUAACACUAAUUUAUCCUUAAAUUUACGUAAACUAUCUUCAAGUGAGCCAGAUGGAUCUCUUAAUACAACGUGUCCUUCAAGAAAGGAAAAUCGAUUACGUUUUAGAAAAUAAGAGUAAGAUAAAUAGACCGAUGUUCUAGAGAUUACAGGUGCAAAAAUAGAUCGGUCAUAAAGUAUGACUUAUUAGGCUUCUUUUUUUAAUCAAUUUGAUGGACCAAAUUGAUACAUACAUACAUAUAUAUAUAUAUAUAUAUAUUGCUAUUUUCAAUUUGAGGAACCAAAUUAAGAUGGUUUGCUACUUUGGAGAACCGCAUCCAAAUUUCCGAGUAGCUUAGUAGAAUUUUUUUUCCUUAAUAAUGAAUUUUGACAUAUUUAAUCAUGGCCAUUAAUUAAUCCUUCCCUAAUGCCACCAGAGCAGCCGGCCAUAGGUAGGCCUGUCAGUCGGCCUUAAUGAGUCGGACUUUCAUAAACUCAAAUUCAACUCAUUUAAUUUGGUAUAUUUUCGGAUUUCGGGCUAUGAGUUUCGAUUUUAUAAAUGUGAAACUCAUACUCAACUCACAUAAUAUUCAGGUUGUGAGCCUUAAUCGGGUUUAGUCCAAACUCACUUAUUACUCCUUAAUUUUCUUAAUAUAAUUACUAUAACUAUUAAGUUGUAAAACUAAUUUAACAUUUACAAGACUAUAAUAUUAAAACUAAAAAUGAACAAAUAAUAGUUCUUAAAAAGUAUAUAAAUCAAAACUUUUUCAACAGUAUUUAUAUUUAAUUCGUUCAAAAUGCAUGAAAAAUAGUAAUAAAACAUGCGAUUAUAAGCCAAUACAUCUUUAAAGUAGAAACUUUUUUUAUAAUCUUGUGAUUUGACUCCAAACAUGCUUGAAAAUUUGUAUUUGUAGAUAAAAAAGAAAUCAAUCAAUAUUAUGCCAACACAAAAAUUUAUUCAAACAAUAAGAAAAGUUAGAAAUUCAGUUAUGCAUCACUAAUAUUGGCUCUCAAGAAAGCUCAUGAAAGAGUCUUUAGAUAUAUUUUUAUAUUUUGUAAUAUAUAUAUAUAGUAUUUAAUAAUAAUAUAUUUGGAUAUAUAAUUAUACAUAAUAUCAAAAUAUAAAUAUUAUAUAUAUAAAUAAUUAAACCUAACAGAGUUCAAGCUCGCAUCAUAUUUAAUUCGGACUUGAUUUUUAGGUUCAAUCUCAGAUCGACUCACUAAAAUAUUGGGUUCAUCGGACUUUUUAUAGGGCCAAACGACCCGAACUCGUGUUAGCCCAGCCCCAUUGACACCUAGCUAUAAAAUGCCAUAUUCCUAAAGCAGUAUUCACUUGCUAAAAAAAGUCAACUCUGCUCCGUUGUACUCUUUCCACUUCCACUGUGUCUGUGUUUUUUGGUCUGAAAAUGGCAGCGGCUGCAGCAGCAGAAGUGAAAGUGCCAAGAAUCAAGCUGGGCUCGCAAGGUCUUGAAGUUUCAGCUCAAGGACUGGGCUGCAUGGGCAUGUCAGGCUCCUACGGGCCGCCGAAGCCCGAGCCUGAUAUGAUCAAACUCAUCCACCCAUGCUAUUAGCAGAGGUAUCACCCAUCUUGAUACCUCCGAUCUCUAUGGACCUCACACCAACGAAAUACUCAUUGGCAAGGUACCAUAUUUGCAAAUUUUCUGCUGUUGUGAUCUAUGCAGGAACUCUUGUACUUUUAAUUUCUAAAAGAGCAUAUUUGUAAAUAUUUUAUUUAGGUAAAUUAUACUUAAUCCCCUGCACCUCAAAAUUUGUCUCCCUAUGUGCCCCCUUAAUUUUGUUUGUCAGCACUUAAACUCCAUUUGUUUAAAUUGUAAGUAUUAUUAGUCAAAUAUGACAUUGUUCUUCCUUUUUUCUUCUUCAACUUUUCAUGUUACUGCCUUUUCAGUUUGUCCUCCUUUAUAGACAUGGGAUGAAUUACUUUGAUUUUGAUUUUGGUGCAAUUUUGUAUAAAAUGAUUUUUGCUAUGAAGUUAUUGAUUUAUUAUGAGCUAUGUGUUGUAUAUUUACAAAAUUCUGCUAGUUAAACAUUCACUUGAGCAAGCCUUCCAAACAUGAGCAAUAUAAUUCUCUAUGGGUGCAUUUGGUAAAUUUGAAGUCUAGAAAUUGAAAUCUAAUCUAAAGUCUGAAUCUAUAAAGUUAUUAAAUUGUUAAGUACUAAAUUUGAUACGUUUGAGUGUAUGUCACAUCAAGUGAAAUGAAUAACUCAUAACUUAUUUUUUGAAGCAAGUUUUGCUUAAGAAAUUUAAUGUCAUUUAAUUAAUUCAGAUAUUCAAUUUUUGGUUAUCAAACGUGUCUAAAUAUGUUAAGAUCUGAAUUUAUUAAUUUUAAGUGUUAAAUUAGGUUAUCAAACAUGACCUAUAAUUAUUAAGUAACCAAGCAGACAACAUGUUUAGUGUAUAAUAGUAAUUAGCUUUCAAUUUGUCUUGUUAUUCUUUGGUAAAGAACUCUUUGAAUUAAUAAUAAUAAUUUUCUCAUACACGGGAAUCAAAAUAAUUGAAGUGUUAUCUCUACAAUUGAGAUAUGUCACCUUCUAAAAGAAAGGAAAGGGAAGGAAACAUGGGGGGAAAAUAGGGAAAGGGCAAAGUGAUGAUAAAGAAAAUUGGAAGUAGCAAAAUGACACAAGUGAAUUAUUGCAAGGGGUUAAGUGUAAAUUAUGUUUAUUUUAUUAGUCUAUUUAACCAGAAAGAUUGGGCUCUUGUAAGGCACCAAUCAAAAGUUCCAAUUGCUGGAAAUAACAUAAAAACUUAGACUUUGUUUGGUUUGGCAUUUUUGGAGGUGGUUCAUGAAAAUUUUAUUGUAGUUUUUUUUUUCUUGUUGAAAAAAUAUACUUGUAAGAGGAAAAAAAAUGGUUGAAAAAAAAUUGAGAGUUUUUUUUAAUAAAUUGUUUUCUAAAUAGCUCAGUCACCCAAAAUUUUCAGUAUUCUGACAAUGGCAUCCAUGUGGUGUCAAUUGUCAAACUUGCAACAAAGUUGAGAAAAGAAGGUCGUAGGUCUAGCUCUUUUUUAAUACGUUGAAUAGCUCUAUCCCAUUAGAAGGAUUUAGAACUCUUCUACCAUCUCUUUAUUUUCUUUUUUUUUUUCCCUUCAAAAUUCUACAUCAUAAUGGAGUUGGUAAAAUAGUACUAUUUUCGUCUUUGAUGUUAAAAUUUUCAUCAAUUUAUGGAAAGUUUACUAUUUCUCUAACAAGAGUUAGUAAAAUUUACUUUUUAUGAGCAGUAAAGUUUUAAAGAUUAUGAAAAAAGAAUUGUAUGAAGGAACAAAGGGGAAAAGAAAGGUAAGAAAAUGGAUGGAUUGUAUUUGGAUUGAUUUUGAGAGGGGAAAGGAGAGGAAAACGGAAAGAAAAGGAAAUGGAUGGAUUGUGUUUUGCUCAGACAUCAUUUCCCUACAAAAGUAGACGGAAACAGAGGGAAAGAAAAUCUUGUUGAUGAUUUUCUAGUAAAAUGCCUCAAGCGCCCAAAUUUUACAUAAACUGGCCAUUUGUGAAACCUGCUUUAGAUAUGAAUUGUGGGAUGCAACAGCAGGCUAGGAAUGUUUGACGAAGCAACUUAUGUAAAUAUUUUAUCGUUAAGUAAAGUUCCUCUUUUGCUGUUAAAAAAAAAGAGAGAGAGAAAAACCAUUCCUUUCAUGUCUGUCAUUCUACCAAACAGCAUAUUUAGGUUUUCUUUCUUUCCCAUCCAUAUCUUAUCCAAAUAAGACAAAUGAGAACUAUUUUCCUCUACUUUCCUUUCCUUUCUUUUUCACUAGGAUGUUUUAUUUAUUUAUCUUUCCUUUCCUUUGAUCCAAAUGGUUCCUAAAAGGGCACUAAUUCAUCUACAUUGAUCAGUUCCCUAUUUUUGUAUUAAUGUGCAUGUGCACGAUUCUGUGUACGUUCAUGUUGUGCAUCAAAUCUUGUGAUUGUAAAUUUAAGUUGAAGAAAUAUAAAACAAAAAGAGAAAAUGGAUUGGGUCCUUUAAGAGUAUCAGACUUCUAAACUCCAAGGAUUACAUAAUUUUCAUAUCCUUUGCUAUAUAAAGAAGUGGGAUAGCCUAAACAAUGAAGUGUUGGAAAAACUCCAGAGGAACUGUGCCAUCCAUGAAAUCACAAAUCCACUUGCUAUACCAUGCAAUAAUGUUCAUGUCCUUGAUGAUUAAUAUAAUGAAACCAUGGUUCUAGGCCUUGAAGGAAGGAAUAAGAGUGAAAGUGGAGCUAGCAACAAAAUUUGCAGUCAGUUUUCAGGAUGGGAAGUUUGAUGUACGUGGUGAUCCAGCCUAUGUGAGGGCUUCUUGUGAAGCGAGUUUGAAGCGGCUUGAUGUGGACUGCAUUGAUCUCUAUUAUCAAGCUCGCAUCGAUACACGUGUGCCCGUUGAAGUCACGGUUUGCUCAUUUUGCCUUUCUUGUAUUUUAGCUCCACCUCAUUCUUCAUGAAACAAAAGUUUGAUCAAUUCCAAAUUUAGAAUAAUUCAGUUUCAUGCUAUACAUUGUACAGCUUUCUUUAGAGCCAAGAGACCUGAGCAUUCUCUUUCUUUGAGAUAGGCUAUCUGCUUGAGUAAUGAUAUGCUAUUUACUUACAUUGUCAUUUGUUUUCAGUUGGUGCCAAAAGCACUGCGGAUAGACAUUUAUUAUUGAUAUCUAAAAAACAUGGUACUCAUUUUGUUCAGAGCACAGCUUUUUGUCUAAUUGUGAAAGCCAGCUGCAACUGCCCCAUUGACCUCUCCAAGCAAUUCAAAGAUUUCAGCAGCUUGCUUACAUUAAGCUUUUAUGAAACGAUUUCUCUGUCUUCUUUUUCUCAUGUAAUCAGCAAAGAAUUGUCUUGUUUUCCUGAGUAUUAGGUAGAAACUUUCUUGCAGUUUAAUCACUCAAAAUACAGGCAAGUAUAUGUAUAGCCAUUAUUAUAUAUAGAAGUCAACAAUGCCAUGUAAUCAUAUUGGAGGAGCAUUAUGUUGGCAUGGUCCAGUAGAACUAGGUCCUCCGGUGGGCUGUACCUAGAGAAGUAUCACUGAAUGCUUAUUGCCAUUUUCAUCAAUUAGUCAGUUUGACGUAUACUUUGUCCAUGUCUUCGUUGAACUAGUGCAACUUUUACUUUUUGAACGUAAUAUUUCGAUUAUCUGCCUAAGUGUUAAAUGUAAUAAAUCAGCUUAGCAUCUUCUUGUCCAUUGAAAUUCUCUAGAUAGGAGAGCUCAAGAAACUGGUUGAAGAGGGUAAAAUAAAGUAUAUAGGUCUGUCUGAGGCCUCAGCUUCAACAAUUCGAAGAGCACAUGCUGUUCAUCCAAUAACAGCUGUACAGUUGGAGUGGUCAUUGUGGAGCAGAGAUGUCGAGGAAGAGAUUAUUCCCACUUGCAGGUAGUGCAUAUAUUCUGCUGCAUUUUCUAUAUGGUCUAGAACAAAUAUGAAGUUCUCAAUUCAGUUUUUGGUAUAAUCUUUCAGAGAGCUUGGCAUAGGGAUUGUUGCAUACAGUCCACUUGGACGAGGUUUCUUCUCAUCAGGUCCAAAGCUGAGCGAGAAUUUGGCUGAAGGUGACUUCCGAAAGGUUUGUGCAUAUCCAAAACGAUGGAGUUUUUGAGUAUAUAUUGUUUAUAGUUCGAAUAAGUUUCUCACUCAUCUACUUUUACCACAUUCAGUGGCAAUCUUGCUUGAUAUCCCUACUCUUGUUUAUCUGUUAUAUGUUGCUGCACUUUUUGAUGUCCAAUAAUUUGAUUAAGGCUAGUAAUAUGAUCACAUUUAAUCAAAUUUCUAUUAAGCAUAGUAAUUCAACGGGCUUUUUUUUGUCUCUCGAACAAGUCUUGAAGUCUUUAGUUGAUUCAAUGAAUGCAGAUUUUGGUGUCCUCUGUAUUUAGUUCAAAUUAAAAGAUAUAGCACUAGCUUUGUCAAAUUUUAGAUCUUAUAUUAAUUGAAGGUUGUUAUUGCCUGCUGGAAAUUUAUAUAGUGGACAACAAUCACAAGCAAUGGAUAGUAUCGAAUUUUAAAGUGCAAAGAUGUCAAAACAGGAAAAAACUAUGUCGCUUUUUAAGUGAACGUUUCUUUACAGUUUUGAGGGGAAAUGGACCUUAGACUUCAACUUCAUCAUUUAGUCUCAGGCACAGAACUUAUGUUGUCCUGUGAAACUAUGAUUUUUCCUUUACCAUCAAUCCUAAAACUGAGGUUCAUUGGUCAGAAGUAUACUUCAUAGUAGUACCUCCUCCAUCGUUCAUGGUAGUACCUCCAUCGUUCAAACAAACAAAAAUUAGUUGAUUUGUAUUUCUAGUUUCCUCUCUGAUGGGAAAUGUGUCUCAGAACUUAACUCCAACAGUUGAUGUUUCCUACUUGGAGUGUUCAGUCCACCUUGAUGCAUUGUUCUUUCCCCUGAACUUGUGCCCUUCAAACAGUAUUUCUGAUCAUCUUGAAGUAAUUAGUACCGUCUGUUCAUUGCUCCCUCCCGAUUUCUUGCAUUAUAGUUUCCCCUUUAAUGGGAAAUGUAUCUCAGGAUCUACCUUCUACAAUUGAUGUUCCACCUUACUGGAUUGUUCCUUCCCCUGAACUUUGUACACCUCAAAUAAUACUAUAGAUCAUCUUGAAGUUAUUCAUAUUGUCUUCAUUUGUAGACGACACAUGCUUCACUCCCUUUUGCAUUUCUGGCGUUACAGUAGCUUAAAAUUUUGAAAUUCAUACAAUGCAGCAUAUGCCAAGGUUUCAAGCAGAGAAUUUGGAGCACAACAAGAACUUGUACGAGCAGGUCAAUGCCAUUGCUUCAAGGAAGGGUUGUACUCCAUCACAGCUAGCAUUGGCCUGGGUCCAUCACCAAGGCAAUGAUGUUUGCCCCAUACCUGGCACUACCAAGAUUGAGAACCUCAAUCAUAAUAUAGGAGCUUUGUCUGUAAAACUGUCAGCAGAGGAAAUGGCGGAACUUGAAUCUAUUGCUUCUGCAGGAGUCAAGGGUGAUAGGUAUGGGCCUGGCAUUAGUACUUGGCAAACUUCUGAAACUCCACCUUUGUCAACCUGGAAGAGGACAUGAAGACAUAGCUUUGUUGUGGCAAUAAUUCCUUCUAGCUAUGUGCCUGAUGGUGGAUUUCACUAUAUUAAGAGUUGAAUGAUAUGUAUUUGUUCCAAUAAAUUUCAUCAUACUAUUGUCUCUAGGGUUAAGGCAAGUAAAGUUAUAAGAAGAAUGGAGUUUCUUCAGAGAAGUUGUAAUGAAUGAAGAUAUGGUCAUGUAAAAAAAGCAGAACAUAAUUUUCCUUGCAAUUGAAUGCGUUAAAUAUUAUCUAUUCUACUUCUGAAUGUUACUAGUAAUAAUUCACGUGAUUUGCACGCAAUUGUAACAUCUUGAAAUGUAUUAUUCUGUAGGUAUUAAAAGUUUUUAUGAAAUUUUGAUCAUCAACAUCAUAAUAUAGUAUUUUUAUGUUAUUUUUUUUAGCUAGUUAUUUUUAAAAAUUUUGUUAAAUGAAAAGAGACGGAAAACAUUCUAACAUAGUUUUCAUGUCCCUUAGGAUUCAAUUUGGAAUCAUGGUGCAAACACUUUUUGCGUUUUAGCUUGAAUUCUAACAUAUCAAAUAUUGAUAAUAUCAUGUUUUAUCAAAAUGAUUGUAUAUUCAUGAUUCUAUUGCAAAUUAUGAGUUAUAUUCUUAUGAGAUGAAAUGAUGUUAUGGACAAGUUACAUGAUUUACCAAGUUUCUCUGUGAACAUGUUCAUAUUAUGUUAUAUGUUUUAUGCCACUCAAUUUUCAAUGACAUCUGUAUAUGUAUUUAUGAAGCAAUGUCAAUAUUUUCAAACUGAGAUAUCCAUGCAAUUUUGUGUGAUCAAGUAUAUAACUACAUGAACCUGCAGGAGAGGUGUGAUGCUUACUCAGCAUACAUUGCUCAAUUCAUGUGUCCUUCAAGAAAGGAAAAUCGUUUACUUCUUAGGAAUUAAGAGUAAGAUAAAUAGACUGAUGAUCAAGUUCUAGAGAUUAUAGAAUAAGAUGUUUAACAGGUGCACAAAUAGAUUAGUAAUAAAGCUCCACGGAUUAUAGAAUAAGGUGUUUAACCGGUAUAUUAAAUUAAUAGUACGUGGUUUGUUUGAAUAGUGUUUUAUUUGACAAAUUUUAUUUAUUUGUAUUGUCAGCACAUUUUUCAACCACCUUCUCAUUUCAUAUAUAUCAUAUCAUCUAAAAAGUGUUAUAAUAUAUAUAUUUUUUACAAAAUUAUCUCAAAUAAUCUACUACUCCCUUCGUCCCAUUUUGAUAGUCAUGUAUUCCUUUUUCAUCUGUCCCAAAUUGUAGUCCACUUUCCAAUUGAACAAUAUAGUUGUAUUUUAAUUUUUCUAAAAUACCCUUAUUUAAUGUAAGUAGUUAUUACUAUAAACCUACCCCAUUUAAUGAGAAUUGAUUCUUUUUUUUACCAUCAAUUCAAGUUCCCAUAAAAUUGUACCAUAUUUAAUGUGAGGGUAUUUUAGGAAAAUAACAAUCUAAAUUUACUUUUUUAAUAAAGUUAAUUAUUUUUUCUUAAACUGUGCGAGAAAAGAAACAAGAUUAUCAAAAUGGGACGGACGGAGUAUUUAAACACGCUAGCGGUUUCGCAUGACGUUACAGACCCGGCCCAUGGUGGACUUUGGAUCUAUGGUUUCCGGAUUUGAGGCGUGACAGGAAUUGUCCAUAUGCUUAUAGAUCCAAAAGAUUAGCUCAAUCGAUGCACUGCCAGAAUCCUCCGUUGCAGGCUUCAGUAAUGUAUACGUGCACAUGGGCCUGCAUUAAUGGUCAACUGAAUUCCAACUCAAUACAUAAAAUGUCCAUUUAGUGGGCAAAUUUUUGUCUUCCUUUCAGGUAACAAGUGCACAAUUCAAUGCAAAUGUCAACUGAAUUUGAUACAAACUUACCGUUUAAUCACUAAUGUAAAUGCCAACGGAAUCUACAAGCCUACAAUUUAAAAUUAGUGUACCUCAAAAUCACAGCCAGCGAAUAUCACAUCGAUAUCAUUGAAACAACUACUGUGGAAAAAUCGCCCGUCCCGAGGAAUUUGAUAAUAAUUAUUGUACUUCCCUCGCCUAAUUUGGUAAAUUUGAUUUUUUUUUUCAUGCAGUUUAAAAAAAUUAAUUAAUCUUAUUUUUUUUUUCCCAAACGAAUUAAUCUUAUUGAAAGAGUAAAAAUCUAACUUAAUACUCCCUCCGUCCCACUUUGAUAGUCUUGUUUUCCUCUUUCGUCUGUCCCAAAUUGUAGUCCACUUUUUUCAUUAAGAAAUGUAGUAAUCUUUCAAAUUGUCUAAAAUACCCUUAUUAAAUAUCUUGUUAUUAAUACAUUGUUAUUAAAUACUAACCCACUAUAUUGAAUACAUUGAGCUUUUCCAAUACAUAGAUAACUGAUAUUUAUUGGCACCAUUAGCUGUAACUGAUAUUAAUUGGCACUUUGUGAUUAGCAUAAGGGUAUUUUAGGAAAUUAUUAAUCUAAAUUUAUGUUUUCAACCAAAUUAAUUACACUUUCUUAAUCUAUGUGAAAAAAAAAUUAAGACUAACAAAACGAGACGGAGGGAGUAUGUUUCUAAAAUAUCUUUACAUUAAAUGGAGCAUGACUAUUAGUUUUCUUUUUUUUUAAUCAGUUUGACAGACCAAAUUGACACCUAUAUAUAUAUAUAUAUAUAUAUAUAUAUAUAUAUAUCUAUUUUGUCAGACCAAUAUGAGAGUUUUUCAAUUUGAGGAACCAAUAAAAUUGUUAAAAAACUUGUAACAAAUAAACUUGACAAAAAACUUGCGUACCAAACAAGGCCUAAGAUGAUUUGCUACUUAGGAGAACCGCAUCGAAAUUUCCGAGUUGCUUAGUAGAAGUUUUUUUUUCUUAACAAUGAAUUUUGACAGAUUUAAUCAUGGCCAUUAAUUAAUCCUUCCCUAAUGCCACCAGAGCAGCCGGCCAUACUUCAUCCAUAAAAAGCCAUAUUCCUAAAGCACUAUUCACUUGCUAAAAAAAGUCAAUUCUGCUCCGUUCUACUGUUUAAACUUCCACUGUGUCUGUGUCUUUUGUCUGAAAAUGGCAGCGGCGGCAGCAGCAGCAGCAGCAGCAGCAGCAGUAGCAGAAGUGAAGGUGCCAAGAAUCAAGCUGGGCUCACAAGGUUGUGAAGUUUCAGCUCAAGGGCUGGGCUGCAUGGGCAUGUCAGCCUUCUACGGCCCGCCCAAGCCCGAGCCCGACAUGAUCAAGCUCAUCCACCAUGCUAUUAGCAGAGGUAUCACUCAUCUGGACACCUCCGAUGUCUAUGGACCUCACACUAACGAAAUACUCAUUGGAAAGGUACUAUAUUUGCCUUUUUAAAUUACUCUUGCUUAAGAGAAGUAGAUUUGUGACUUUAUAUUUAAGGUGAAUCACACUUAAGCCCAUGAAUAUAUAUGCUUCUCACUUAGCCCCCUCAAGUUUAUUUGUAUGUCCUUGAUAAUUAAUGGCAUGAAAGCGUGGUUUUAGGCUUUGAAGGAAGGAAUGAGAGAUAAUUAAUGGCAUGAAAGCGUGGUUUUAGGCUUUGAAGGAAGGAAUGAGAGCGAAAGUGGAGCUAGCAACGAAAUUUGCAGUCUCUUACGAGGAUGGAAAGUUUGACAUAUGCGGUGAUCCAGCCUAUGUGAGAGCUGCGUGUGAAGCCAGCUUGAAGCGGCUUGAUGUGGACUGCAUUGAUCUCUAUUAUCAACAUCGCAUCGAUACACGCGUGCCCAUUGAAGUCACGGUUUGCUCCAUUUUGACAAUUUGAUGUUCUUUGACAACUUUGACAAAGUACACAUCCAACUGAAAUCAGCACAUAUAUUGAUAAUAGAGAAAGUUCAUUUUGAUGUUCUUAACAAUUUCUUCACCAUUAUGGGCUACUGUACAUACUAAUCUUCAUCUCAGUAAAGCUGAUUUAGCACCAGGCAUCUCAAAAAGUAAAAAGAACCAACAUCAUCUCAAAAAGUAAAAAGAACCAACAUAUUUGUCUUGUAUAUGUGCACAGGUAUUUUAGCUUGCCAGCCCUGCUGAGGGAGGUACAGGUGGAUAUGAUGCCAUACAUUGUACGUAUUUCCUUUAGAACUAGAAGACCUGUGCAUUCCUUUCAUUUGAAAUAGACCACUCAGUUGAGUAUUAUUAUUUAGAAACAGUCAACAAUGUCAUUAUUGAUGUUACAGGAGCAUUGUGUUCGCAUGGUCCAAUAGAGCCAAGUCAACUGGUGGGAUUAAUAACAAUAUCAUCUUGAGAAGUUCAAUUGGCUGCGUAUUGCACUUUUUCCAAGUGAUGAUUUCAGUUGGAUGUAUACUUUGUCAAAGUUGUUCGCUGCACUGAAUUAGUGUUACUUUUACUCUAUGCUUGUAUAAUUUCAACUGUCUGCCUUAGUAUGGAAAAAGAUAAACCAGCUUAGCAUUUUCUUGUUUGUCGUUGUAUUCUCAAUUUUUCUAGAUUGGAGAACUUAAAAAACUGGUUGAAGAGGGUAAAAUAAAGUAUAUAGGUCUAUCCGAGGCCUCUGCUUCAACAAUUAGAAGAGCACAUGCUGUUCAUCCAAUAACAGCUAUACAGUUGGAGUGGUCAUUGUGGAGCAGAGAUGUCGAGGAAGAGAUCAUUCCCACUUGCAGGUAGUGCAUUUAUUCUUCUUCAUGUUCUACAUGGUCUAGAAGGAAACAUGUUCUGAAUUCACUUUUGGUGUAAUCUUUUAGAGAGCUUGGCAUAGGGAUUGUUGCAUACAGUCCACUCGGACAAGGAUUCUUCUCUUCAGGUCCAAAGCUGAUUGAGAAUUUGACUGAAGGUGACUUCCGAAAGGUUUGUGCAUAUCCAAAAAGAUAAGUAGUUUUUGGUGAAGUAUGUGUACAGUUGGUAUAUGCGAGUUUCUUAGUCGUCAACUUUUACCACAUUCAGUCGCAGUCAUUGCUCAAUAUCCCUAUUCUUUUCUAUCUGUUAUAUGUUGCUGCAUUUUUUGAUACCCAAGCCUGAGCUUUUUCUAAAAUGAUCAAAUUUAAUGAAUUUUUUGGUCAACUGUGACGCAACAAGGUUUUCUAUCUGACAAGUCUUGUAGUCUUGAAUUCCAAUAAAUGCAAUUUUUGGUAUUGGUAUAAACUGAACCUUUUGUACAUACAGGAUAGGAAUUGUGUGCUUUCUAUAUAUUUUGAAUUUUUUUAAAAGAAAAAGAUGGCACUAGCAUUGUCAAACUUUUAGAUAUUUUCUUGAAAGAAGGUUUUCCUUGCAUGCUGGAAAAUUAUAAAAGGACAGAGCAAUGGGUAAUGUUCUAUUUUGCAGUGCGCGAACGUCCUGGACAUGAAAACAGGAAGAAACUAUGGCAUCUUUAAGGAAACGGUUAUUUACAAUAUUGAGGGAAAGUGGACCUUAGGUUUCAAGCUCGUUGUUUGGUCUCGAGCUGUUGUUUUUCCUUUUUGGUUAAUCCUUUAACCUAGUUUCAUUGGUCAUUAGUUCACUUCCUAGUAGUAGUGCCAUCUCCAUCGUUCAAAAAUAUAGUUGAUUUCUAGUUUGACCUUCCUCUUUUAUGGAAUUGCAUCUCAGAAUCUACCUUCUACAAUUGAUGUCUCCCACCUGGAGUACUCUGUCCGGCCACCUUACUGCAUUGUUCAUUCCGCCGCACUUGUACACUUCAAACAAUAUUUCCAAUUAUUCUGAUAUAAUUUUAAGGAUUAAUCUUUGUUAUACUGACAGUGUAUGCAUCAUUAGCGUUGGAUGAACGACAAUCAUGCAAAAUUUAAAAUUGAAAUUCAACUUAAGCAUAUAUGUCAUGAAUUCAAUGAUGAUAGUGCAUACACUAUUAGUGUAUAUAAAAUUUACUCUAAUUUACUCUAAUUUUAAUUGUCUGUGUGGGCUGCUCCUUUUGUGCGCUUUAACCCCUCCAGAUUCUGGUUUUACAGUUGCUUAACAUUGAAAUUCACACAAUGCAGUAUUUGCCAAGGUUUCAAGCAGAGAAUUUGGAGCACAACAAGAAGUUGUAUGAGCGUGUCAAUGCCAUUGCUUCAAGGAAGGGUUGUACUCCAUCACAGCUAGCAUUGGCCUGGGUCCAUCACCAAGGCAAUGAUGUUUGCCCCAUACCCGGCACUACCAAGAUUCAGAACCUCAAUCAGAAUAUAGGAGCUUUAUCCGUAAAACUGUCCGCAGAGGAUAAGGCGGAACUCGAAUCUAUUGCUUCGGCUGGAGUCAAGGGUGAGAGAUGCGGGCCUGAAAUUAGCACUUGGCAAAAUUCUGAAACUCCACCUUUGUCAACCUGGAAGUGCACAUGAAGAUGUAACCAUAUUAUGGUAAAAAUAAUUCCUUUCAGCUAUCUGCCUGAUGGUGGAUUUUACUGUGUUGAAGGUUAAGUUGCAUUUAUUCCAACAGCCUGUAAUCUUCGUCGUACUAUUUUCUCGACUGUUGACGUUGUAAUGAGAAAAGAUUUGUAUCAUAUAAGAUGACUGCUUGGUCUUUUACGUAGAAGAAAAGGCAAAACACAAUUUUCCAUGUAGUUGAAUCCAUUUUUUUGAGCAACUUUUAACUUCCUAUUGAUCAAGCAUGAAAGAGUAUAGUAUCUCACAAAACUAAAUUAAAGAAAGUCAUCAGCUAAACCAUAUCCAUCAGCUAAAACAACUAUGUGGCAGCCAAAGUUCCAUAGCUAGCUCCCAAUUAUCGUCCUUGGACAGUGGAACCUUACUCCAACCUGCUACUACAUCUCAGACAGCAGAGAGAGUUGAAUGCACAAUAGCUACAGUAGUCAUAGAGGUUUGGCAAAAUGAAGCUUGGUUCCCAGCGCUCCAUAGGUGAUAAAUUUUGCCGCACUAAAAUCCAGCCUCUUCACAGCAGAUUUUACUGAAAAUUUUGGACAAAUUACACUUUAUCCCCCUGUCGUUUUGUAUUUUUCUACAUAACCCCCCUAUGAUUUUAAAAGUUAUACAUAAUCCUCUCACAAUUUGGAUUAAAGUGUCAAAGUAGCGAAAAUAAUCAUUCAUAACAGAGUCACCUAAAAUGUCAAAACUACCUUUAUGCAAAGUUAAAAAUUAUUUAUUAACCAAGGGAGAUUAUGUGUACAUUUUGAAAAUCAUAAGGGGAUUAUAUGGUAAAACAUUAAACUAUAAUAGGGUUAUAUGCUAAAACAUAAAUCAUACGGAGUUAAUGUAUCAUGUAUUUAUAAGAGUAAUUUCGACAUUUUUUAAAGAUUAUGUUACGAAUGAUCAUUUCCGUCACUUUGACACUUUAAUUCAAACCGUGAGAGGGUUAUGUAUAGCUUUUGAAAUCAUAUGGAGAGUUAUGUAAAAAAAUACUAAAUUCCAGAAGGGUAAAGUGUAAUUUGCCCGAAAAUUUUCUAGUAGCAUUUCCAGUCCAAUAUGCCUCAUCUUUACGCUGGACUUGAAGCCAUAAGUGCAGGCAUUGUAUCUCUUAAUCUCUUGACUUCUUUUGUCAGCCUCCUACCCUAAGGCCAUUGACCGGUUGUUAGCCUGUACAAUAAUAAAAACCUGCUCAACUAAAGUUAAGUUUUGUAAAUAGUGGUAAGUAAGGUCGAAUCCACAGGGAUUGGGAGUAAUUGUUUCUUUCCAAAUUCACAGUAAUAAGGGGGUGUUUUUGUGCAGAUGGUGACAAUCAAAGAAAUUCAAAUAAAAUCUAAGAAACUACUAAAAAUUAAAUAACAAAUUACUAAAAUCAAAUUAAUGAUAAUUAAGGAUCUAGCCAAGGAAUAACUUCAGCCAUGGUUCACCUAAUUGAUCAUCGAUGCAAAGCCAAUUCCAAUUAUUUACCAAUAAAUAGGUUAUAACUGCCAAACAAGCGAUGACAGUCAACCCGUCCUUACUGUGUCGGUGAUUAAUGUACGCCCGUUAAUCACUGCCCUAAUUGAGAAAUAAUUCUAGGUACGCUCAUAAGAUUUAAUUCCCCAAUUGCCUUACGUAUUAGGGGAACUCUAUUCUAACCAAAUAACGCACUACCAGGCUUAUUUCAUAUUAGCUCGCAUAUCCCCCUGACACAAAUCCAAUCAUGCCAGCAGUCACUAUUUCAAGGCAAUUAAACAAUUACGAAUUUAAUACCCUAAUUGACAAUAGAUUACCAAAUUAACUAAUUAUCCGGAUCCAAAAUAAUCAAUUAAUUAAAUAAUCAUGAACACUGCAAUCAAGGGAUAUGCGAAUACCAAUAAAUAAAAGAAAAAAAUAAAAUUAAAUCGAUCUCACAAGUUUUAGGCGAAUCAAAGCCUCCGUUGUCCCUUGACUAGACAAAGAGAUUUAACUCAUCCCUUAUCUACUCCUACGGAAGAGCAACUAAAGACGAAAAGAAAAGUCAACAUCAUCCAAUUUGAUUGUGACCUCCGUAGGCAAGAACCACAAAAAGAUGAUAAAUGGAGAAAAUCAAAGUCUAGCCUACCAAAAGUCUCCACUAAAAGACGAAGAAGAUCGAAAGGUCAAAAGAAAAGCUAAUCUAUUCUAGUGCUUCCUCUCCUGUGCGGCGGCUCCCCAGGAAAAAUAGAAGCCUCUGCCGUGCUCUCUUCUUUUGAAAUUAUCAAAAUGGGCAAAAGUCUUCCCUUGCCAACGAUGCCUCUGGGAUAAACUCUGUUAUUUGGGCUCUUUUCUUGUUAAAUUGGCACUUGUUAUCAUAUUUUUGUUCUACUUCCUGAAAUAAGUGCAAAAUACUAAAAGUGGGUAGAAUCUAACAAUUACUCCACAUCGGGUCAGGUAAUAAGGGAAAUUAAUUAUAAAAUAAAUGAUAAAAUUGCAACCUAUCAGCCAUUCCCAACAAUCCCCUUAUAUGCAUUGUGCUACAAAGUCAAUUUUGAUAAGGCCAAAAUUGUGUAAGAGAUUUAUGUUACAAGUGCUUUUCUGCAAUUUGGUACUUUACCAUAUAAUUUCUAUCAGCUAUGAACUAUAUACUAAGCUGAUUCUAUGAUUCCUCAUUUGGACUCUAUAAAACAGGCCAAUAGCCUCUAAGAGUUGGUAAAAGGUCUUCAACAGAUGAAGUUGAGUAGCUAAAAAAUUUCUAAUAAUUGCAUGCCAAAACUAAUUAAUACUUCAUCUGCUUCUCCACGAUAAUAACAAGUCACCACUCCUCAAUUAUUUCGAUUUUUUCUUCGGCACUUGUAAAAAGAUUAAAAGAAAAUGAUAAAGAUGUUAAUAAUUGGUAUAACUAAUUGUAUCAGAAAAAAAUAUAUUUUUGCGAAGCAUCAUAAAUAGUAAAUGGCUGGUGCAUAUCCGAUAUGAAUUCAAGUAAAAUAUAUAUUUUGGAUCCUGGUUGAGUUGUGUGUAAUUCAGUGCUACAUCGCACAUGUGGAUGUAUCCACAGGCUGAUAUGGAAAAUAUUCGUGAUCUCUAAAAGUCAACGCUGCUUAUAUACAAUAUCCUGGACAAAUUUCUUCAGAAUAUGGGAAAUUUGUGAACGUGACAAGAUUAGAUGCCCAAUUAAUGAAGAGGGCAUGAUUUUAAAUUGUUUAUUAUAAAUGGCUUUUUCACUGCUUUUGGCACGCAAAAAAAACUGAGAUUAAAUAAAAAAUCAAUUCAAGAAUACUGCUAGUAAUCAAGAAAACUAUUACUAAUCAAGAGUACAACUAGUAAUUAUUUCAAUUCUAAAUCCGUAAGGAGAGUUGGAGGUGUCGAUCACAAGUCAAUUAUAUUGACCUGUCCAAAUCCGUCAACUAAUAAACCACCCAAACCCAUCCAUUAAAUUUUAAAUGGGUCUAAAUGAAUACCAAAUUAUAUCCAUUUAAUUGCUAGAUAGUGGGUUAACUCAACUCACCCAUUUAUACCCAUUCAGAAAUAAUUAUACAUUUAAAUUCAAUUUUUAGUAAGUGUUAAGGAGAUAAAUUUGAAAUUCCUACCAAUCUAAUAACAAUAAAAUACCAUUAUUUAAUGUUAAAUAACAUGUGAAAUUUUUUUUAAAAAAUAAGUAAAAUUUCAAAUGAAUCAUAAAUGGGUAAUUGAGCUUACCCAACUCAUUUAUUUCAAUAGAUAUAAUGGGUUGACCCAAUUAUGACUCGUCCAAAUAACCUAUUUUGACACCUCUAAGGAGAGUAUCCACCAUAGAGUAAUAUAUUCUUCGCAACGCUAGCUUCAACAUGCUAUCAAAACCCUUGGCUUUUAGAAAAUUGCUUAAGAUAUUCGGAAUAGAAUUAUACAAUAUUCUAUAAACACACACUUUCGGUUAACAUGUUAGGUUGGAAUAAACUUGUGUAAAUACUUGAAGCCUGAAAAUUAAGUUAUCAAAUAAUCUUGUUCAAGUAAAGCUUGAUUUCUUUUGACCUCAAAAGGAUGGAUAACUCCAACGCCAAAGAUAUUGCAAAUCAUUCCACCAUAGUGAUCGUUUCAAAGAGCUCAAGGCUUUUGAUGAUGGCAAAGCUGGUGUGAAAGGCCUUGUUGAUGCAGGGAUUACUAAUCUUCCCAGAAUCUUCGUUCGGCCUCCUGAAGAGCUCAUCGAGGAGAAGAAUAUUGGCCAUCUCCAGGUACAAGUUCCAGUCAUAGAUCUCAGUGGCAUAUAAGAUGGAGAUAAAAGCAAUAGUAUAAUUGAUGAAAUAAGACAAGCAUCGGAGGAAUGGGGAUUUUUCCAAGUAAUCAAUCAUGGGAUUCCACAAAGCCUGUUGGAUGAAAUGAUUGAUGGAGUGCACAGGUUUCACGAGCAAGAUGCUGAGGUGAAAAAGCAAUACUAUUCUCGUGAUCUGCUGAGAAUGGUGAGAUAUUUUAGCAAAUCUCCACCUUGACUUGAAUCUUCUCAGAAACAGAUAUAACAGACGUACUGAUGAAGUGUCAGACGUACUCAAAGUCUUCUUUUACCAUCAGAAUUGUCUCUAAGUACCAUCAGAAUGCCCAUAAGGGCUAUCAGAAACUUAGGACAUUUAGCAAAUCCAAACAAUGUUUGAACUUGCUAUGAGGAACCGACUUGGUGAACAUAUCAGCAGGAUUGUCAGCAGUGCCAAUUUUCUUCACCUUGAUCCUUGUCUCAGAUCUCAAGAAGUGAUAUCGGACAUAAAUAUGUUUAGUGCUCUCAUGAUGAACUUGAUUCUUGACUAGACAUAUUGCACUGAGACUAUCACAAUAUAUAUUAGCCUGAUCCUGAUGUAGGCCAAGAUCUCCAACUAGCCCAUUUAACCAAAUUUUCUCUUUAACAGCCUCCGUCAGUACCAUAUACUCUACCUCAGUAGUGGACAGAGUCACUGUAAGUUGUAGAGUUACUUUCCAACUAACUACAGAUUGCCCAAGAGUAAAAACAUAACCAGUCAUCGACCUCCUACUAUCAACAUCUCCAGCAUAAUCAGAAUCUGAAUAGCCUGUAACCAAACACUCUGUAUCACCUCUAUAGAUGAGACCAACAUCAGAUGUACUCCUCAAGUACCGAAAAAUUCGCUUUAUGGCCAGCCAGUGCUCCUUCCCAGGAUUAGCCAUAAAUCUGCUAACAACACUGACUACAUGUGCCAGAUCAGAUCUAGUACAGACCAUGACAUACAUCAAACUACCCACUGCACUAGAAUAGGGAACUUUAGCCAUAUACUCUAUCUUGGCUUCUGACUGUGGUGUGAGUAUAACUGAUAGUUGAGCAUUCGGUGCACUCGAAGUAUUCAAGGGUUUUUCUGUAGACAUGCCAAAUCUGGAUAGUACCUUCUCAAUAUAACUCUUCUGUGAUAAGAAAAGUUUCUUCUGACUUCUAUCCCUGAAAAUCUCCAUUCCCAGAAUUUUUUGUGCUGCACUUAAGCCUUUCAUCUCAAACUCUGCACUGAGAAGACUUUUCAACUUUUGUAUAUCAGCUUUGUUCCUUGCAGCUAUGAGCAUAUCAUCUAUAUACAAAAUCAAGUAGAUCAUCGAACCAUUUUUAAGUUUGUUGUGAUAUACACAACAAUCAUACUGACUUCUACUGUAGCCGAGCUCAAUCAUGUAGCCGUCAAAUCUUUUGUACCACUGCCUUGGGGACUGCUUUAAUCCAUACAAGGAUUUCUUCAACUUGCAUACAUAAUCUUCUUUUCCCGGAAUAUGAAAUCCAUAUGGUUGAGUCAUAUAAAUCUCGUAAUCUAACUCUCCAUGUAGGAAAACUGUCUUCACGUCUAGCUGCUCAAGUUCUAAGUCCUGAUGUGCAACCAUUGCUAGUAGCACCCUGAUAGAAGUGUGUCUGACCACUGGUGAGAAAAUCUCAUUGUAGUCUACUCCUUCUCUUUAAGUGAACUCUCUUGCAACAACACGUGCUUAAUACUUGAUGCCCUCAGCUGGAGAAAUUCCUUCAUUCCUUUUAAAGACCCAUUUGCAAGUCACAACCUUUCUCUGCUGGCUGUUUGACUAAUUCCCAAGUGUCGUUCUUGUGUAACGACUUCAUUUCAUCACCCAUUGCAGCAAGCCAUUGAACUGACUCACUGCCUGAAAUAGUUUCUUUAUAGGUAGAGGGUUCAGGAGAAUCCACCUCCUCAACAACCUGAAAUGCAUAACCUACAAAAUCCCGAUACCUGCUGGGAGCUCGUACUCCCAUUCUCCUCGCACGAUCAUAAGCAAUACCGUGCUGCUGAGUUUCUGACACAGUAUGGGAUAUAGGUGCCAAUCUUUCUGCUGAUGUUAGUUCUGGAAACUCUACUUCUGCAGGAGGUUCAGUUUCAAAGGAUAGCUGUUGAUGAUCACCAAAUUGCUACUGUGAUUCAAAAUCAUUUUGAAUGAUUUGUAGCUCCACCUGUUUAUCAACACCUGCACUUUCUUCAACAACAGUCUUCACAGGGAGUUAAGUAUAUAGUUUUCAUAAAAAAUUACACUUCUGCUAAGUAUAACUUUCUAUUUUGAGGGUGACCAGAUUCUAUACCCUUUAACUCCGUCUCCAUAUCCCAGAGACACUCCUUUUUUAGCCCUUGGUUCUAGUUUGCCCUCACUGACAUGAUAAUAUGCAGUACAACCAAAAGCCUUCAAAUUUGAGUAAGUAGGGGACAUACCAGACCACACUUUAUAAGGUAUCUUGCAGUCUAUACCUGUAUGAGGUGCACGAAUGAUCAAGAAGCAGGUUGUGCUCACUGCUUCCGCCCAGAACCUCCUUGGCAACUCAGCAUUGAAGAGCAUACACCGUGCUCUCUCUAAAAGUGCCUGAUUCAUGCAUUCUGCUACACCGUUUUGUUGUGAUGUGUGUCGAACUGUGUGAUGCCGAGCAAUUCCUUCAUCUUUGCAGAACUCAUCAAACUCCUUUGAACAGAAUUCCAGACCAUUAUUAGUUCUCAGCCUUUUGAUCUUCUUUCCAGUUUGAUUCUCCACUAAGACCUUUCACUGUUUGAAGUUCUUGAAAGCUUCACCUUUUUGCUUCAUAACGAUUACCCAAGUCAUUCUUGAAUAAUCAUCAAUCAUGGAUAAAAAAUACCGACAGCCUCCCAAAGACUCAACUCGUGAUGGGCCCCAACAGUCAGAAUGGAUGUAAUCAAGUAUGCCUUUUGUCCUGUGAAUUGCCUUUCCAAACUUUCUGCAAUGUAGUUUACCGAAAGUACAAUGUUCACAGAAUCCAAAACCGAUGACCUUGUGGCCUUCUAGAAGAUUACGUUUAGACAGAAUCUGCAUCCCCCUUUCGCUCAUAUGACCAAGCCUAAUGUGCCACAACUUGGUCAUAUCAGACCUGCGAUCUUCAGAAGAUGCAACAGCAGCAGCGGCAGAACCUGUUAGCGUAGAACCCUGUAAAAUGUACGAGGUGUCAUGCUUAACUCCUUUGAAAACCACUAAUGAACCUUUACCGAUGCACAACUCUCCACUUCCUUCGCUGAACCUAAAACCCUUACUGUCAAGAGUACUAAGUGAUAUAAGAUUCUUCGUCAUUUUGGGGACGUGCUUGACUUCGUUCAGUGUGGCAAUUUUUCCAAUAUGUGUCCUGAUCUUAAUCGAACCGAUCCCAACAGCCUUGCAAACAGUGCUAUUAGCCAUCACGACAUUCCCGCCAUCUAUCUGCUCAUAUGUUGUAAACCAUUCCCUAUUUGGACAUAUGUGAUAGGACGCCCCAGAAUCAAGAAUCCACACAUCAGAGUGAUGUGUUGGUUCAUCUGCAAUUAGGGCAAGGUUUUCUUCUGAAUUUUUCGCUUCCUUUUCUGCAACUGAAGCUAAAGCAUGUUAUUUUUCCUGCUGCUUCUUCUUCUUGGGACAAUCAGAUUUCCAAUGACCCUUUUCCUUGCAGUAGUUACAGACAUCAUCCGGCUUGGGACCUUGAGAAAACUGCUUCUUGUUUCCGGACUGCUGACAACUAGCCCAACAGCCUGAUUAUCUGUAACAUUACCAGCCGCUUUAUGGAUCAACUCUCUACUAUGCAGUGUUGAUCUUAUUUCUUCUAAAAUCACUGUAUCUUUACCGCCAAUAAAGGACUGAACAAAAUUCUCAUACGAUAACGGUAGAGACACUAACAGAAUCAACGCGGCAUCCUCAUCCUCAAUUUUAACAUUAAUAUUAUGCAACUCAAGCAGAAUCGUAUUUAAUUGAUCUAAAUGUUCUCGAAGAGGAGUACCUUCCUGCAUACGCAGACCAAACAGACGUUGCUUUAAGAGCAACUUGUUGGUCAAAGACUUUGUCAUAUAGAGAUUUUCAAGUUUAACCCAUAAACCCGCAGCAGUUUCUUCACCGGCGACCUCAGUGAUGACAUCAUCUGCCAGGCACAGCAUGAUUGUCGAGUGAGCCUUUUCCUCCAGACUCAUCGACUCUUCAUCAACGGAAUCCGAUUUCUUCUUCAUCAGCGGACUCCACAGACCCUGUUGCUUUAACAGAGCCCGCAUCUUGAUCUACCACAGACUGAAACUAUUUCUCCCGGUGAACUUGUCGAUCUUGAUGUUCAAAAAAGACAUGUUGUUGCGUGAUCCGAGCCCUAGGACAAACCUAGAGCUCUGAUACCAGUUUGUUAAAAUCGAUGCAGCGGAACGGAAAGAACAAACAAGAACAAGGGGAAAUUAGAUUUUUUAUUAGGGUUCGGAAUGUAUCAGAUGUUAUUUGUACAGAAUGGAUAUAAGGUAUAUAUAUACAACCAAAAAACCAAAAGCGAGACCCCCAACGGGGGUCGAAGAUCUGAUUUAAGGCAUUUCAACAUAUCUGAUACAACUAUUCUCAAAUGAACUGCCUUCGUUAACCUAUUUACAAUCACACAAAUGGUGUUACUGCCUCGCCUAGGCCUGGGUAGCCCAAAAUUGACUCUUGCAUAUAUAUUCAACCAUCUUGGACCAUGUGACCUGCAUCAAAGAAAAGUAGUGUGAGGGUUAACAGUAAUUUAUCCUUAAAUUUACGUAAAAUACCUUCAAGUGAACCAGAUGGAUCUCUUAAUACAACGAACUAGUUCGUAUUUGAGUUUGUCAAAUCUUGAUCAGGAGUCAGGAAAAGAAUUAGUGCUUGGCUCUUAUUCAAAAUUUGGUACCUAACCAGCAGAUAUUUCUUCACUGAUGAACAAGAGUGGGAUUUUUUGUUUUCACUUGAUUAAUCUUAGUGCAUAUGUGGAACUAGGCAAGGCCCGUUUGGCACUAAAAUAAGCAUAUUCACAUGAGUCUGGAGGCCCUUCAUGCCCCUCUUCUCCUUUUCUAAGUAGAUCUAUUGAUUUUUUUCAUCUUGAAUACAUUACAUAAGUGGUUAGAACCUUUUAGCAUGGACAUACAUGUAAAUUGUGCCAGGUGAGUAUGCGACAAUGAAAAUUACAAUGAGUCCAUUAUAAGGAUAGCAUUAUUUGGAGGGGGAAAAAAAUCUACUUUAGCAUUUUUUUUUUUUUAAGAACAUGAGAGAUCACAAUGAAAUCUGGAUACCUGAGUGGACCCAGAACAAAAAUCAUACACAAAUAUUUUAUGUUAUGCAGUGCUUGCAAAAAAAAAUUGGGAUAAAUUAUCUUUUAUCCUUUUGUAGUUUGGUACUUUGCCACAUAAUUUCUCUUUCGUAUAGAGUAUUGGCAAAUUAAUCCGCUAUGAACUAUGUACACAAUUAGAGCACAUACAGUGAAAUAUCCAUGAGCAAAGUCCGUUUUCAUAUGUUUUCUACUAAAUUCAAAGCAUAAAGCAGUGCGCAUUUUUAAGUUACAGGGAGUUUAUCUUCAAGAGCACUUAACCAUAGGGGGUGUAUGAGGUAUUUGCCUGUAAAAAAAUAUCCAUGUGAUGUGUGAAAUGAGUUUAUAUUAUGAAAAUUUUUAAAUGACAAUGAAUUGGAUAGUAGGAGCCAUAGCCCUAUUGUGUUCAAGUAUAGUGAAUUCCAACAGUUUGUCCAACCUUUAACUCAUGUUUAUGUUAUGUUCAUGUGAUCCUUUGAUCGCCUUCUUAGACGGGGUUAAUUUCUAAAUUGAGUACUUAAAAGAUGGCUAUUACUUGAACUUGUUUAUAAGUUAUAUUCUUAUGAUAUGAAACGAUGUUAUGGACAUCUUACAUGAUUUACCAAUGCUGUGUUUGGAUUGAUCAUUUUUUCAAAAACAAGUUUUUCAAAUACAAUACACAAUAAUUCAAAAAACAUAUCAUCCAUCCAAUAUAUUAAAUAUUUCAAAAAAAUUUUAUAGUAAAAAUUUUUCGUACACACUACUACAGUAAACUUUUUUAAAAACACCCCUGAAAACAGUUAAUCCAAACGGAGCGCAAGUUUUUCUGUGAAUAUGUUCAUAUUAUGUUAUAUGUUUUAUGCCACUCAAUUUUCAAUGAAAUAUGUAUACGUAUUUAUGAAACAAUGUCAAUAUUUUCAAACUGAGAUAUUCAUGCAAUCUUGUGCGAUCAAGUAUAUAACUACAUGAUCCUGCACGAGAGGUGUGUUGCUUACUAAGCAUACAUUGCUCAAUCCAUGUGUCCUUCAAGAAAGGAAAAUCGUUUACGCCUUAGAAAACUAAGAGUAAAAUAAAUAGACUGAUGAUCAAUUUCUAGAGAUUAAAGAAUAAGGUGUUUGACUGGUGCACAAAUAGAUUGGUAAUAAAGCUCUAAGGAUUAUAGAAUAAGGUGUUUAACAUGUAUAUUAAAUUUUCAACCACUUUUUUAACUCACAUACAUCAUAUAAUCUAAAAAGUAUUACAGUAAAUUUAUUUUUUUUUACAAAAUUAUCUCAAAUAAUCUAUUAUCUAAACACGCUAAUGGUUUCACAGAUACAAUGUAUGACGUUACAGAUCCGACCUAUGGACUUGGUUUCUAUGGUUUCCGAUAGAGGUGGCAAUAUGGAUAAAUUGUUCAUAAUUGGUUUUGAUUUAAUGGAUGGUGAAUGAAAUUUAUCCAAUCCAUUUAGAUCCGUUUAAUAAAUGGAUCUAAAUGGAUUAAAUAAAAACUAAUUAUCCAUUUAUAAUUCAUUUAAAUAUUUUGGUUACUUUUUUUUGUAUUGCCAUCACAGACUAAGACAAGCAUCCUACAAUAUCUGCAUCGGCAUCGUGAAGAGUAGUCAUCAUAUGAAGAGCCACAAAGGAAGCAGCUGCCUAAAACAUUCGAAUCUAAGCUCCCAACAGUGGUAUUACACAGCUUACAAUUUUGGGGUUCAAUAGGAAAGAAGUUCGGAAGAAACGAAAAGGAAAAAGAAAAAAAAAAUCCAUCACUUCAAAAACCAUUCACCUUUAAUGUUUGUCCGAAAGUUACUGUUUGGUGAAUGUGUAGCUACAUUUGCCUGAAUGCCGGCCAUGGAUUUUGAAGAUGAGUAUUUAUAGAAAUGUCACAUGCAUAUUAGGUGUUUGUGAGAAUGAUUGUUUGAAAGAUGAGUAUUUGUAGUUGGGUUCUUUGCCUGGGAUUGAGUUGAAAAACAUGCAACAAGAAAUAUAUGGUUUUUAGUCAUUUCCUUUCUGUUUCUUUUAUUUGAUUUUUAAGUAAAUGGAUAUAUAUGGAUUUUGUAGAUAAUCCAUAUAAAUCUAUUUAAUUUAAUGAUUUUAUUUUGAUCAACCAUUUAAAACUAAUACUAUAAAUGAAUAAUUCAAAUCCAUUUAAUUAUGGAUUAUAUGGAUGGAUAAAUAGAUCUCAAUCCAUAUUAAUUACCACCUCUAGACUUUCCGGAUUUGAGGCGUGACAGGAUUUGUCCAUAUGCUUACAGAUCUAAAAGAUUAGCUCAAUCGAUACACUGCCAGAAUCCCUCCAUUGCAGGCUUAAGUUAUGUAUACGUGCACAUGGGCCUGCAUUAAUGGUCAACUGAAUUCCAACUCAAUACAUAUAAUAUUUUAGAGCGCAAAUGCACAAUUUUUUUUUGUUUUCCUUUCAGGUAACAAGUGUACAAUUCUAUAUAAUUGUCAACUGAAUUUGAUACAAACUUACCGUUUAAUCAUUAAUGUAAAUGCCAACGUAAUCUACAAGCCUACAAUUUAAAAUUAGUGCACAUCAAAAUCACAGCCAGCGAAUAUCACAUUGAUAUCAUUGAAACAAUUACUGUAGAAAAAUCGCCCUUCUUGGGGAAUUUCCUAAUAAUUAUUGUACUUUCUUCUUCUCAAUUUGGUAAAUUUGAUUUUUUUUCAGGCAGUUUAAAAAAAUUAAUUAACCUUGUUGGAAAAUAAAUCUAACUUACUAUAUUUCUAAAAUAUCCUUGCAUUAAAUAAAGUACGACUACUUAGCCUUCUUUUUUUAACGGACCAAAUUGAUAUAUAUAUAUAUAUAUAUAUAUAUAUAUAUAUAUAUAUAUAUUUUGUCGGACCAAUAUGAGAGUUUUUCAAUUUGAGGAACCAAAUUAAGAUGGUUUGCUACUUUGGAGAACCACAUCGAAAUUUCAGAGUUGCUUAGUAGAAGUUCUUUUCUUAACAAUGAUUUCUGACAUACUUAAUCAUGGCCAUUAAUUAAUCCUUCCCUAAUGCCACCAGAGCAGCCGGCCAUACUUCAUCCAUAAAAAGCCAUAUUCCUAAAGCACCAUGCACUUGCUAAAACAGUCAACUUUGCUCCGUCCUACUCUUUCCAUUUCCACUGUGUCAGUGUUUUUUGUCUGAAAAUGGAAGCGGCAGCAGCAGCAGCACCAGCAGAAGUGAAAGUGCCAAGAAUCAGGCUGGGCUCACAAGGUUGUGAAGUUUCAGCUCAAGGGCUGGGCUGCAUGGGCGUGUCAGCCUUCUACGGCCCGCCCAAGCCCGAGCCCGACAUGAUCAAGCUCAUCCACCAUGCUAUUAGCAGAGGUAUCACCCAUCUGGACACCGCCGAUGUCUAUGGACCUCACACUAACGAAAUACUCAUUGGUAAGGUACCAUAUUUGCCUUUUUAAAUUACUCUUGCUUAAGAGAAGUAGAUUUGUGACUUUAUAUUUAAGGUAAAUCACACUUAAGCCCAUGAAUAUAUAUGCUUCUCUCACUUAGCCCCCUCAAGUUUAUUUGUAUGUCCUACAUAAUUAAUGGCAUGAAAUCAUGGUUUUAGGCUUUGAAGGAAGGAAUGAGAGCAAAAGUGGAGCUAGCAACGAAAUUUGCAGUUUCUUACGAGGAUGGGAAAUUUGAUGUACGUGGUGAUCCAGCCUAUGUGAGGGCUUGUUGUGAAGCCAGCUUGAAGCGGCUUGAUGUGGACUGCAUUGAUCUCUAUUAUCAACAUCGCAUCGAUACACGCGUGCCCAUUGAAGUCACGGUUUGCUCCAUUUCUCUUUGUUCUUAUGUUCCACCACAUUCUUGAUAAAAUGAAAAGUUGAUCAACUUCAAAUUAAGGAGAAUAGUUCAUUUUGAUGUUCUUAACAAUUUCUUCACCAUUAUGGGCUACUGUACAUACUAAUCUUCAUUUCAGUAAAGCUGGUUUAGCACCAGGCAUCUCAAAAAGUAAAAUGAACCAACUUAAUUAUUUGUCUUAUAUAUACGUGCACAGGUAUUUUAGCUUUGCCAGCCCUGUUGAGGGAGGUACAGGUGGAUAUGAUGCCAUACAUUGUACAUAUUUCCUUUAGAACUAGAAGACCUGUGCAUUCCUUUCAUUUCAGUUGAGUAGUAUUAUUUAGAAACAGUCAACAAUGUCACUAUUGAUGCUACAGAAGCAUUGUGUUUGCAUGGUCCAAUAGAGCCAAGUGAACCAGUGGGGUUAAUAACAAUAUCAUCUUGAGAAGUACUAUUGGCUGCGUAUUACACUAUUACCAAGUGUUGAUUUCAGUCGGAUGUAUACUUUGUCAAAGUUGUUCGCUGCACUGAAUUAGUGUUACUUUUACUUUAUGCUUGUAUAAUUUCAAUUGUCUGCCUUAGUAUGGAAAAGAUAAACCAGCUUAGCAUUUUCUUGUUUGUUGUAUUCUCAAUUUUUCUAGAUAGGAGAACUUAAGAAACUGGUUGAAGAGGGUAAAAUAAAGUACAUAGGUCUAUCCGAGGCCUCAGCUUCAACAAUUAGAAGAGCACAUGCUGUUCAUCCAAUAACAGCUAUACAGUUGGAGUGGUCAUUGUGGACCAGAGACGUCGAGGAAGAGAUCAUUCCCACUUGCAGGUAGUGCAUUUAUUCUGCCUCAUUUUCUACAUGGUCUGGAAGAAAUAUGAAGCUCUAAGUUCAUUUUGUUGUAAUCUUUUAGAGAGCUUGGCAUAGGGAUUGUUGCAUACAGUCCACUCGGACAAGGAUUCUUCUCUUCAGGUCCAAAGCUGAUCGAGAAUUUGACUGAAGGUGACUUCCGAAAGGUUUGUGCAUAUCCAAAGAGAAUAGAAGUUUUUGGUGUAGUAUGUGUACAAUUGGUAGAUACGAGUUUCUUAGUCAUCAACUUUUUCCACAUUGAGCUGCAGUUUUUAUCAAUAUCCCAUUCUUUUCUAUCUGUUACAUGUUGCUGCACUUUUUGAUACCCAAGCCUGAGCUUUUUCUAAAAUGAUCAAAUUUAAUGAAUUUUUGGUCAACUGCGACGCAACAAGGUUUCCUAUCUGACAGGAUAGGAAUUGUGUUCUUUUUAUAUAGUUUGAAUUAAAAAAAAAAAAAAAAAAAAAAGAUGGCACUACCAUUGUCAAACUUUUAGAUAUUUUCUUAAAAGAAGGUUUUCCUUGCAUGCUGGAAAAUUAUAAAUGGACAGAGCAAUGGGUAAUGUUCUAUUUUGCAGUGCGCGAAAGUCCUGGACAUAAAAACAGGAAGAAACUAUGGCAUCUUUAAGGAAACGGUUAUUUACAAUAUUGAGCUGUUGUUUCCUUAGUCAUUAGUUUACUUCCUAGUAGUAGUGCCACCUCCAUGGUUCAAUAUAUAGUUGAUUUCUAGUUUGACCUUCGCCUUAUAUUUGUCUUAUAGUUGAUGUUUCCCACCUGGAGUACUCUUAACACCUUACUACAUUGUUCAUUUCUCUGCACUUGUACACUUCGAACAAUAUUUUCAAUUAUUCUGAUAUAAUUUAAGGAUUAAUCUUUACUACACUAGCAAUGUAUGCACCAUUAGUGUUGGAUAAACGAUAACUAUGCAAAAUUUAAAAUUGUAAUUCAACUUUAGCAUAUAUAUCAUGAAUAGUGUAUAUAAAAUUUACUCUAAUUUUAAUUGUCUGUGUUGGCUACUCCUUUUGUGUGCUUUAACCCCUCCAGAUUCUGGCUUUACAGUUGCUUAACAUUGAAAUUCACACAAUGCAGUAUUCGCCAAGGUUUCAAGCAGAUAAUUUGGAGCACAACAAGAAGUUGUAUGAGCGUGUCAAUGCCAUUGCUUCAAGGAAGGGUUGUACUCCAUCACAGCUAGCAUUGGCCUGGGUCCAUCACCAAGGAAAUGAUGUUUGCCCCAUACCCGGCACUACCAAGAUUCAGAACCUCAAUCAGAAUAUAGGAGCUUUAUCCGUAAAACUGUCCGCAGAGGAUAAGGCGGAACUCGAAUCUAUUGCUUCGGCUGGAGUCAAGGGUGAGAGACACGGGCCUCAA
rnacentral:lncRNA from 1 species